UCCGAGUUGAAACUGUCCCUGGGACACUGCAGCUUGUAUCUACGCUUCUGGAUGCUGAUGGAAAGCCAAAAAGAGGACACCCACUCCUGGAUGCAGAUGAUGAUCAAGAUCAUUUUGUUGAUAUAGCAGAUAGACAAGAUAAAAGACAUGAUAUAGCUGGUAACCAAGGGCAGAGACGAGAGCCGAUUGGGGACACCAAUAACCUGCUGGAAACACCAACCCGAUCAACACACAUCAACGACCAAAGAUACAUACCUAGAAUUUGGCAGAGGAUACUGGAGUACUGGUCGAUUCCCAAGGAGCAGCCAUUGACAGACGAUGAUCUCCUCCCUGCACUAGGCAUGUCAAUCAUUUAUAGCCUUGCUGGCUGUGAUCAAAAUAAUUGUGUGGAAAUAGACAGAGUAACUGAUCUGAUCCCCAAUAUAAUUGGAUUCACAAGCUUCAGAAGUGCAAUGGUAAAUUCCGAAGCACAACAGAAGGUUCUCUUAAAGUCAUCGUUGAAGGUACUGCAGAGGCUCACAAGCAUUGAAGGGGAAAUUGGCAUAACACUGCGGUACAAGAUAUCAAAACAUCCCUUCUUACUGCGAAACCUUGCAGAGAUCUUGCGAGACAAUAGCAGCAACAAACAAGAACUAAGGAAGCUCGUGGUAGGAAUCCUCAGAAACCUUGCCAUUGACAGACACACAAGGCAAGAGAUGGGACAAAUGCAAAUGCUCAUUACCACGCUGAUCAAGGCAUUCCUCGAUUUUAAAGGAUUAUUUAGUUCAGAUGUUGAUUGCUUGCUGCCAAAGGUCGCCGGGCAAGCAUUGGUAAUGCUGUCAUCAGAAAAUUCGCAUAACUGCUUUGUUAUGUUGAAGGAACCAGAUUUCAUUCAUAAACUAAAAAAUAUGAUCCUAAUCCAUGGUGAUAAAUACAUAUAUGUGGCAGCGAGUCUAUUGCGUAAUAUGUGCCUGUAUGCUCAACAUGAGCUCACAGAAUCAGACCAAAAGGAACUAUCUCACACAUUGCGAGAGGUGAGCCCUGCUCAUACAUACUACAAGUCCAAUAUAGAGGUGUAUAGCAUGCCGUAUCAUUUUUGCAUUCACUGUCUAUUAAUUUUUGUCUUUGUUUUGCUAUUUUUGGUAAAAAGAAGGGGGCAUUUAUUUACCAAUGAAGUAUAUAAGUAUAACUAUAGUUUGUACAACUAUAUUUAUCAUACUACAUGACAUUACUGGUUCCACUACAGGUGUUGGAAAGAAUAAUGGACACUGAAGGGGCAGAACUAGAAAUCCUCAUUGGCCUUAGUUCACAGAUAUGCAAACUCAUUCCUGAAGAAUUUUCCCAAGAGCUAGAGCAUGGACAGAUUAAGCGGAGAUUCAUUAAGAGGCUAGUGGACACCCUGAAUGCAAACAUGAACCCAAGUUCUCAUUGCCCUGGGAUCCGGAGGGUGGUACUUGAGCAAUCCAUACACAUGAUGGAGUACAAUUCUCGCUAUGCCAAUUAUUUCAAUGAAUACCAGAUGAUGGAUGCACUGUCGUUUGUAGAAUUGACACCCUCAAGGGCUGAGAAUUACAUGGUUUUCUUGGGUGACGCAGGUUUCAUGGAAUGUAACACACCUCUCUCUGCCCUAGUGGACAGGGCAAAAGAACUGAUGGGUCGUCAGUGGCUGCAAGGUAUCAGCAGUGCCAACUGAAAAAAAAUAAAAUGUUUUUGCAUAUACAGUCAGAAGACCUUGCAUAUUGUUAGUGCAGGGCAAACAAAGUGAUUCUGCAUUUACAGUCAGAAGACAACGCAUGUUGCUAGAAAGAACAUAUAUUUACCUUUAAGAUGAGCAAAGGGUAUUGUAUCUGUACAUCAUGAAUCUUGCACUGUAAUCUGUGUGCUAUUGAUGAUUUAUCCAAUUAUCAUUUGUUGAGUGGCCAUAUUGCAACUCCUAUCCCACGUUCUAGCUUGUUCCAGUUUUGGCAUCGCUUAUUUCCAUAAAAUCUGUGGUUUAUUCGACACCAGAAAAUUGGGUUUUCUGCCCUUGUGAUUAACCCCAUUCAACACAAGUUACUAUGGCUGAGAAAUUCAGACCAUGACAAUGCGCAACUUAUGGAGUACAAUGUUCCACUUUCUUGUUGUCUGGACAGAGCAACAAUGUUGAUUAAUGUGAACUCGACUCCUAUUUAAGUCAUGCGUCCAUGUCAGUGCACUAUGAUGUUAAUAUCAAUGUGCCACGGUGCCUGAUUUUUGUGGAGCACAGGGUUCUCAAAUUCACAUAUACGUCUCUCAUAUUGAGAUCAAAACUACGGUGCAUUGAGUUUCUGCAACCCGAGUAACCACUAUAAACUAGUAAUCGAACAACACUCCCCAAGUUUCCACAUCCCUAACCCAUGAUUCUCUCUAUUUUCUUUAACGUAAGUAUAACCAUGAUUAGAACUGAACCGAAUUACCAAAGCAACGAGAAAUAAAAAAAAAAUCAGUUUCCUUGUCAAGCGAAGAGGAUCCUAUUUGGGAUUCGGAAAAAAAGGGGAGGGGAGCAACAGUUGGGGAAUGGCCUGGAUGGUUACCUCUCCCUCGCCGCGUCGGCUUCCCCUGGCCCGCCGCGCAGCCGGCACCGUCUCGCCGCGCCGCCGUCGCUGGUCGCCCUCGCUGUUAGUCGGUGGAGGUAGCCCGCAGGCAGAGGCAUUUGCCCCCGACCAUACGAAGCAAAGUAGACAGCGGUAGGUGCUAGGCUAGUGUACAUAGUAGAUGGGCCUACCAGGUAAUUGGGCCGGUUCCAUACAAAGGAUAUAGGGGCUGUCUAAACUUGCAUUAAGUUCACUUUAGGUCCCUCCAUUUUUCGCCAACUCUGAAAUUAAGCCCUAAACCAAAAUACUCCUAUCAUAUAUAACGGGUCCCUCAACAUUUACAAGACCAGCUCACCCGAGAUCAUAAGCAGUAUCUAUAUACCUCCUUAAAAUAUUCGUAACUAUCCGAUCUUUUUCGUCCGUCACCCAUUUUUUCGUCCGUAUCGCGUGCACCUCCUCUCUAAAUCCCACGUCAAAACAAUCACAACCCAACCCAAAAACAAAAUUGCAAUCCAAAUCCAAUUGGAAUCAUCAAAAGAUCAUCUAACACAACUACAAGAACAGAUUUCAUCAACACAAGAAGACGAAAAAAACGCUGACACCAAAAGGGGAGGGUGCCACCGUCGCCGUCGCUGACUUCCCUCCCGUUGGAUUCGGCGGAGGGGAGGGCGGCGCCGCCGCUGGGACGCCGACGGGCUGCCGCCACCUCCCCUCCCACUGGAUCCGGCGGAGGGGAGGGCACCUCCCUUGUUCGCCGCCUCCCCUCCCGCCGAAAGGGAGGGCGUUGCCGCCUGCCGCCGCCGGCCACCGUCGAGCCCUCUCGCGGCCCCAUGGCGAGGGAGAGGAGGCGAGGGGCGGAAAGGCGCAGCCACCCGUCGCCGCUCACGGAAGGAGAGAGGAGGCGCCACGGCUGAGCCGCCCGCCACCCACCGGGUGAAAGACGCUGCUGGCCGGGGGGAGGGCGCAACGGCAGAGGCGCUGGUGGGAGAAGGGCGUUGCGGUGGGGGAGGGCGCCACCGCAGCCGCUCGGGGAGGGUGCCGCCGCUACCGCUUUGAGAGAGAGCAAGGGGAUCGGGGGGGGGGGGGGGAAUUAGGGUUAUGUUUUUUUUUACUGCCCAGUAUUUAUACAGGUCGGGAAUUAAUCGGGACUGUCCAUUAGAUCGGACGAACCUGGCUUCUCCAGCGUGGGCUGUCGCACUAUUGGGCCACACGUACCUAGCAGAAGAAGGCUGCAAGUUUGGGCUAAAAUCAGUGUUUUUUCUCUCAAUAAUUUUAAGUAUUUUUUCUAUUUUCAGAAAUAGAAUUAGUAACAUUUUAAUUGUUUAUGACUGCUUAGUAAUUUCAUUCUAGCUAAAUUAAACCAACGAGAAAUUUUGGCUAGAUGUUUCUCACGAUAUGGAUUUGGGAUUCCAAAAGUGUUAACAUGAUAUGGAUUUACUCCCUCCGUUUCAAGUUAUAAGACUUUCUAGCAUUGUCCACGUUCAUAUAGAUGUUAAUAAAUCUAGGCACAUAUAUAUGUCUAGAUUCAUUAACAUAUAUAUGAAUGUGGGCAAUGCUAGAAAGUCUUAUAAUAUGAAAUGGAGGAAGUAGUAUUUUCCGUUGUAACGCAUGAUCACUUUUUCUAGCUAAAUGGAGACACCAAAAAAUAUAAUUAUUUAUCUUGCACCAUUAUACUCCUGCAGUACCAAAAAGAAAAUAGUAAUGAUUUCGUAAAGAAGUAUAUAAAAUGCAAAAUUUUGGCUUGGAUCAUGAUAUUUGAAAGUUGAUCGUCUAAUGCUUAUAGUUUUUUUUUUCCAGUGCAAUGCACGGGCAUUUUGCUAGUUAUACCCAAUAUUAGCUUACGUGGCAAGCAGAGUCAGCAUGGGACCCACGUGGGACUCAUAUGUCAAUGAGUAGUAUUUUCUGGAAAACUAUUUUGAUCCCUCGAGAGAAUGUUCCCUCGUUGUUUGUAUGUCACUCAAAUGGUCAUGAAAAAAUUUUGAAAAAAAUUUGAGAAGAUGUAUUAACAUGUGAUAUAUCACUCCACAGACAUGCAAGUUCAAAUUCAACUUCUACAUCUCGCAACGAAAAAAACAAAUUUGAUUGUGAAUUUACGUUAACUAGUUGUAGUUUAAUUUGUUUUUUUCGUUGCGAGACGUAGAAGUCGAAUUUGAACUUGCAUGUUUGUGGAGUGAUAUAUCACAUGUUAAUACAACUUCUCAAAUUUUUUCAAAAUUUUUCAUGACCAUUUGAGUAACAUGCAAAUAACGAGGGGAUAUCCCCUCGAGGGAUCAAAAUCCACUCCCAGUAUUUUCUUCCUCCUCUCUAUACCAGUAUACCAUGAUUAGUGAUCUUUGCAUGAAGGAGAUGAGCUACCAUGAGCAGGAGCACCAAGGGCUCAUCGCCGCCGCCAGCAGCAGCGGCUUAGACUAGUUCGAGGAGUCCACACUGGUGGAGAAACCAUCUUUGGUCAGUCGGCCGAAAUCCACAAUAGUCCCGGUUCCACUAAAAACUAGGACUAAAGAUGAUCUUUAGUUCCGGUUGGUAGCUACAGCAGGCAUAUACGAUCUUUAGUCCCGGUUGGUAACACCAACCGGGACUGAAGAUCAUCUUUAGUCCCGGUUCUUAAGAUGUCAAGCCCGGUUGAUAACACCAACUGGGACUAAAGAUCCCCCUUUAUAUAUGUCUUUUUCCUCCUCCAGCCCAAGCAAGCUUCAAAAUUUCUCCUCCAAAAAAGAGGGGAGGUCAUGCCAAAAUUUCUUGUGAAAUUUUUUUAGUGUUUAUAUACAAAUCGGAGGUGUCUAAAUGGUUAGUAACUUCAUCCUCCAAUGUUUUUUUGUUGUUAUAUUACUUUUGGAGCUAUGUUUCACAUAUUUUUUUUGUCUCCAAAACUUUGUUGUAAGUUGAUGAGAGAGAAAAUUUGUGUGGGGAAGAAGAAUAUAUAGGAAUUUUGUUUGUUUACUUAAAAAUGCUUUAUUCUCAUAGUUUAAAAUGUAAUGAAAAUUAAUCUUAAAAAGUAGAAAACAAACUAAAUUGAAAAUUAAAAGAAGUAAAACAAUAAUAUUAGUUUAAAACUUCAAAAAUAAUAAAUAAGAAUUAUUUGUUGGAUUAUUUUAUAAUUAUUGAAUGAAUAAUGAUAUGUCAUUAUUGUAUGACUGUUGAAAGAGUUUUUAAUUAUUUUAUCAUUAUUGUAUGACUGUCAUUAUUGUACGAAUAUUUAUUUAUGUACGAUUUUUUUUCAUUUCAUGUAGAUGGAUCGGCAAUGGAUGUACGCUGACCGGCGGUCCAAAGAGUUUAUCGACGGCGUGCAUUAUUUUUUGAGAGUAGCCGAAGCUAACAAGCAUAAGGGUUUUAUUUGUUGUCCAUGUAAUAAGUGUAAGAGCCAGAAGGAGUAUUCUACAUCCAGGACUAUUCAUUUCCACUUAUUUGAGUCAGGGUUCAUGCCAAGCUAUAACUGUUGGACAUCCCACGGUGAGCAAGGGGUUGAAAUAGAAGAAGAUGAAGUGGAAGACGGGAACAUUCCGGACUGGGCUCAGUACGCUGGAUUUGAAGGAAAUCAAAUGGGCGAGGUGGACAGGGAUGCUGACGAUAACGACGCUGUGGAUGAUCUUGGUCAGAUGUUGUAGGAUGCCAAGGAGGACUGUGAAAGUGAAAAGGAGGCCCAUAAAUUGGAGCGUAUGUUAGAGGACCAUAGAACGUCGUUGUACCCAGGUUGCGAGUAGGGGCACAAAAAGUUGGAUAUCAAUCUGGAGUUCUUGCAAUAGAAGGCAAAAAAUGGUGUUAGUGACAAGGCAUUUGGCGAUUUAUUAAAACUCGUCAAGAACAUUCUUCCGGAGGGAAACAAAUUACCCGAGACAACGUACGAGGCUAAGAAUAUAGUCUGCCCUCUAGGACUGGAAGUUCAGAAGAUUCACGCUUGUCCGAAUGAUUGUAUCCUAUAUCGCGGUGAGGAGUACGAGAACCUAGAAGCAUACCCUGUUUGUAAAGCACUACGAUACAAGAUUAGACGAGAUGAUCCAGGUGAAGUUGACGGGCAGCCAACGAAGAAGAGAAUUCCUGCUAAGGUGAUGUGGUAUUUCCCUAUAAUACCACGGUUAAGGCGUUUGUUCAGGAACAAGGGGAAUGCUAGAAUGAUGCGUUGGCACGCUGAAGAACGUCAACAGGACGGGAUGCUGAGACACCCCGCCGAUGUUUCGCAGUGGCGAAACAUCGACAGAACAUUUAAAAACUUUGGAAAUGACACAUGAAACAUUCGGUUUGGUUUAAGUACGGAUGGCAUGAAUCCUUUUGGAGAGAUGAGCAGCGGCCAUAGCAUUUGGCCCGUUACGAUGUGUAUCUACAACCUCCCCCUUGGCUAUGCAUGAAGAGGAAGUACAUUGUCACACCCUAAAAAUCUCCAAAUUAUAAAUUGUUGUUAAAUUGGAAUUAUUAAAAUUUAUUUUAAAAGCCUAGAAGAGAAGAUCUAAUUUUAAUAAAUAAAUUCCAAUAUAAAAUGGGGCCAGAUAAAAUUUUAUUAAAUACUUUGCUUAAUUCCAUAAUUCCUAGAUUUUUCUGGGAUUUAUUUGAGCUAAGGAAGUAUUUUUAAUAAAUGGAAUUGCAUUUAAUGAAUAAUUUAAAUUGAAAAAGGUUUUUAAAAUCUUCCUUUAGGCUUUGGGCCGAAAGUCGGCCCAAACCCUUCUCUCUCUCUCCCCGGCCCAGUCCGCCCGCAGCCGCCGCGCGCGUGCGCCCCGGACGCUGACAGGUGGGGCCCACCUGUCAGGCCCGUUGUCUUCCUCCCGACGAAACCCUAGCCGCGCCGCGCCGCCGCCGCCAUUCCAAUCCGGCCGAUCCUUUCCGUUUCCGAUGAAAUCAAUAGAGGGGAAAUGAUCUUCUCGAUCUCCUCUAUCUUUUCUCUUUUGGAAUCACCAGCUAAAAUCGCUUGGAAAGUGUUUGAUUCGAGGUCGAAUCGGAUCGGUCUCUCUCCUCCGAACCCUAGACUUUCCAUCCCGCCGCCGGUCGCCGUGGGCCUCCGUCGCCGCCUCCUAGCCGCUAUAAAUUGACCCCCAAGCCCGCCGCUACCCGCCGCCACCCUCGCCUUCGUCCCGCGCCGCCCGUAGCGCCCUAGCCCCGUGCAGUCUAGCGCCGCCGUCGCCGCCGCCGCUCCAGCCGUGCGCCGCCGUCGCUCCAGUCGUCACCGUCGCACGGGGAGGUCGCCGUCGUGGUCGCCGUCUCGUCGCCGUUCUCGUCCGCCCCUUCGCCGUCGCUGUCGACCGCCGGAGCACCGUCGCCGUCGUCAAGCCGAAGGUUGCCGCCGCUUCUUCCUCGUCGCCGACGUCGUCCGGUCAUCGUCCGCCGUCGCUUUGGUCGCCGGUGAGUUCGCCGUGCCGCCCGCAACCCGUAGAGGCUUUCCGUUCGCGCUGUCGUGCCGUGGUUCGCCGGCGAGCUCGCGUGGUUCGGUCGCCGCCGGUGGUGACGUCGUCGCUGACGUCAUCGUCGUCGUCCAUCCGUGAGCCGCGGUGGAUCCAAUCGUUCUCGGCCGUCCGUUGUGGGUAGGAUAGAUCUCAGCCGUCCAAUCUCGUGAACCGCCGCCGUGCACCCAGUCCACCGUGAGCCGAGCCCGCUGACGCAAUAAACCCCUUUUUCCUUUUCAAAAAUAAUUCAUUAUUGCGUCAUAAUUCAAUUAAAAUCCAUAUAAAUGAUUUAAAUCGAUUUAAUCUUUGAAAAUUCAUAACUAAUUCAUCUUAGCUCGGAUUUAGUUGGUUCAAGUCUCUAAAUUUUUCUAAAAUUGAGAUCUACAUGUUAAAAAUAUCCACAUGUACUGUUCAUGCUUGUUUAUGUGCUGUUUUGGUAAUUUUGUUCUUUUCUCUUUAGAUUCCGACGUUCCCGGAGAGUCCGAAUUUGCAGGAGAAGACUUUGAGGAUUUUCAAGGCCAGCAAGGCAAGUCACACAGAUCCCAAAUAACCCUUUGAGCAUGUUGAUCCUAUUUAAAGCUAUUGUUUCUAUUCAACUAUUGCAUCUAUUUUCGAAUGUCAUUGGGUGGAAUUAACCUAUUCUUUGUUAUGGCCCUUUUGUACUUGAUUACUUUAUUCUUUGAUACCUUGGGCUAUUAUAAUUUGACUAGUUGAGCUUUAUAUAAUGGUUCAGCUAGAUGUUAGGUAUAAUUGCUUAUCCAUGCUUAGAAACAUUAGUUCACUAAUGGGAUAAUUUAAGAUUCACUAUUAUUUAAUGAUGGCUUAAUGAUAGCUCAUGAUGGUUAAUCAUGAUUGGUUAAUUAAUUAAUUUGACAAUUAAAAUAUGAUAAUGGUGGGUUGUGAGCAUAUGGUUUUGAUGGUUGUGCUCAUGACAAUUAAGGACCGGUUCACGAUUUUCGGUUGUGAAACAUUUACCGUGCCAACCACAAGCCAGCAUGGGCAACGGCUUUACUUUCUAUAUAGUAUGGUUCAUAGUAGAGCACCAGACUGUGAAGUGGCGGAGAUAAGCCCACGGGGGUCGCUGGGGAGUCCAUACCUUGUUUAUAAGGGGGUGAUUAUGAUCCGGGAACGGUGCACUGCUUUGAAUUGUAUUAUAUAGAGGGUAUUGUCACAAUCUCUAUUCGGGUACUUGUCAAGUAUCGCGACGCAUGGUUGACAUGAUGUUGAGGUUGUGUCUUGUGGGUACAGUGGUACACCUCUGAUCAGAGUUUAAACUAUUCGAAUAGCCGUGCCCGCGGUUAUGGGCGGGUCUAACAAUGUUUUUCGUGAUUAGUCUCACCCCCACACUAUAUUAAAUGAUGAUGUUAAUAACUUGUUUAACUCCUGGUUUGGAGAUAGACUUGUGCAGCCGGGAUUGGUUGUUCAGAAUGGUUGGUCCUAUGCAACAGGGUAUGUUGUAUAGUGUUGGAUUAAUAUUGCUUAAUUACUGUUUAACUGUUUUAUUAAAUUCUGAGAUAUUUAUUAAAUGCUGUUUAUGCAAAUGAGACUAUACUAUGCCAUCCUUUGUUAUCCUGUGCAUUUGCAUAUUUGCUGCGUGGCUUGCUGAGUAUGUCAUAUACUCACCUUGCAAUCAUUCAUCAGAGGAGGAGUUCUACAGUGAUGUCGAUGGAGUUGAUGAUUAGGCGUAGCCCUGGUCAAGCUGCCUGUGGAGAGGAGUCGUCUGCGCUGUUUCUUUUUUUUUUCCGUUGCUUAGGACUUUAUUGAUUGAGAGGAACUAUCUAUCUCUGUAAUGAUAUUUUGUUCGCUUAUUAAUUAGAGUAAUAAUUUGUACUCUAUUAUCAAUUUGUUAUUGUGUGCCUCGGCUGAUUCCUGGACGAGGGUUUAUACACAUGUAAGCGUUUGGAAUUUUGGAUAGAAAUUCCGGGCGUGACAUACAUCAUGAUACCGAUUAUUAUUCAAGGCCCCAAGCAACCUGGUAGCGACAUCGAUGUGUACCUAAGACCACUGGUCGAAGAUCUGAAACUGUUGUGGAAGAAAUAAGGUGUCCUCGUGUGGGACGAGGACAAACAUGAGGAGUUUAACCUACGAGCGCUGCUGUUCAUAACCAUCAACGAUUGGCCUACACUUAACAACUUAUCCGGGCAGUCUAACAAGGGGUACAAGGCUUGCAUUCACUGUAUGGAUGAAACUGAAAGUACGUAUCUUAAGCAUUAUAGGAAGGUUGUGUAUAUGGGUCAUCGUCGAUUCCUUGCUGCAAACCAUCCUGUACGGAAGAAAGGCAAGCACUUUGAACAUAAGGCAGACCACCGUACGAAGCCUAAACAUCGCAGCAAAAAAGCAGUGUUUGCUAUGUUGAAAGAUCUUAAAGUAGUGUUUGGAAAGGGACAUGGCAGCCAGCCUAUAGAGAGCGAAGAUGGUCACGCGGCGAUGUGGAAAAAGAACUCUAUUUUUUGGGAGUUACCCUAUUGGGAAUUCUUGGACGUCCGCCACGCAAUCGAUGUGAUGCACCUCACUAAGAACCUUUGCGUAAACCUGCUUGGCUUCCUAGGUGUAUAUGGAAAGUCGAAAGAUACACUUGAAGCACGUAAUGAUCUGAAGCAUAUGGAACAACGCGGCGACCUUCACCCAGAACCAAAGGAGAAAGGAAGCCAUUACUUGAGUCCAGCCAGCUACACUCUUAGCAAGGCAGAGAAGGAAAGUAUGUUUGAAUGCUUGGAGAGCAUCAAGGUACCGUCUGGAUACUCCACGAACAUAAAGCGAAUAAUAAGCACGAAGGAGAAGAAGUUCACAAACCUAAAGUCUCAUGACUAUCACGUGUUGAUGACACAAUUGCUACCAGUUAUAAUUCGGGGUAUCCUUCCAGACAAUGUCUGGGCAACAAUAACAAAGCUAUGUGCUUUCAUGAAUGCAAUUUCGCAGAAGGUCAUCGAUCCGGAUAGAUUACAAGCCCUUCAAAAUGAUGUGGUGCAAUGUCUUGUCAGCUUUGAGUUGAUAUUUCCACCUUCAUUUUUCAAUAUAAUGACGCAUCUGCUUUGUCACCUUGUCAAAGAGAUCGGUAUUCUCGGGCCUAUGUACCUACACAACAUGUUUCCUUUCGAAAGGUACAUGGGCGUUCUGAAGAAGUAUGUUCAUAACCGUGCUCGUCCAGAGGCAAGCAUCGCCAAGGGGUAUGGAACAGAGGAGGUCAUUGAAUUCUGCGUAGAAUUUAUCGAAGACCUUCGCCCAAUUGGGGUGCCUGAAUCACGCCACGAAGGGAGACUACGGGGAAAGGGGACUCUCGGAAGGAAAGCAAUAAUGCCGGUGUUAACAACCAAAUUUGGUAAUCUAAGUAUCAGAGAUGAAGAUCAAAUCGAAGCGGAGUCCAAGACAAAAAUCGUUUCGGAAAUAGAGCAAGAAUCGGCUAAGUCCGAAUCGGCUGCGACCAGAAUCGGUAGAGUUCGAGUCGGACAAGGUUAGCCGAUUGAGCCGAUUCCGACAAUACGACUCGAUACAUGACAUCUGGUUAGGUUGAAGUGCUUCAUAUGGAUUGCCAUGCACGGAUUUGAGUCCUGGAAAGGCAAUUGUAUCUAUUAAUUAGGAUAUUUUAUGUAAUUUCCUUAGAGAUAAGUUUGGGCAAAAGUCUGCCGCAAAGACUUAUGGUAUCUUAGAGUUUGUUAAAGAUAAGAGUCGUGCCCGACAAGGACAUAUUCUGUAUUUCGGGUAUAAAUAUGACCCGGACCCAUGUAAUCAAACAGACGUUCAAUACAAUCUCGGCGCAUCGCCACCCUUUUACUUUCGUUUCAUCUCGACGAGUUCUUGCUUUCGGGUUGAGCUGCAUCGGUUUUGAUCUUCAACUAGAGGUAAGCUUGUCAUGCCGGCUUGUGUUCUCGGGAUUAGUGCUUCUAUCUUUAUGAUACUCUAAUCUUGUUUAUGUAAGUUGUCGAGUUAUCAUAUAUUCUAUAUAAUCUCUGGCAAUAUUGUUAUUUAACCUUCAACCGGCUAACAUCUAUCAUUAGGAGGCAGCCGAUUAGGUUAAACAUCAAUGUUGACUUAGAUUAUAUAGGGUAUCUACCACUCUAUGAAACAUCCAACGGCUUGAUUGUCUAGAUAUUGUCUUUCUUUUCAUACUUAUGGCUGCUUCAGUUAAGUGUGAUCUCAUUAGUCGUGAUUAGAACUCCAAUCUCUAGCCUGCUUUUUGGUUGCCGAUUAGGGUAGUAUCGUGGUUUCAGCCAAUCUUACCUGAUUUAACUACUUUAUAUCCUAUAUGCUUGAUUGAUAUGUUAAAUCUGCCCUUUAUGUUAAGAUCUUGUUGCAUUUAAGUAUAUUAAGCUUCCUAUUUGAUAUAUUUUGCUCGCUUUAAUAUCUUAAUAUAGAGUGGUAUCGGAGUAUUAGCUGAUACAUGCUAGAUCUAUCUAAUCGGCUAUGCUAUGAACGUUUAUAAUCUUCUUGUUAAUAUAUAUUUCGGUCUAAGUGAUUUAUACUGUAUCGGCAUGGCGACCGAUCUAUCCCAAUCACUUGAUUCAAAUAUAUAUCGAUAGAAGUAUUAUAUUUCGUUAAUAUCUACAGCCGAUCGAGUAGAUUUAGUUCUUUCUUGCUUAUUUAUUACUGCCGAUCGAUGCAAAGAUGACAUCGGCUCAAAGAUAAAUGAUACAUCAUCGGCGAUUGACCGAUCGGCUAUCAUUUAUGGAUUUAACUAUUAUUUUCCUAUCUUUGUUUCUUGUUGAUUGCAGGAUCAAAUCAACUGACACGCUCACGAACUUAAAGACAAUAUUUUUGGACCUGCACUGGAGUUAAGCAGAUCUCCCAGGCCUCGUGUUUUUCACAUCAACACACUUUUGGCACGCCCGGUGGGACCUGAUUAGAAGUCAGAGAUUUGCAACUACGAUUUCUCAUGGCCGAGAAACCACCACAGUCACCAUCAUCGGCAACAAAGCCGGUGGUCCCUCCUCAGACCAAGAUUCCAAAGCCUCCGGGAACAAAUGAGUCCGAGGUUCACGAAGCAAACAUCGUCCCAGUCACUAUAGACAAGCUGUCACCAGAGCAGAAGGAGUUUGAAUUAAUGAUGAAGCAUACGCAACAACAAUUCAUGAAUUCAUUUACAGAGACUCGGCAAGGGAGUGUCGUUCAAAAGUACAAGUUGAAGCUAAUUGCCGAUGUACCGGGAACAGGUUCUUCUCAAGAUGGUGAGAUGCAAAAAGCUCAAGUCAGUACAGAUGGUUCAGGUGGUAAAGGCACUGCCGAUGGCUCGGGCAAUAAACCUCAGGAUGGCUUGGUUGAGGGUCUUGGUGAAGAUAAUGACAAAGAGCAAUUGCAGUGCAAUAACUUCCAAGAUCGGAUUGAUUAUGCUGUGCAGCAUGCUUUGAUUAACCAAUCAGGAGUCCUUGUCAAUACUUUGUCGAAUAUGAUCAAGACAAUGGUCGAUGGCACAAUAGCUGAGCACCAAGCAAUGGGACCAGUUUAUCUUCCAGGAGGCGUUUUCCCAAAUUACAGAAGCUUGGUAACUGGUAACCAACAGCCCACUGCCAAUGCGCCACCUGUUCAGCCGGCGGCACCAGUUUCAACUUCAGCACCAGCUGCACCUUCGUCGGCACAAAGGCAGAUGAUAAAUCCUCGAUUGCUGACCAGAGAACAGCCACAACAUGUUGGACAAAAUAUCAAUCGGCUGACUCAGGAACAGGUUGCUGCGAUGUUCCUACCAAAUCCACGAACGGCCGAUCCAGUACAAUCGGCGCCGAUUUAGCAAACACCACUGAGACAGCAGACGGUUCAGCCGAUUCAACAGCAAAAGUUGCAACAUACAUCGGCUAGGUUGGGAACACCUGAUAAUCGGCAGAGGCAGCACAUUGUGAAUCAAGUUAUCCCUGAGCACUCGGUCCAUAAUGUCCAACCAGAUCAGUCAGUUGUACCCCAAGUUAUUCCUGAGCAUUUGAUGCGUAAUUGUGGGCCCCGGCUUUACACACCGGAAACCCCAUGUAUCUUACAAUACCAUUCCCUGGAUCAGUAGAUGGCACACACAUGGCACAGUUGUAUAUCACAAGCUGACAUCGUUAUAUAGGUUGAACUAUACAUUAAUAAUACAAGGGUAGCCCAAAUGGGUCCCAAAUAGACCGAGCAUGGUUAUGUACAUUACAAAAUACUAGAAGAAGUAGAUGAGAUAGCGGAAGCGAUGCAGCGGCGGUCUAACGUACUCCACAGGCAUCGACUGGUGUACCUAGGUCCCGACUCCACAGUCUUCGACAUAUCUUCAUCAGCAUAGUUCCCGAAUGGUCGACUCCAACUCCUCUCUAAAAGAUUUAGUUAAGCAAGGGCGAGUACCAACCGUACUCAGCAAGCCACCACUACAGAAUGUAUUUAGUGCACACAGGGGUUCAAGAAUGGCUUGGUUUAUUUCCAUAAAGCUAUAUUUCACAAAUCAGUUCACAAACCUAUGACUUAGCAGUUUUAACUAAAAAACAACGUUAAGUUGAAGUUGUCAUUAAUCCGCGAGGGUUCAUCCACCUUCCCCAAGCCUCGCUUGGUCCGAUUUACCCUCACAUCCAGUUUUCCACAUUUCCAACAUCAUCAUGACCUUUGUCACGUCCUGAUAAAUUCAUCCCGAAAUAAAAAUCAUUCGCUAAAAGGAAUAAUAGAAUUAAUUAAAAAUUCGAAAAGAAAUUGGCAAACACUAAAAUGCGUAUAAGAAAAAUUCAAAUGUGACCCGGAGAAUUUUUGUUAAAUUCUCCUUGGUCUAAAAGGAGCCCUCAAAUUUUAGUGGAAUUUUCAGAGCACAAAUAAUAAAUGAGAAGAAAUAAACAAAGUUAAAAAGGUUUUAUAAAAAGAAAAACCCUAAAAGUCUUCUUUUCCCCCCUCCCCUUCUUGGGCCGGCUCGGCCCACUUCCCUCCCUCUCUCUCUCCUCUCCCCCGCGGCCCAUCGGCCCCCUCCCCCGCGCGCGCGCCGCUGACAGGCGGGCCCGCCCGCCAUCCUCGCUGACGGGUGGGGCCCACCUGUCAUCGCCUACCUCGCGCCGCGCCCGCCGCCCGCCCGUGCCCUAGCGCCGCCGCCGCCGCCGAAUCCGCCGCAUACCGCCGUCCCCGCGCGCCAUAAAGAGGGGGAAAUCACUCCCCGUGAUUCCCUCCCUCUUUCCCCCCUCUUUUCCCUCUCUCUCUCCCUCGGAUUCGUCCGGAUUCAUUCCCGCAAAGUUCGCCGGCGCAUCAAUGGCGGCCGAGAUUUCCGCGGCCGAUUCCUUCCCCACCGGCCGCUCUCUCCCCCUCCCGACGCUAUUUAAUUGUUCCCCGUGCCUCUCUCCUCCGUUUCCGCCGCUCGCCGCUCGCUCUCCCCGUCGGAUUCGUGCUCGCGCCGUCGUCCUCUCUCUCCGCCGUCGCCGCCGAGCUUCGGUUCGCCGCCGUCGUCGCCCCGGACCUCCUCCCGUCUCGGCGUCACCUCCAUCGGCUUCGCCGCGUCCUCGUCGACCUCGUCCGCGCCUCCGUUUCGCCCGCCGACCGUCGGAGCGCCGUCGUCCUCGUCGUCCCGAACCGCGCCGCCGCCUUCCUCCGCUUCGGCCGCCGUUCCCGUCGUCGCCGUCGACCCGGGGUGAGCCGAAGACCGCCCCUUUCGCUUCCCUCUCCUCUCCGCUCUCUCGGGCGCCGCAUCGCCGCGCCGGUGGUCGCCGGCGGUGACCAUCGGGGCGCGGGCGCGCCGCUUCCCGUCGGCCGUGCCGGCAAGGCCGCCUUCGGGCGCGCCCCGCGGCUGCCAUGUGGGGCCCGGCCGUCAGCCGCCCGCGCCCUCGGGUGCGGCUGACGCGUGGGACCCACGGCGCCGGCCGCCGCCAGCCGCGUGCUCCCGGUCCACCGUGGACCGAGAGGCUGACGCGUGGGCCCCACUCCCGUGGACCCGGUCCGCGCGCCCUCUCUCUCGGCUGACGCAAUAAAUGAGUUUUUAAUUAAAAUUUAAAUGAAGAAAUUCGCAAAUAUCCAUUUAAAGAGCAUAUAAACUUCAAAUGGCCAUAACUUGGCCAUUUGAACUCGGAAUUGGACCGUUCAAGUCUCUGAUUUUUCCUUAAGAAGUCAAGAACCCAUUUUUGUGCUUUGUUUCUGCUUGUUAUAUGGAGUUUAUUAGAGUAAAAGCCUUUUCUUUUCCGUUGGUCGUGUAGACGCUGCAGCUUCGGAAGAUCCGCUCUUCGUGGAAGUUGAAGCCGUCGUUUGGGAAAGCGAGCAAGGCAAGUCACAUCAUCCUUGAACAUAUUGAAUCCCAGUUUAUAAAAUUAUGUUGCUUUAAAAUAUUGCAUUAUCGCUUUAUUUAAAUUCCCGCGUGAUCACUGUUUUAUUUAGCCAUGCCUAUUUACCUUUGUUAUGACCUCAUUAUUAUUGCUAUUGUUAUUAUUACCUUGUUCACCCUAGAAUAAACAAAACCCCAACUAGUGGGUACUCUAUUCCUGGUUCCACUAGUAUGAAUUUAGGUAGAUGCUUCGCUGAUUAAUAGGACAACAUUAGGUGGUUUUUAUAACUUUAGACUUUGGGAAUUCUCAUAUCAUUUGGACACUAUGGAAUGGUUGGCUUAUGUUGGAAUUGGACACACACCUCCCCCUCUAUUCAAAACCCCCAAAAUGGUUUUAGGCUGGGCUCGAGGUGCGUGGUUGGGUUUUGUUAGUCGUACCUCGGGUACUAUAAGGAUUAAGCUCGGGCCUCUGUUGCAAAGCACUACCGUACUUCCACAUGUCUAGUGGGUAAGGCUUAGUUUGUGGCUCAGUCUGGUUAUAAACAAAAGUACACGGAUGGAGGUGGAUGAAGUCGGGGGUCGAUGGACAUUCUCCAGGGCAAAUGAAGGCUACACGAGCUGCGGCCCGGUAGUCGAGAUGUCGUGGCAGAGGGUUGGUGCCCUGCUGCUUGGGGCUCAGUCCUGCCUGCCUGUCCCGGAGGUUCCGGCCGUAGGCGGGAUUGGGUCGGUACUCUUGUCUAUGGCUAGGAUGGGUUGGAAACUAUGUCACGUCUUCCGUCUGUAUACCGUGGUGGUAUGUGGCACGUGGUUACACGUGAGGAAGAUGUGUCUUGUGGGUAAAGAUGUACACCUCUGAUCAGAGUAUAAUCUAUUCGAAUAGCCGCGCCCUCGGUUAUGGGCAAGCCGAGCAAUGUACCCAAGUCAGUGUUUUAAUUCUUAAAAUUUGCUCAACAACUAAAAGGUGGAAUGGUUGGCCUGGGUUGGCUUGGGACGAGCUGGGACCCAGGGUCGGGUUGCCAGUUCGGUCUGAAUCAUCGUAGGCCUUGGGUUAAGGCAGGUUCGUGUGGGUUCACGGCCUUGUUUAAUAACACUGUGUAGCUCUAGGAUCGUCUUUAUAAAAUGGCUUUGGGCAACUAAGUGACUUUUAAAUGCUGUUUACUGCAAAACUUAACCUCUAUAUUAUUAUCCCCUUGUACCCCCUUGCAUUAAUUAUGCAUCUCCGGUGUGGCUUGCUGAGUACUGUGGUUGUACUCAUUCUUGCUCAAUCUUUCCCCUCUUCAGUAAGAGAAGCUUUGGAGAAGAAGUCUUAGGUGGAGUCUUGGCUUAUACCCCAGUUGAGCGCCUGUGAAGAUGGAGCCGUAGGCCCGCUAGUCCGCUGCUGUUUAUUUUUGCUUGUCAGGCCUGAAGCGCCUUUGUAAUAAUGUAAAUAUUAUCGAUAUAAUAAAGAUGUGUCUUUUAUAUCAUGUUUGUGUGGUGUACCCCGGCUUUUCCUGGGACGGGGAUUAAUACACUAGCGUUCGGGAAAAGGCAAUUUUCCCGGUCGCGACAACCUUCCCGCCCAUCGGGCAAGGUCACACCACUUUCCUAAUCUAAGCAAGAUUAAAAUCUAUGAGGCUAGUAAAGUGUAGUACAAGUCCCGGUGCUCAAUAACCGCGAGCACGACUAUUCGAAUAGAUUUGAUUUACUCACACUGCAAUGGAUGUACGCUUUUAAUCCCGCACUCCGCGGCUUGCCCAACACAUGAGCCUAGUCCCAACACAUGAGACUUGCCACGGCCCGGUUUUUCAGUUACCCUCGCGUUUCGGCACCCGCUCCAAGGACUAUGGAUCCCCAUUGCACUUCCGGCACAACACACCACCUCGAGCCGGCAGUGAGGAGAGUCCUGGCGCUCCCGGGAUCACAAUGGGUUAUAUUACAUAUAGGUUAGGUGUGUUUUAUGUUUUGCGGGCCUUAACCAAACGAUCGAUCCACUCGAUCCUUCACCUCCAACGUCACCACUUCAGAACCACCAUGACAAGGGUGCGGCCCCACGAGAAUUUCCUUAGUCCACAGGGUCUAUACCCACUCGAGAAGUGCGGUCGUACUCUAGUCGUUUCCUGCAUAGCUUCUUGACUCGGUCCUUAACUGACUAGGGUCGGCGACUAGCCGUUUCUAGAACCACCCAUAUUCUAUCCAUGCCGCCCCAGUCGAAAACAUUUUGUUUAAUUAGAUUUUUGGUUUUCGCAAAGGUUUUUGCUGCGGGUGGUGCUCAUGUCUCCACCCGCCUUCUGGCAAUCACUCUCGACGAGUGACCGCCACCAACACAUCCAUAUCCAACUAUUAUGGAGUGUACAACCAUCUAUAAUUAAACAAUACUAAGCAAUGUCAAUAAUUUACCACGCAUAAAUAAUAGACUCAGGCAACAAGGAUAUAUGUCACACCCUGAAAAUUUAAAAUUUAUAAAUUGUUGUUUAAAUGGAAUUUUUUAGAAAUAAUUUUAAAAGUCUUGAAGAGAAGAUCUAGUUUUAAUUAAUAAAUGCCAAUAUAAAAAGUGGCCAGAUAAAAUUUCAUUAAAUACUUUGCUUAAUUCUAUAAUUCCUAGAUUUUUCUGGGAUUUAUUUGAGCUAAGGAAGUAUUUUUAAUAAAUGGAAUUGCAUUUCAUGAAUAAUUUAAAUUGAAAAAGGUUUUAAAAAGUCUUCUUUUGGCUUUGGGCCGAAAGUCGGCCCAAAACCGCUCUCUCUCUCCUCGGCCCAGUCCGCCGCCGCGCGCGCGCGCGUCCGCCCGCUGACAGGUGGGGCCCACCUGUCGGGUUCGUCGUCCUCCUCCGGCCGAAACCCUAGUUUCGCGUCGCCGCCGCCGCUUUCCAAUCCGGCCGCUCCUUUCCGUUUCCGGCCGAAUUGAUAGAGGGGAAAUGAUCCUCGGGAUCUCCUCUACCUUUUCUCCUUUGGAAUCUUUGGCUAAAUCGUUUUGGAAAGCGUUGGAUUCGAGUUUGUCUCGGAUUCGUUCUUCCCGAUCUUUCCUUCCUCGUCGCCGGCCGCCGUGGGCCUUUGCCGCCGCCUCCGAGCCCCUUUAAAAGGACCCCCGGUGUCUCCUCUACCCGUCGCCACCCUUGCCUUCGCCUCUAGUUGUCGGAAUCGCUCUAGCGCCGUGUGCCCUAGCUUCGCCGUCGCCGCCGCCGCUCCAGCCGUGCGCCGCCGUCGUUUCAGCCGUCGCCGUCGCUCGGGAAGACCACCGUCGUGCUCGCCUAGUUGUCGCCGUCCUCGUCCGCCCCUUCACCGUCGCCGGAGAUCACCGGAGCAGCAUCGCCGUCGUCGACCCGAAGGUUCCCGCCGCUUCCUCCUCGUCGCCGUCGUCGUUCGUUGUUCUUCCGCCGCCGUUUUGGUCACCGGUGUGUUCGCCGCGUCGUCCUCUACGUGCUGGUGCCCUCCGUUUGCGUCCUCGCGCCGCCGUUCGCCGGCGAGCGUGCGCCGCCCGAGCCGCCGCCGCUGUCGGUGACGUCAUUGCCGACGUUAUCGGGGUCGUCCGCCGUGAGCCGCCGUGGACCCGAUCGAUCUCGGCCGUCCGUUUUGGAUUGGUUCGAUCUCGGCCGUCCGUUCGUGUGAACCGCCGCCCGUGCGCCCGGUCCACCAAACCCUAGCCCGCUGACGCAAUAAACCCUCUUUUCCUUUUCAAAAAUAAUUCAUUAUUGCGUCAUAAUUCAAUUUUAACCGAUAUAAGUGUUUUAAUCCGAUUUAAUCUUUAAAAAUUCAUAACUAAUUCAUCUUAGCUCCGAUUUAGUUGGUUCAAGUCUCUAAAUUUUUCUAAAAUUGAGAUUUACACUUUAAAAAUAUCCACAUGUACUGUUCAUGCUUGUUUAUGUGCUGUUUUGGUGAUUUUGCUCUUUUCUGCUUAGAUUCCGUCGUUUCCGGAGAGUCCGUUUUCGCAGAAGAAGAGUUUGAAGAGUUCCAAGGCCAGCAAGGCAAGUCACACAGAUCCCAAACAACCCUUUGAGCAUGUUGAUCCUAUUUAAAGCUAUUGUUUCUAUUCAACUAUUGCAUCUAUUUUCGAAUGUCAUUGGGUGGAAUUGACCUAUUCUUUGUUAUGGCCCUUUCGUACUUGAUUACCUUAUUCCUUGAUACCUUGGGUUAUUACAAUUUGACUAGUUGAGCUUUAUUUAUGUUGGUUCAACUAGAUAUUAGGUAUAAUUGCUUAGCCCUGCUUAGAAACAUUAGUACACAUUCGGGAUAACUAAUGACUCACUAUUAUUUAAUGAUGGUUUCAUGAUAGUUCACGAUGGUCAAUCGUGAUUAGUUAAUUAAUUAAUGUGCCAACUAAAACCUGGUAAUGGUGGGUUGUGAGCACAUGGUUUUGUUGGUCGUGCUCAUGACAAUUAAGGACCGGUUCACGAGUUUCGGUUGUGAAACAUUAACCGUGCCAACCACAAGCCAGCAUGGGCAACGGCUUUAUCUUUUGUAUAGCAUGGUUCAUUGCGGGGCACCAGACUGAGAAGUGGCGGAGAUAAGCCCACGGGGGUCGCUGGGGAGUCCAUGCCUUGUUUAUAAGGGGGUGAUUAUGAUCCAGGAAGGUGCGCUGCAGUGGAUUGUGUUAUGCGAGGGGUAUUGUCACAACUCCUUUCCGAGAUACCGUGGUGAUAUUGAGGCACAUGGUGACAUGAUGUGGGGUUGUGUCUUGUGGGUACAGUGGUACACCUCUGAUCAGAGUAAAACUAUUCGAAUAGCCGUGCCCGCGGUUAUGGGCGGGUCUAACAAUGUCUUUCAUGAUUAGUCUCACACCUCUCAUCAUAGUAAAAGAUGCUUAAACUGGUAAUAAUUUGAUUAGCUCCUGGUUUGGAAUGGUAUAUUCCUGGUUUGGAGAUAGAACUGUGCAGCCGGGGUGGUUGUUCAGAAUGGUUGGGCCUAUACAACAGGGUAUGUUGUAUAGCGUUGGAUUAAUAUUGUUUAAUUACUUAACUGUUUUAUCAAAUUCUCAAAUGUUUGCUAAAUGCUGCUUUUGCAAAUGCAACCCUAUUAUGCCAUCCUUUGUUAUCCUGUGCACUUGCAUAUUUGCUGCGUGGCUUGCUGAGUAUGUCAUAUACUCACCUUGCAAUCAUUCAUCAGAGGAAGAGUUCUACAAUGAGGCUGAUGGUGUGGAGGAUUAGGAGUAGCCUUGGUCAAGCUGCCUGUGGAGUGGAGCCGUCUGCGCCGUUUAUUUAUUUUCCGCUGCUUAGAUCUUUAUUGAUUGAGAGGAACUAUCUACCUCUGUAAUGACAUUUUAUUCGCUUAUUAAUUAGAGUAAUAUUUGUACUCUAUUAUCAAUUUGUUAUUGUGUGCCUCGGCUGAUUCCUGGACGAGGGUUCACACACAUGUAAGCGUUUGGAAUUUUGGAUAGAAAUUCCGGGCGUGACAAGUUGGUAUCAGAGCCUCUUUGACCCUAGGUUAUGCCAAAUGGUUAUCCAUAGAAGCCCUCUAAAAAUAUUGGAAAAGUAGAACUGUUCUCCUCCCUUUCUCUUUUAAUUAAACCAAACUAAUGGCACAUGCACUUCAUAAUCUCUUUUAAUGGUUCUCAUUAAAAAUUUAUUCCAGUGUUAUUAGUACUGUACAUCUAUUACUGUACUAAUGGCUCAUUUACCAGCAAAAGUUUUACAAUACUGUUUUAUUUAAUCUUGCUGCAAUAAAAUAAAUUUAGCAUGUUGAUUUUAUAAUUUUCUUUCAUUUCUUUUGAAACCAGUUAUUCAAAAUUACAAAAUUUGUGACCUCGUUUCCAACUGUUUUAACUUAUCUCGCAAAGCUUGGUUUACUUUAUUUACUUACCUUUUUACUCUGAUUUUCUAACUUUAUUCAAAUUAAUCCAAAAACUUGUGCUAUUAAUUGGAUAAAGGUCUUAACUCCCUCCUUUCACUUGUCUUUAGAUGCCGCGUUACAAGCCUGAGUACCUGUUUGGUGUUGAGGGUUUUGUCCAGGAGUUGCGUACGAUGUCCUUUGUCAUUGGAUUUGGGACUGCCCCUUUUUAUGCCCAGAUUCCUCAUGAUCGUCAUGAAGAGAAGUGCCGAGUCAAAGUCACCUUGAACAGUAAUAGUGAAGAUAUCCCCUCAGUGAUGUUUGAAGCUGGAGGAAGAAACUACAUCCAUGCAUGUCAGGAGGUGGCAAGGAUCGCCAUAGGAGAGCUCCGUGAUCGCUACAGUGAUCAAUUGGCCGACACUGAGUAUCGCUACCAUCCUCGCCAACCCCAGGGAAGUGACCGUGGCAGUUACCUUGAGACUGAAGGAAUUGAGAAUGAUGCUACCACGAAGCAUUUGGUUGAGAUGUUGUGGGCUAUGGAUGAAAGUCGUGCGGAGACUGUGUUAGCCGCUCAAGAUCAUGAAGACCGGAAUCGUGGUAAGAUUUGCAAGUUAGAAGACAAGGUGGAUCGUUUGGAGAAGGAAUUAGCCGCAUUGAAGGGAGAAGCACCGCCGCAGAAGGCCAGGAUUCGUCUUACCGCAAGGAAGAGAGCUCUAUUUGUCCCUCGCUAUCAACUGGCGCCAAAGGUUCGUGUGGUGGAGAAAGAAGUUGCCCCAGCUCAAGCGGAUCCUCCGGUCAUCAUCAUAAGUAGUGAUGAAGAAGAAGAAUCCAAGCGCAACAAUUCCAAGAUUGAGUGGGUAGCAACUCAAGAUGAUAAAGACGAGCCUUCAAUCGACCUCCGAUGCUUGGAAGAACUAGAGUGACUUGUUAAGUCGUUGUCUUAGAUCGUUGUGUUAGUUUGCUUGCUUAAAGUUUGCUUGUGUGUGGCUCGCAUGUGAUUUACAUCAGUGGUGGGAUGUAAGUGCAUGCGUUUGUUUGCUUUUGAGUGUUAGGAAGUUGGUGAGUUUAGUGGUGUGAGAGUCUUUAGUUUGUAAUAAUGAAACUCAGUUAAGAUCAAUAAAAGUUAAAGUAAUUCUCUGUCCUAAGUAGUUUCCCCGGUUUCUCUUCUUGUGCCCUGUCCAUGCCAGAUGGUGAACACUCGCAGCAAUGGGAAUGGUCCCAACAACCCCAAUAACAACAACAAUGGAGAGAAUCCCACUCUUGCUCAAGUUCUUGCUCAACAGACACAGCUUAUGAACAUGAUGAUGCAGCAAUUUCAGAAUCAGCAAAACCAAGGAAAUAAUCAUGCACCUCCACAGAACAAGUUAGCAGAAUUUCUUCGUGUGAGGCCGCCUGUUUUCUCUAGUACCACUAAUCCUGUUGAAGCUAGUGAUUGGCUGCAUGCCAUAGAGAAGAAGUUGGAUUUACUUCAGUGUACUGAUCAGGAGAAGGUCUCAUUUGCAUCACAUCAGUUGCAUGGCCCUGCCUCUGAAUGGUGGGAUCACUUCCGCCUUAACAGGACUACUGCUGAACCUAUCACUUGGCUUGAAUUCACCGCUGCUUUCCGGAAGACGCAUAUACCAUCAGGAGUAGUGUCUCUCAAGAUGAAGGAGUUCAGGUCGCUUACCCAGGGAUCUCGCUCUGUUACGGAGUAUCUGCACGAGUUCAAUCGUCUUGCUCGUUAUGCUCCGGAAGAUGUGCGCAAUGAUGAAGAGCGCCAGGAGAAGUUUUUGGGAGGACUUAAUGAUGAGCUUUCUUACCCACUCAUGGUUGGAGAUUAUCCUGAUUUCCAGAAAUUAGUGGAUAAGGCUAUUCGUCAGGAGGACAAGUACAAUCGCAUGGAGCAGAAGAAACGUCGGAUUGCUCAAUUCAAGACACAACAGGGAAAUAAUCAGAAGCCGCGUCUUACUUUAGGACCCCAGCCCAUGCCACAGGGAGGUUCUUCGUCUGUUGUUCGUCCGCAGCGUCAGUUCUUCAACAACAAUGCUGGCAACAACAUCCGUAAUCAAGCUCCACGUCCUGUUGCAGCUCCAGCACAGCAACAACCUGCCAAGAGGGAGCAAGGCAGCAAGCCCGUGGUGUGUUUCAACUGUGGAGAUCCAGGACAUUAUGCUGACAAGUGUCCGAAGCCCCGACGCGUGAAGGUUGUCCCUGCCCAGAAUAACUCUGCUGUACCAGCAUCCAAGGCUCGUGUAAAUCAUGUCGCUGCUGCAGAAGCUCAAGAUGCUCCAGAUGUGAUUUUGGGUACGUUCCUUGUUAACUCAGUUCCUGCAACAGUACUUUUCGAUUCUGGUGCUACACAUUCAUUCUUAUCUAUGAGUUUUGCGGGAAAUCAUGGGAUGGAAGUAGAAGAUCUUAGACGUCCUUUGAUGGUUAGUACCCCAAGUAAUCAAGCACUCUCUUUGCAACGUAGCCCCUCUGUCAGAAUAGAAAUUCAAGGAGUACCAUUUCUGGCCAAUCUUAUCUUGUUAGAAUCCAAAGACCUUGAUGUCAUCCUAGGGAUGGACUGGUUAGCCAGACAUAAAGGUGUGAUAGACUGUGCCAACAAAAAAGUAACUCUCACCAGCUAUGAUGGUCGAGUUGUAACUGUUCAUGCAUUGUCAUCUGAGUCUUUAAGGUCAAGACUGAACCAGAUAACUUUGGAAGAGAUUCCUAUAGUCCGGGAGUAUCCUGAUGUGUUCCCAGAUGAUUUACCUGGUAUGCCGCCUAAAAGGGAUAUAGAGUUCAGAAUAGAUUUGGUACCUGGAACAACUCCGAUCCAUAAGAGACCUUAUAGAAUGGCAGCCAAUGAGUUGGCAGAAGUCAGAAGGCAAGUAGAUGAUUUGCUUCAGAAAGGAUACAUCAGACCGAGUUCAUCACCAUGGGGAGCUCCGGUUAUUUUUGUGGAAAAGAAAGACCAUACUCAGAGAAUGUGUGUGGACUAUCGUGCACUAAACGAUGUGACUAUCAAGAAUAAGUAUCCACUACCCAGGAUUGAUGAUUUGUUUGAUCAGCUUAAAGGUGCCACUGUUUUCUCCAAGAUAGAUCUUCGAUCAGGGUAUCAUCAGUUGAGAAUCAAAGAGGAAGAUAUACCUAAGACAGCUUUUACCACUAGGUAUGGGUUGUUCGAAUGUACUGUUAUGUCUUUUGGACUUACCAAUGCCCCUGCUUUCUUCAUGAACUUGAUGAAUAAGGUGUUUAUGGAAUACCUAGACAAGUUCGUGGUGGUCUUUAUUGAUGAUAUUCUUAUCUACUCUCGAACCAAAGAAGAGCAUGAGGAACAUCUUCGCCUUGCAUUGGAGAAGCUACGAGAACAUCAACUGUAUGCUAAGUUUAGCAAGUGUGAAUUUUGGUUGUCUGAAGUGAAAUUCCUUGGUCACGUCAUCUCAGCCGGAGGAGUUGCCGUCGAUCCUAGUAACGUGGAAUCCGUAACCAAUUGGAAGCAACCAAAGACAGUUUCAGAGAUUCGCAGUUUCCUAGGCCUCGCAGGAUAUUAUCGGAGGUUUAUAGAGAAUUUUUCCAAGAUUGCUAAGCCCAUGACACGACUGCUUCAGAAAGAUGUGAAGUACAAGUGGUCGGAAGAAUGUGAGCAGAGUUUUCAAGAGUUGAAAAGUCGCUUAAUAUCAGCUCCUAUUUUGAUUUUGCCUGAUCCAAAGAAGGGUUUUCAAGUGUAUUGCGAUGCAUCCAAACUUGGGUUAGGUUGUGUUCUGAUGCAAGAUGGGAAGGUGGUUGCUUAUGCCUCUCGACAGUUACGUCCGCAUGAGAAGAACUACCCUACUCAUGAUAUUGAGUUAGCUGCAGUCGUUCAUGCAUUGAAGAUUUGGCGUCAUUAUCUUUUCGGUACUCGUACAGAAGUGUACACCGAUCACAAGAGUUUAAAGUAUAUCUUUACUCAGCCGGAUCUGAACAUGAGACAACGGAGAUGGUUGGAAUUAAUUAAGGAUUAUGACAUGGGAAUUCAUUAUCAUCCGGGAAAGGCUAAUGUUGUAGCAGACGCUCUUAGCAGAAAAGGCUAUUACAAUGCUACAGAAGGACGACAGUUGCCAUUGGAAUUAUGCAAGGAAUUUGAAAGAUUAAAUUUGGGAAUUGUCGGUAGAGGUUUCGUUGCAGCCUUAGAAGCGAAGCCCACUCUAAUUGAUCAAGUUAGAGAAGCCCAAAUUAAUGAUCCUGAUAUUCAAGAGAUCAAGAAGAAUAUGAGAAGAGGAAAAGCUAUUGGUUUCUUGGAAGAUGAGCAAGGAACUGUAUGGUUGGGUGAGAGAAUCUGUGUCCUCGACAACAAAGAUCUAAAAGAUGCAGUUUUGAAAGAAGCUCAUGAUACUUUAUACUCCAUUCACCCUGGUAGUACUAAGAUGUACCAGGAUCUCAAGGAAAGAUUUUGGUGGGCAAGUAUGAAGCGUGAAAUCGCAGAAUAUGUAGCAGUAUGUGAUGUUUGUCAGCGAGUCAAGGCAGAACAUCAGAAACCCGCCGGUUUGUUGCAGCCUUUGAAGAUUCCUGAAUGGAAAUGGGAAGAAAUAGGUAUGGAUUUUAUUACUGGUUUACCCAGAACGUCAUCAGGCCAUGAUUCUAUUUGGGUGAUAGUCGACAGACUUACCAAAGUGGCUCAUUUUAUUCCGGUAAAGACAACCUAUUCCGGAAGUCGCUUGGCGGAAUUGUAUAUGGCAAGGAUUGUGUGUUUGCAUGGCGUCCCUAAGAAGAUAGUGUCUGAUCGAGGCAGUCAGUUUACUUCAAAUUUUUGGAAGAAACUUCAGGAAGAGAUGGGUUCUAAGCUGAACUUUAGUACUGCUUAUCAUCCACAGACAGACGGACAAACCGAAAGGGUGAAUCAGAUUUUGGAAGACAUGUUGAGAGCUUGUGCUUUAGAUUUCGGUGGAAGUUGGGAUAAGAAUCUACCUUAUGCAGAAUUUUCAUACAACAACAGUUAUCAAGCUAGUUUACAGAUGGCUCCUUACGAAGCACUGUAUGGUCGGAAGUGCCGCACUCCGCUUUUGUGGGAUCAAACGGGAGAACGUCAGGUUUUCGGGACGGAUAUCCUAAGGGAAGCAGAAGAAAAGGUAAAGGUCAUUCAAGAAAGAUUGCGAGUGGCUCAGUCUCGACAUAAGAGUUAUGCCGACAAUCGCCGUAGAGAUUUGAGUUUUGAAGAAGGAGACUAUGUGUAUCUUCGUGUCACGCCUCUUCGAGGAGUUCAUCGUUUUCACACCAAGGGAAAAUUGGCACCGUGUUUUGUGGGACCUUAUAAGAUUGUCAGUAGAAGAGGAGAGGUUGCUUAUCAGUUAGAAUUACCUCAAUCUUUGGCAGGAGUCCAUAAUGUGUUCCAUGUGUCACAAUUGAAAAAAUGUUUAAGGGUACCUACCGAAGAAGCUAAUAUUGAGCAGAUAGAAGUCCAAGAGGAUUUGACUUAUGUUGAGAAACCAAUCCGUAUCCUGGAAACAAAUGAGAGAAGAACCAGGAAUCGAGUUAUCCGUUUCUGCAAAGUUCAAUGGAGUAAUCACUCGGAAGAAGAAUCAACUUGGGAACGAGAAGAUGAAUUGAAGUCAGCUCAUCCGCAUCUGUUCGCCAGUUCUUCCGAAUCUCGAGGACGAGAUUCUGUUUAAGGGGGGUAGGUUUGUCACACCCUGAAAAUUUAAAAUUUAUAAAUUGUUGUUUAAAUGGAAUUUUUUAGAAAUAAUUUUAAAAGUCUUGAAGAGAAGAUCUAGUUUUAAUUAAUAAAUGCCAAUAUAAAAAGUGGCCAGAUAAAAUUUCAUUAAAUACUUUGCUUAAUUCUAUAAUUCCUAGAUUUCUCUGGGAUUUAUUUGAGCUAAGGAAGUAUUUUUAAUAAAUGGAAUUGCAUUUCAUGAAUAAUUUAAAUUGAAAAAGGUUUUAAAAAGUCUUCUUUUGGCUUUGGGCCGAAAGUCGGCCCAAAACCGCUCUCUCUCUCCUCGGCCCAGUCCGCCGCCGCGCGCGCGCGCGUCCGCCCGCUGACAGGUGGGGCCCACCUGUCGGGUUCGUCGUCCUCCUCCGGCCGAAACCCUAGUUUCGUGUCGCCGCCGCCGCUUUCCAAUCCGGCCGCUCCUUUCCGUUUCCGGCCGAAUUGAUAGAGGGGAAAUGAUCCUCGGGAUCUCCUCUACCUUUUCUCCUUUGGAAUCUUUGGCUAAAUCGUUUUGGAAAGCGUUGGAUUCGAGUUUGUCUCGGAUUCGUUCUUCCCGAUCUUUCCUUCCUCGUCGCCGGCCGCCGUGGGCCUUUGCCGCUGUCACAUCCUGAUUUUUGUUUCAGGAUUUAUAAAUUAUUUAAUAAAUUAUUAUUAGAAUUUAUAUUAAAUGUUCAUUAAUUUACAAGUGAAGUUAAAUGUGGGAAAUAAAAUUUUCUAAAUAUAAAGCAUGGAUGGAUUUAAUUUUUAUUAAAUUCUCCAUGGUUAAUUAUACUCUCUGGAAUUUUCUCGGAUUUUUCGGAGCUCAAUUCCUAAUUUUAAUCAUACAAAGAGCAUUUCAGUAAUAAUCCACAUAUUAAAUUAAUCAUUAAAUGGUCUAAUUAUAAUUUUGUUAAGUACUUUGAGUGUCCAAGUAUGUUCAAGAUUUUUCUUGGAAUUAUUUGAGCAUUGGAAGUAUUUUUAACAAUUCAAAGAUCAUUUCAGUGAUUAAUUUAAUUGGAAAAGUAAUUAAAAUUCACCUUUUCCUUUUCGGGCCGAAUUAGGAAAAGUCCUCUCACUCUCGGCCCGGUCUCCUCUCAGCCUGCAGCCCUUUUCCUCUCUUUCCCGAAGUAUGCUUUGUGUCCCUCCUUUAAUCAGUCCUUGGUAGUAGAAGCCCAGCCGAAAGUCUAGUUUGCCUCCCUGGCACUGUUCAUCUUCAAGCUUGGACAGAGCCGAGCCGCCCGUGCUGUGUCCUGUGCAGCCACCGCUUCCUCCGUUAAUUCCGCCACAUCCCGAGCUCCGUUUGCAAAAUUAGUUGAGGGGAAAUAUUCCUCUUAUCCUCCUCUAUCUUUACCCCCAAAAAUCGGAGCUAAUCGUUGAGUAUCUUAUCCGAAUCGAACUCGUUUUCGAGUUUAUCUUCAAAACCGAGUUUUUGAUUUCCCGGAUCGAUUUCUUGCGGGAGGAGUCCGAUCUCUUCAAUCCAAGGCUAUAAAUAGGACCCCCUAGUCCUCCUCUUUCGUUUGCCCCCUCUCCCGUGGUCUCUCGUGCUCCGUAGCUCCGUCGCCUCCGCCGUCGCCGCCGCUUGCCGUCGUCUCCUCGUCGCCGGCCGUCGUCGGUCGUCGUUUGGCACGAGGGUGAGUACCGUUGGGUUCGUCUCGUCGUUCUCUAUGUAUAGAUGUCCUCCAAAAUCCCGGCCGACCACCCUAGCUCCGGCGAGGUCGCCAUCCGAGCCGGCCACCAUUGAUGACGUCAUCAUGACAUCAUCAUCUUUUCCUUUUCCCUUUUUCUAAUAGAUUAAAUCUUCGGAAAUUCAUAACUAAAUCAUCAUAACUCGGUUUUGAGUGGUUCAAGUUGCUAAAUUCAUCUAAAAUCAUGACCUACAUGUUUGUUUACUUUAUAUGUACUGUUUAUUUGGUUUUUAUUAGUCUUUUUCUUCGUUUUGCGUGUUAGCUUAUCGUUUCCGUCGUUGCGAAGGUUCGCGAGUGCGCCGGAAGUAUUCAAGAAGAUUAAUUGAAGACCGAUUAUUGCAAGGCAAGUCACACAGAUCCCAAACAACCCUUUGAGCAUGUUGAACCUGUUUAAAGCUAUAGAUUUAUUUCAACUUAUGCAUUGUUUUCGAAUGUCAUUGGGUGGUGAGCCUUUCCCAUUUAAUUAUGGCCGAAGAUGACAUUAUUUUCCUAUGGGUUAUAAUUUGACUAGCAUGGACCUUAUAUAUUGGAUUGGUUCAGCUAGAUGUUACUUAUAGUUGCUUAGCCAUGCUUAGAAACAUUAGCACACUAAUGGGAUAACUUAUGACUCACUAUUAUUUAAUGAUGGUUUAAUGAUAGUUCACGAUGGUUAAUCGUGAUUGGUUAAUUAAUUACUUGCCAACUAAAACUUGAUAAUGGUGGGUUGUGAGCACAUGGUUUUGAGAGUCGUGCUCAUGACAAUUAAGGACCGGUUCGCGAGCUACUGUUGUGAAACAUUUAUCGUGCCAACCACAAGCCAGCGUGGGCAACGGCUUUAUCUUUUGUGUAGCGUGAUUCAUUAUAGUGCGCCAGACUGAGAAGUGGCGAGAAGUCCACGGGGGUCGCUGGGGAGUCCAUGCCUUGUUUAUAAGGGGGUGAUUAUGAUCCAGGAAAGGUGCGCUGUAAUGGGUUAUGUUGUGCAAGGGGUAUUGUCACAACUCCUUUCCGAGGUACCGUGGUGGUAUUGAGGCACAUGGUGACAUGAUGUGGGGUUGUGUCUUGUGGGUACAGUGGUACACCUCUGGCCAGAGUAAAACUAUUCGAAUAGCCGUGCCCGCGGUUAUGGGCGGGUUGAGCAAUGUUUUUCGUGAUUAGUCUCACACCUCUCACAAUAAUUAUGGAUGUUAUAACUGGUAAUAAUUUGUUUAGCUCCUGGUUUGGAGUUAGAUCUGUACAGCCGGGUAUGGUUGUUCAGGAUGGUUGGGCCUGUGCAGCAUGGGUGUGCUGUUCAGUGUUGAUUAAAAAUUUCUGAUUAAUUACUCCACUGUUUUACUUCUCUUAAAUGUUUUGCUAAAUGCUGCUUUUGCAAAUGAGCCUAUAUUAUGCCAUCCUUUGGUAUCCUUGUGCACUUGCAUAUUUGCUGUGUGGCUUGCUGAGUAUGUCAUAUGCUCACCUUGCAAUAAUCAAUCAAACCUCAGUUGAAGAUAAAGGAUCCAGAAGGAGAAGACGUUUGGCUUAUACCCCAGUUGAGCUGCCUGUGGGAGUGGAGCUGAAGCCAUCGCUAGAUCGUUAUUCCGCUGCUGUUUUCUUUUCUUUUGUAAGUAUGUAACGUUAUUAUUAUGAUGGAUUUGUAUAUUAAAUUGUCAGUUUGUGUACCUCGGCUGAUUCCUGGACGAGGAUUUUAUGCACAAAUAAGUUCGGAAAUUACUAGUGAAUUUCCGGGCGUGACAGCCGCCGCCUCCGAGCCCCUUUAAAAGGACCCCCGGUGUCUCCUCUACCCGUCGCCACCCUUGCCUUCGCCUCUAGUCGUCGGAAUCGCUCUAGCGCCGUGUGCCCUAGCUUCGCCGUCGCCGCCGCCGCUCCAGCCGUGCGCCGCCGUCGUUUCAGCCGUCGCCGUCGCUCGGGAAGACCACCGUCGUGCUCGCCUAGUUGUCGCCGUCCUCGUCCGCCCCUUCGCCGUCGCUGGAGAUCACCGGAGCAGCAUCGCCGUCGUCGACCCGAAGGUUCCCGCCGCUUCCUCCUCGUCGCCGUCGUCGUUCGUUGUUCUUCCGCCGCCGUUUUGGUCACCGGUGUGUUCGCCGCGUCGUCCUCUACGUGCUGGUGCCCUCCGUUUGCGUCCUCGCGCCGCCGUUCGCCGGCGAGCGUGCGCCGCCCGAGCCGCCGCCGCUGUCGGUGACGUCAUUGCCGACGUUAUCGGGGUCGUCCGCCGUGAGCCGCCGUGGACCCGAUCGAUCUCGGCCGUCCGUUUUGGAUUGGUUCGAUCUCGGCCGUCCGUUCGUGUGAACCGCCGCCCGUGCGCCCGGUCCACCAAACCCUAGCCCGCUGACGCAAUAAACCCUCUUUUCCUUUUCAAAAAUAAUUCAUUAUUGCGUCAUAAUUCAAUUUUAACCGAUAUAAGUGUUUUAAUCCGAUUUAAUCUUUAAAAAUUCAUAACUAAUUCAUCUUAGCUCCGAUUUAGUUGGUUCAAGUCUCUAAAUUUUUCUAAAAUUGAGAUUUACACUUUAAAAAUAUCCACAUGUACUGUUCAUGCUUGUUUAUGUGCUGUUUUGGUGAUUUUGCUCUUUUCUGCUUAGAUUCCGUCGUUUCCGGAGAGUCCGUUUUCGCAGAAGAAGAGUUUGAAGAGUUCCAAGGCCAGCAAGGCAAGUCACACAGAUCCCAAACAACCCUUUGAGCAUGUUGAUCCUAUUUAAAGCUAUUGUUUCUAUUCAACUAUUGCAUCUAUUUUCGAAUGUCAUUGGGUGGAAUUGACCUAUUCUUUGUUAUGGCCCUUUCGUACUUGAUUACCUUAUUCUUUGAUACCUUGGGUUAUUACAAUUUGACUAGUUGAGCUUUAUUUAUAUUGGUUCAACUAGAUAUUAGGUAUAAUUGCUUAGCCCUGCUUAGAAACAUUAGUACACAUUCGGGAUAACUAAUGACUCACUAUUAUUUAAUGAUGGUUUCAUGACAGUUCACGAUGGUCAAUCGUGAUUAGUUAAUUAAUUAAUGUGCCAACUAAAACCUGGUAAUGGUGGGUUGUGAGCACAUGGUUUUGUUGGUCGUGCUCAUGACAAUUAAGGACCGGUUCACGAGUUUCGGUUGUGAAACAUUAACCGUGCCAACCACAAGCCAGCAUGGGCAACGGCUUUAUCUUUUGUAUAGCAUGGUUCAUUGCGGGGCACCAGACUGAGAAGUGGCGGAGAUAAGCCCACGGGGGUCGCUGGGGAGUCCAUGCCUUGUUUAUAAGGGGGUGAUUAUGAUCCAGGAAGGUGCGCUGCAGUGGAUUGUGUUAUGCGAGGGGUAUUGUCACAACUCCUUUCCGAGAUACCGUGGUGGUAUUGAGGCACAUGGUGACAUGAUGUGGGGUUGUGUCUUGUGGGUACAGUGGUACACCUCUGAUCAGAGUAAAACUAUUCGAAUAGCCGUGCCCGCGGUUAUGGGAGGGUCUAACAAUGUCUUUCGUGAUUAGUCUCACACCUCUCAUCAUAGUAAAAGAUGCUUAAACUGGUAAUAAUUUGAUUAGCUCCUGGUUUGGAAUGGUAUAUUCCUGGUUUGGAGAUAGAACUGUGUAGCCGGGGUGGUUGUUCAGAAUGGUUGGGCCUAUACAACAGGGUAUGUUGUAUAGCGUUGGAUUAAUAUUGUUUAAUUACUUAACUGUUUUAUCAAAUUCUCAAAUGUUUGCUAAAUGCUGCUUUUGCAAAUGCAACCCUAUUAUGCCAUCCUUUGUUAUCCUGUGCACUUGCAUAUUUGCUGCGUGGCUUGCUGAGUAUGUCAUAUACUCACCUUGCAAUCAUUCAUCAGAGGAAGAGUUCUACAAUGAGGCUGAUGGUGUGGAGGAUUAGGAGUAGCCUUGGUCAAGCUGCCUGUGGAGUGGAGCCGUCUGCGCCGUUUAUUUAUUUUCCGCUGCUUAGAUCUUUAUUGAUUGAGAGGAACUAUCUACCUCUGUAAUGACAUUUUAUUCGCUUAUUAAUUAGAGUAAUAUUUGUACUCUAUUAUCAAUUUGUUAUUGUGUGCCUCGGCUGAUUCCUGGACGAGGGUUCACACACAUGUAAGCGUUUGGAAUUUUGGAUAGAAAUUCCGGGCGUGACAAUAUAAUAAAGGUAACAAUAUCAAGGAUGGUUCACAUACAAAUUUAGGUACGCAAUUUAUAAUUAGCAUGCAAGUUUAUUUAUAAACAAAACAUUUAUAAACUGGGUUCAAUAUGCUCAAGGAAGAGAGCGUAGUGACUUGCCUUGCUUUUAGAAACCGGUAUCUUCAAGAAAUCCACGUUUGACGAAUAACCGGAAUAUUCGAUACGCAGUUAGUACGAGAAAACCAAAUAACAUUCUUCAAUAAAAGUACCAAACAAUUCAAACUGGUAAUGCCAUUGGAUAGAUCUCGAUUUUAGAAGAAUUCCGAAAGUUGAACGGAAUCAAUCGGAGUCACGGUUGGAAAGAUAUGAAUCCCCAAAUUUUAUAGGAUUUAUAGAUCAAGGGGAGAAGGAUACCCAAAAUAGGAUUCCUUUUAUUUUGAAGGAAAUAUCCCCAUGGGUACCCUCUGGACUGGAGGAGGUACAAUGGACUUAUCCUUGGGUGAGCUUGGGCUUCAUCCCAAGGAUACAGGAGGUCGGAUAGGGACGUAUAGCAAACUUCCAGAGAGAAGCUUGGGUUACAUAGGGAAGCAACAUGAACUUUUGGUGGAUACAGAAGCUGAAAGGUGGGCUCUGUCCGGGGGUGUAAGAGGGAGGUAAAAUAGACUCACGUGAGGAGUCAACACUGUGGGCUCCACUGGUGGGUCCCACGAUCCUUUUUCUCCUUUCUUUUCUCUCCUUCUCUCUCUUAACUACUCUCGGCUUCUCCUCCUCACGGCUCUGUUUCUCUCGAUUCUUCCUCCUCUUCUCUCUGCUCUCUCACGCACGCCCCAGAGACGAAAGGCGCCGGCGAUGGUGGGCUGCCGCAGGGCGCGCGCCGGGGAGGAGACCGGGGAGCUGGCGGCUUAGGCCGGGCGGCGCGGCAGGAGGCAGCACCCCUGCCGGGCCAGCGCAUCCAAGCGCGCAGCUGGGGUGACGGCGCGGCACGGCGGCCAGGCGGGUGCGCGGCCGGGAGGCGAUGCAGAGAGGUGGCGUUGGCGGAGGAGGGAGAUGAGGGAGCUGCACCAGGUAGGAGGUGGUCGGGCGCCGGUGGCGAAGGGAGGAAACCGGCGGCGACGGCGGCCGAUGCGACGGCGACGCCGAUGGGCGUGAGGAGGCCGCGGCUGGGGGCGCUCGUCCCGGUGCAGGGACGCGGCCACGCAAAAGGGCCGGAGGUGGCGCCUGUGCGGGCCGAUCUGGUCGCGCGCGGGCGGCGUUCCACCCGGAGCGGCGGCGACCCGGAUCAAGGCGAUGAGGGUGGCGGAGGUCGCAGUGGUUCCUCGGCUGGGCGGAGACAGAGGCGGCCGUGUAAGCUGCUCGCGCGGCCGGUGUGGCCGUGGAGGCAGCACUCGCUCGGGGUCGGCCUGGCCGUGCGCGGCGGCAGCGGAGACGGUGCGGGGAGGUGAAGGCGACGAGCGGCUUGGAAGGAUGAAGCAGAGGUGGCCGUGACAAAGUUGACGGCGCGCAGGGUCCGGGCCGCACGGCUUGGAGCGCACUCAAGGUGCUCGUCCGUGCGCCUCGGGCCGGCGCGAGCAGGAUGAUGGUGGCGGGGAUCGAAGGGCGAGGAUGGAGGAGGAAUGGUUGGGCAUGGCAACUCUGGUAGCCAUAGUUUUUGCUUGAUUGUGGAUGGCUUCGAGGAUAAGGAAUAGAGCGAGGCUUCGAGGAUAAGGAACGGCACAGUGGCGAUGCGGCGGCGUGGACGCAGCUCACGCGGGCGGCGUGGACGCUCGUCUGUGAGCAGUGAAGAACAGGGACGAGCGGUGUGGACUGGGAGUAGCGGCGCACGCACAGGCGACGGCCUGGGUGGCGGCGAAGUGACCAUCGGUCACUAGGCUGCCCCGGAGCACGUGUCGGCGGCGGAUGGGAUGGACGGCGAUGAGGUGGGCCAGGAUGUCGACAUCGCCACAGGGGGGGAGGCUUACAAGGUAAGCUUCACUGCGAACUUGCUCUCCCAUUCGGUGUGAACUCAGUUCUUUCUUUCGGUGUGAGCCAUCCUCACUGCUUCUUCGGUGUUUGGGGAGGGAUUUGGUGGACUGGGUGCUUGCAGGAAUGGAGGAACGAGCGACCUUGCUCGGUGUACAGAUAUGGUGGCGCCAAGGAUGGACGCGGUGCGCGGCGUGCAUCGCUGCGGCGCACGGAGGCGCGACUCGGUGCACGGCGCGGCUGGCACGGUGCAACGGCGUGGUUGCCGACUGAUGCAAGGCGGCGCGGCUCAGCACAGUGCUCACCCGGCUCAACAUUUUGUCGAACACGUGGUGGGCAUGUGAACCUGGCUGGGAGGAGGAAGGAGGAAGGGCAGCUGGGCCAGCUGAGGUAAGGAAGGGGGUGGAAACAGACUUGGGCUGGAAUGAGGGAAAGGGAGGCAGGAUGGACUUAGGCUGUGAUGAGCUGUUGGGUUGGCAGAGCGAGAGAGAGGUGGCACAAGUGUAAAAGGAUACUUUGUAUAACUGUAGCAAGGAAUUUGUACAUCCCCAUUGUAAUUGGAAUUUUGUAGAUGGACCCCAAACAUGUAAUGGGAGUGUAUAACUGUAAUUGGACUGUAUAAUUGGACAUUCGGCUUUGAGCUGGGAUUGAAAUAUGGAAUUGGGGUUUGGAACUAAAUAAGAACAGUUUAAUUGGGGUAUUUGAAUGGGAUUUGGUUUGGCCGCUCAGUCGCCCAAGUAUUUAACUUAGGUUUUCUUUGCGACCGCUUGAAUGAAAAGAUGACGAUAUCGACGGAUUUUAGAAACGACGCUUGGCAUAAAAAUCCAUGCGACGCGGUAAGGUUUCAACAGUACGGACGAUAUAGACGAUAGGUUUAGGAGCGGCAUAUGGUAUACAAAACCAUUCGACGAGGUAGGGUUUCAAAGGUAGAGACGAUAUCGUCGACGUUUGGAUCAAUGCACAGCAUUCGACUUCGGCGAACGAUUCUAGAGUUUUCAAGGGUAGAGAUGGAAUCAAGGAUAUACGGGUCGACGCACGACCUUUAAAUACGUCAAGCGAUUUUAGAGUUUCAAGCGAAUGGAUGAACUCGGGGAUUUUAAGUAGAAGGAAUAGGGGAGAAUGGAAUCCGAGGGAGGCCGAGUCGAAAAGACGAAGCGAGUCUCGAUUCAAAAGCAUGGUUCCAAGGGUUUGGGAAAAGCAACAAUGCUGUGACAAGGGGAGGAUUUUAGGGUUUCGUUUCGCUUAGCUUCGGAGCAUUUAGCGAAAAAGAAGGACGUUGAUCGGAGGACAUCCUUUAGGUGAAUCGAUUUAAUCGUGGUAUUCUAACGAUUCAAGGGAAGAAUGCUGCAUUGCAAUUGACUAGGAGGGUUGAGAGGACAGCGAAAGGAUUUUGCCCUAUGAGGUGAUUCUGAAAGAACUACUGGGUUCGAGUAUUUCGUGAUAUUCGAACAAUUGGUUCGGGAGGGGUUUGAUGAAGGAGGAUUGAGCUACGGAAUUCGAAUCCGAAGGAAUUAUGACAAGGAUUGAGAUUCACAAGGACGGUUUAACCGAAAUCUUUGGCACAAACAUACAAAUGCACACAAUUAACGCAAAUCCCAUUAUGCAGGUCAGCUAGGCCUUUCAAGGAAGAAAACUAGGCUUUUCCGUGAAUUCUUUUGAAAUAAACUCUUUUAAGAUUUUAGUUCGUAAAUAGAGUUUUGCUAGUAAAUUCCUUAUUUGUAAAAUAAUUUCCAAACACUUAUAAUUUCAAAAUAGGGUUUUCAGAAGUUAACUAAAAUUAGCCCUCAUUUGCAAAAAUAGUUUUCUCGGAAAAUAUCUCUCAAAGUAUGUUUUCUAAAUAUCUAGUAUUUGUUUUCAUUUAUAAAACAAAUACAUCAAAUGGGUUCUCUUUCAUAGAAAAGGGUUUUCAGAAAGACAAAUGGCAUUUGCAAACAUUUUCUAAAUUAAUAUAUUUCAUAAUCAUGGUUCUUUUAGCAAAUAAUAUUUGAAUCAAAAAUAGAUUUUGUUUCUAGAUUUCCGUCCUCAUGGUCCAAGCGUAACCGAAAAAUGGGAGAUAGAAUCAAAUAAAGCCAGCAUGAUGGAUUUUGGAAAAGAUUUUUGAUUAACAUGAAAUUUUAAUUUCGCAAAUCAGGACAGAAAUUUUCAGGGUGUUACAGUAAUAUUCAGCCAAACUUUCAAAAUUAUCAAGGAGGUAAUCUGAAUUAUCAGCACCAGCCUUCGUCACCUCAUGUCCAGUACCAGCAAACAAGAUCGCCUCAGCCCUAUGUUGAUGCGAAAACACGUGGCCUGGGAGAUCUGCUUAACUCCAGUGCAGGUCCAAAAAGCUUGCCUUAAGAUUCGUUGAGCGGGCCAGUUGAUUUGAUCCUGCAAUCAACAAGAAACAAAGAAAGAAAAUAACAGUUAAAUCCAUAAAUGAUAGCCGAUCGGCCAGCUGCCGAUGACAUAUCAUUUAUACUUGAGCCGAUGUCAUCUUUGCAUCGAUCUGCUGUGCGAGACGAUAAUAAAGGAACUAAAUCUAUUCGAUUGACUAUAGAUAUCAAUGAUAUAUAAUCUUUAUGUCGAUAUAUACUUAAAUCAAGUGAUUGGGAUAGAUCGGUCGCCAUGCCGAGACAGUAUAAAUCACUUAGACCAAAAUAUAUAUUAACAAGGAAACUAUAAUCAUUCACAGCAUAGCCGAUCAGAUAGAUCUAGCGUGUAUCGGCUAAUACUCCGAUACCACUCUAUAUUAAGAUACCAAAGCAAGUAAAAUAUAUCAAACAGGAAGCUUAAUAUACCUAAAAGCAAUAAGAUCUUAACAUAAAGGGCAUAUCUAGCAUAUCAAUUAAGCACAUGAAAUAUAAGGCUAAAUCUGUUAAGAUCGGCUGAAACCCCGAUACUACCCUAAUCGGCAACCAAAGACAGGCUAGAGAUUGCGAUUCUAAUCACGACUUAUAAGGUCAAACUCAACUGAUGUAGCUAUAAGUAUGAAAAGAAAGACAAUAUCUAGACAAUCAAGCCGUCAGAAGUUUCAUAGAGUGGUAGAUAUCCUAUAUAAUCUAAGUCAACAUCGGUAUCUAACCCGAUCGGCUAUCUUCUAGCGAUAGAUGUUAGCCGAUUGAGGGUUAGAUAAUGAUAUUGACAGAGAUUAUAUAAGGUAUAUGAUAACUCGACAACUUACAUAGACAAGAUUAGAGUAUCAUAAUGAUGGAAGCACUAAUCCCGAGAACGCAAGCCACCAUAACAAGUUUUACCUCUAGUUGAAGAUCGAAACCGAUGCAGCUCAACCCGAAAGCAAAAACUCGUCGAAAACAAACGAAAGUAAAAGGGUGGUGAUGUGCCGAGAUUGUAUUUGAACGUGUGUUGUUUUAUUACAUGGGGCUCGGGGUCUAUUUAUACCCGAGAUUACAAAAUAUGUCCUUGUCGGACACGACUCUUAUCUCUAAUAAACUCUAAAAUACCAUAAGUCUUUGCGGCAAACUUUUGCCCACACUUAUCUGUAAGGAAAUUACACAAAAUAUCCUAAUUAAUAGAUACAAUUGCCUUUUCAGGACUCAAUCCGAUUGUGGCAAUCCAUAUGAAGCACAUUAACUCAACCCGGCAACGUGUACCGAGUUAUAUUGUCGGAAUCGGCUCAAUCGGCUAACCUUGCCCGACUCGAACUCUGCCGAUUAAGGUCGCAGCCGAUUCGGACUUAGCCGAUUCUUGCUCUAUUUCCGGAACGAUCUUCGUCUCAGAUUCCGCUUUGAUCUAAUCUUCAUCUCCGAUACUCAAAUUACCAAAUUUGGUCAUUAACACCCCAAUUUGCUCCUCAGUUUAAUCAGUUUGAGCCGAUACAGCAACAGACGCAUGGAGUACCUCAGCAAAGGCCAUGGGCUGAUAUGAUUGCAGAUGUGAUGAGAGAGCAGUUUGGGCUUAAGCCGAAAGACACUGGAAACCUGUAUCGGCACCCAUACCCUGAGUGGUUUGAAAGGGUUCCAUUGCCUAGCCGAUACAAGGUACCAGACUUCUCAAAAUUUUUAUGGCAAGACAAUGUUUCGAUAAAUGAGCAUGUCAGCCGAUUUCUGGCUCAAUGUGGUGAGGUAUCGGCUGUUGACGCCCUAAGAGUUAGGCUGUUUCCUCUGUCCUUGUCCGGAUCGGCAUUCACAUGGUUUUCUUCUUUGCCAUACAAUUCUGUCAAUAGUUGGGCCGAUUUGGAGAAACAGUUUCACAGCUAUUUUUAUAGUGGGGUUCAUGAGAUGAAACUAUUUGACCAGACAACAAUAAGGCAAAGGCAUGAUGAAUCUGUGCAGGAUUAUAUUCAGAGAUUCAGGGAGAUGAGGAAUAGGUGCUACAGUUUGGCUCUGACAGAUUCUCAGUUAGCCGAUCUGGUUUUUCAGGGUUUGAUAGCUCUGAUCAAGGAGAAAUUUUCAUCUCAGGAAUUCGAGAGCUUAUCCCAUCUCGCACAGAAGGUAACCUUGCAUGAACAAAGAUUUGCAGAAGCUAAGAAGAGUUUCAAGAAGAUCAAUCAUGUAUAUCCUUAUAUGUAUGAUUUUGAUGAAGAGGAUGAUUCCGAAGUAGCAGCAGCCGAGUGGGUCAGGAGUAAGAAAGUUGUGCCAUGCCCAUGGGUGAGGAGUUCUGGGAAAGAGGAAAGAUUUGACUUUGACAUCACCAAGGCUGAUAAGAUUUUCGAUUUGUUGCUUCGGGAGAAACAGAUUCAACUUCCUGCUGGUCAUAUAAUCCCAUCGGCUGAAGAAUUAGGCAAGAGGAGGUAUUGCAAGUGGCAUAAUUCUGGUUCUCAUUCUACUAAUGAUUGCAAAGUUUUCAGACAGCAGAUCCAGGUGGCCAUUGAGGGAGGGAAGAUUAAAUUUGAUGAUUCAAAGAAGCCGAUGAAGGUUGAUGGUAAUCAUUUCCCUGUUAACAUGGUGCAUACAUCUGGAAGGACAGCCGAUGGAGGGAAGAGUCGGAAUUUUCAGUUAAAUUCAGCUAGAAUUAUCAACAAGUAUCAGAAGAGGCAUGAUAAGCAGCAGGAAAGAUAUUUCAAGGAAGAUGAUGGUGGGUUUGAUCCUCUUUGGGACUGUGACUUCUUCAGAUUCUGUUGGAAUGAAGGCAUGAGGCUACCAUCGAUCGAAGAUUGCCCUGGGUGCAGUGAUAAUAUAGGGAGUUCAAGCCGAUCCUACAGCGGGAGUAAUCGGCCGAGUCAGAGAAGGGUGUCUGUUCAUCUGAGAUUGGGUCCAGUUAAUCAAGACUGCUACCAGGAUGAAGAUGAGGGUAGGAAGACUCAAUGGUGUCCUUCUGGUAUUUUCACCAAAAAUCAGAAAAGAAGGGUUCAGAGAAUAAGGAAUAGAGAACGUCUUCAGGAGGUGCAACAGGAGAUCAGCCAUCGGCUGAAGAAAACAAAGACCAAGCAGGAGUGGCGUGUUAAGAGCACGGUCACAACAGCCGAUGAAGUUGAAGCUGACAAAGCAAAAAGAUUGCUCAAGGGUAACGCUACUGCAUCUGCAUCGGUAAACAUGGUGUUUAUGCUACCUGCCGAAUUUGAAGCUAGGCAAGCCGAUGUUGAUGAUGUUGAAGAGGCAUCUGCUAGACUGGUGUUGUCACCGGAACAGGCGAUUUUUGAGAAGUCGGAGGGGAUAGAGAAUCGGCAUCUCAAGCCAUUGUAUAUCAAUGGAUUUGUCAACGGGAAGCCGAUGUCCAAGAUGAUGGUUGAUGGAGGAGCCUCUGUGAAUUCGAUGCCAUAUGCUACAUUAAGAAAAUUGGGUAGAAAUUCAGGCGAAUUGUUGUAUUCCUUCGACCAUGCACCAGUGCUUGAUUCAAUGGCAAGGCGACAAGAUUGAAAUUGUACCAGCUGACAGGUCAGUUAACGUUGCUAGUGCUGAUUUAGCUCUUUGGGAGAUGGAUGGUAUUGAUUGCCUAUCUGGAAAAGUUUGGGAUGGAGAUUUUCUAAAAGUGUCCGAUUGUGAUAUACAAUCGAUUGAAGAUGGAGAGCCCAAAUUAUUAUUUUGAGGGCGUCGUGGAGGGUUCAAACGUCUACACCAAGGACACGGUAGAUGAUCUCGAUGACAAACAGGGACAAGGUUUUAUGUCGGCCGAUGAUUUGGAGGAAAUUGAUAUAGGUCCGGGAGAUAGACCAAGGCCGACAUUCAUCAGUAAGAAUUUAUCUCCAGAAUUCAGAACCAAGUUGAUAGAGCUUUCAAAGGAAUAUAGAGAUUGUUUUGCUUGGGAGUAUUAUCAGAUGCCAGGACUCAGCCGAUCGAUAGUUGAACAUUGGCUUCCUAUCAAACCAGGGGUUAGGCCAUAUCAGUAGUCACCAAGGAGAUGUAAAGCCGAUAUGCUUGAUGAUGUCAAGGCUGAGGUUACACGUUUGUAUGACGCUGGUUUCAUACGUCCAUGUCGAUAUGCUGAGUGGAUUUCUAAUAUUGUGCCAGUCAUCAAGAAAAAUGGUAAAGUUAGAGUGUGUAUUGAUUUUUGGGAUCUAAACAAAGCUACACCUAAGGAUGAGUACCCUAUGCCGGUUGCUGAUCAAUUGGUUGAUGCUGCUUCAGGACAUAAGAUAUUAAGUUUUAUGGAUGGCAAUGCUGGUUACAAUCAGAUUUUUAUGGCCGAAGAAGAUAUUCAUAAGACAGCUUUCAGGUGUCCUGGUGCAAUCGGCUUGUUCGAGUGGGUUGUGAUGACUUUUGGCUUGAAGAGCGCUAGGGCUACAUAUCAGAGGGCCAUGAAUUACAUAUUCCAUGAUCUGAUCGGCUAGUUGGUUAAAGUUUACAUUGAUGAUGUGGUUGUUAAAUCGAAGGAAAUAGAAAACCACAUAGCCGAUUUGAGGAAGGUUUUUGAAAGAACUAAAAAAUAUGGCAUGAAGAUGAACACAACGAAGUGUGCUUUUGGCGUAUCGGCUGGCCAGUUUUUGGGAUUUCUUGUUCAUGAGAGGGGGAUCGAGGUAACUCAAAGGAGUAUUAAUGCAAUUAAAAAGAUUCAACUUCCGGAGGACAAGAAGAAGUUGCAGGAGUUGAUCGGCAAGGUAAAUUUUGUUAGAAGGUUUAUCUCUAAUUUAUCUGGCAGAUUAGAACCUUUUACACCCUUGUUGAGGUUGAAAGCCGAUUAAGAAUUCACUUGGGGGGCAGAACAACAGAAAGCGUUGGAUAACAUUAAAGAAUAUCUUAGUUCUCCUCCAGUUUUGAUUCCUCCACAGAAGGGGAUACUUUUCAGAUUAUAUCUAUCGGCUGGUGAGAAGUCGAUCGGCUCAGUUUUAAUUUAGGAGCUUGAAGGGAAAGAGAGGGUUGUGUUUUAUUUAAACCACCGGCUCUUGGAUGCAGAAACGAGGUAUUCUCCUGUGGAAAAGUUGUGUUUGUGUUUAUAUUUCUCUUGCACAAGUUAAGGCAUUAUCUAUUGUCCAAUGAAUGCACUGUGAUAUGUAAAGCCGAUGUGGUUAAGUAUAUGCUAUUGGCUCCAAUUUUGAAGGGAAGGGUUGGAAAGUGGAUAUUUGCUUUAACGGAGUUUGAUCUUCGGUAUGAGUCACCAAAGGCAAUUAAGGGACAAGCUAUAGCCGAUUUUAUUGUGGAUCAUUGUGAUGACUCAAUCGGCUCGGUGGAUAUUGUGCCUUGGACUUUGUUUUUUGAUGGAUCAGUGUGCACUCAUGGUUGUGGUAUCGGCUUGGUUAUAAUUUCCCCUCGGGUGGCAAGUUUCGAGUUUGCCUAUACUAUUAAGCCUUAUGCGACUAACAAUCAAGCCGAGUAUGAAGCGGUUCUCAGGGGGUUGCAGUUGCUUAGGGAAGUUGAAACCGAUGCUGUUGAAAUUAUGGGUGAUUCCUUAUUGGUGAUCAGUCAAUUGGCAGGGGAAUAUGAAUGCAAGAAUGAUACAUUGAUGGUCUACAAUGAGAAGUGCCGAGAGUUGAUGAGUGGAUUUCGGCUGGUGACUUUAAAGCAUGUGUCACGAGAGCAGAAUGUUGAGGCUAUUGAUUUGGCUCAAGGGGCAUCGGGAUAUAAGCCGAUGACAAAGGAUGUCGAAAUAGAGGUUGUUGCAAUUAUAGCCGAUGAUUGGAGGUAUGAUGUGUAUCAAUAUUUACAGAACCCAUCUCAAUCGGCUUUUCGGAAAUUGCGUUAUAAGGCUUUGAAAUACACUUUAUUGGAUGAUGAGUUAUAUUAUCGAACGAUUGAUGGGAUGUUGCUUAAAUGUUUGAGUACCGAUGAAGCCAAGGUUGCGAUAGGCGAGGUACAUGAAGGAAUUUGUGGUACUCAUCAAUCGGCUCACAAGAUAAAGUGAUUGCUUCGACGUGAGGGUAUUUUUGGCCGACAAUGUUGGAAGAUUGCUUCAGAUACUACAAGGGAUGUCAAGAUUGUCAAAAGUUUGGAGCAAUUCAGAGAACACCGGCAUUGGCUAUGAAUUCGAUUAUCAAGCCAUGGCCAUUCAGAGGAUGGGGUAUGGAUAUGAUCGGCCAGAUUAGUCCUCCUUCUAGUAAGGGGCAUAAGUUCAUAUUGGUUGCGACCGACUAUUUCACCAAGUGGGUAGAGGCUAUCCCUUUGAAAAAGGUUGAUAAAGGAGAUGCUAUACAAUUUGUUAAAGAACAUAUCAUCUACCGAUUUGGUAUUCCUCAGACCAUUACAACUGAUCAGGGGUCAAUCUUUGUGUCUGAUGAGUUUGUUCAGUUUGCCGAUAGCAUGGGUAUCAAAUUGUUGAAUUCUUCUCCGUACUAUGCACAAGCCAAUGGACAAGCCGAGGCGUCUAACAAGAGUUUAAUCAAGUUGGUUAAUUAAGAGAAAGAUUUCUGAUUAUCCUCGGCAAUGGCAUACUAGGUUGGCCGAAGCAUUGUGGUCUUAUCGGAUGGCUUGUCAUGGAUCGAUUCAAGUUUCUCCUUAUAAGCUUGUUUAUGGACACGAAGCAGUUUUACCAUGGGAAAUUAGAAUCAGCUCGAGAAGGACUAAUUUGCAGAAUGAGCUGACAGCCGAUGAGUAUUAUAAUCUCAUGGCCGAUGAAAAGGAAGACUUGGUUCAAUCAAGAUUGCGAGCUCUUGCAAAAGUUACCAGGGAUAAAGAAAGGGUUGCUCGGCAUUAUAACAAGAAGGUGGUGCCUAGGUCUUUUUCUGAGGGAGAGCUCGUUUGGAAGUUAAUUUUGCUGAUAGAAACUCGAGAUAACAAAUUUGGCAAGUGGUCACCAAAUUGGGAAGGACCGUUUCAAAUCCAUAUGGUUGUGUUCAAAGGAGCUUGCAAGGGCUUGAUGGAGAAGUUUAUGGACGAGCACUCAAUGGGAAAUACUUGAAGAAAUAUUAUCCAAGCGUAUGGAUCAAUUCAUGAUCGGCCGUGUUUGCUGAUACAUGCAAAGCCGAUGUAAUUGACAUCGCUUUUAGAUGGCCGAUGCAAGUUGUAUCGCCCUUAGUUUUUUUAUCAUAAUCGGCUACGUUCUGCCGAUGUGCGAUGGCCGAUAUUUAAUAUAUCGCCGUUAGUCCAAAUUGUAAUUUUAUCAAAGCCUUCAUCAUUGUAAAAUUAGGGGGCACAUAUAUACAAAAUUAAGAAUUUUUGAGCAAAUUGAGAAGUUAUAUUAAUCGGCACAAGGGAUCAGCAAGAUAAUCAAAGUUUCUUAGCCGAUUACACAAAAGCAAUCAGAAGAAGUAUCAAAGUUUCUUAGCCGAUUACAAAAAAUUUUCUAAGCCCUAUUACAAGGAUAGUCAUUCGGACAAGUAGUGUUGGAUAGCUGAUACAGCCCGCUGUCUAAUUUGGUCUACUUCCUCGAUGGCUUGGAUGUCUUGGGCGUCGGUUCCAGGAAUGAUCUUGAGAGAUUUGGUCAAAUCAGCCACGUUCUUGAUAGCCGAUUUUAACCUCGACUUCUGCUCUUCGACAGCCUUUGGGAGAUCGGCUAACUUCUUUUGUUCCAGAGCUAGUUUGGCAUUGCAUUCCUUCAGCUGAGCUAUAAGAUCUAUCUUUCGAGCCUCAAGCCGAUCUAUACUGGUUUGAAUCGGCCCAACCGAAAGCUGAUUUAACUUAGCUUUUUCUUCAUGAACGGUGUGCCGAUUGGCUUGAAUAGUGGCUUCAAUAUCCCUUCGCUCUCGUCGAUCGGCUAUCCUCUGCUUGGCUUUUUCCAGCUUGAACUGAUGUUGCUCAAGAUAUACAGCUGGAGAGAUGGUGUUUGCCAGAUCAUUCGGGAUGAGUGCUUGAAUCUCGGCAAAUCUUGCUCGGAUUGUACCACAGUCAAUCACCAGGUUAUCCAAUGAUGCAUCUAGCCGUUGAGAUAUGUCUUCAAGGAUUUUCCUCACAUCAUCAGUCAAAGGGGGUACAACUUUACUGGUGAUGUCUUCUUCUUUCUCCUCAUCAAAAUAAUCCUUGAGUUCAAAGGAGAACAGAUCGGCUAAGACCUGCAAGGGAGAAAAUUAAAGAUGAUUAAGUAUCAAAACAUGUUAUAUAGCCGAUCUGAGGUCCUGAAGAUAAAACUUACUGGGAUAGCAGGAGCAGCUGGUUGUUCUUCUUCUACAUGGUGGCUUCCUGCAGCCGAUGCAGUAUGUUCGCUUGAGUCAGGCUACACAAGAGGUGAAGGUGGAGGAAGGAGCUAAAAAAGAUAAGUGUUAGUUGUUGUCGGUAAGGAGCAAGUUUAACAAUGCAAGGAAAAUUCAAGUUACCGAUCGGGCAGGAGAAGGGACUAGAGAUGGUAUUGGUGCCGAUUUCUUUCUGCCUGCAAGUUUCUUUUUCUACAAGAACAAGUCUUGUUAAGGAAAAUCGGCCAAUAGAAUUUAAAGUGUUGAGAUCGAAAGGUGUUUACCCUAGCUUGCCGAGCUGGAGCAAUUGGUGUUGAGGGAGUCUUUUGAGAAAUUGGGGCAUCGGCUGGUGGUGUUCGUUCCCUCGCUUCACUAAGUUCGGUUGCAGCUUCGUCGACAUCUUCUUCCAUCUCCGCUUCAUCCAGGAAUUCUUCUACAUCCGGAUCAAUAGCAGGUAGAUCAUCGGCUGGUUUAGACUUUUGCUUUUUGGCUUUCUUCUUUGUAGCCGAUGGUUCGACAGCAGAUGCUUUGGUUUUCCUCUUCUUUCCGGCAUCGGCUGGUUCUCUUAUUUGCCCUUGGAGCAAACUUGAGGUCUUGGGGGAAUGGUAGCCGAUUAUCAGAGGAGCCAAUCCACCACCAUUAGGAAGGAGGCCUGCUGGAUAUUCUAUGUCCCUGCCACUAUAACUCUUGCGAGGAGGAGAUGAUUCUGUUGUCUGCAAAUUAGAAAAAGAGAUUGGUUAAGAUGAAAAUCGGCUGAUAAAGUUGAAUAGGAACUACUAAAGUAAAAGACUUACUUGAGGAAUUAAGUCCGGGAAGAGGCUCGUCAUGUAUACAGAAGCCGAUUGAUGAAAGAGGUGCUGUUUUCAUUCACCCCACCAUAGAUCAAAGGCCCUGCUUCUGAAUUGGGCUAGCUUUAUAUUAUCAAUGGUGCCGAGAGGAGGUCCCUGGAUGUUUAGCAACCGAUCCAUCAUCAAGGUUGAUGAGAUAUCCCCUCUGCAUUGGAUUUUAUCGGCAAAAUACAAGCUGAUUGGGAGUUGGCCCAUUCCAAAUUGCCUAGCAGAAUUCGUUGGGUGGUAGAAUUCAUAAGAGGCUUGGAUAUUCCUGCCCUGAUGGAUGCCAACUGGAAGGAUACAUGGGCUAAUAGCAGCAGCGAAGACUUCUCUGGAUCUAUCAAAAUUUUCAGAAUUGAUAUCUUCAAAUCGGAAGUCCGAUGGUAGCUCAAAGUCCAUUGAGUCUUCAUAGAAGAACCAAGCUCGAGCAUUUCUUGGAAAACCAUCAUAAAAACUGAAGAACCAAUCCUUCAGUAAUUCAGCCGAUAGCUUUGCUCCAGCAUCGGCAGGUGUGGACGCAUAUUCCCUGUAUGACAUGCAUCGACAGUGCGUGCGCUCCUCUCCAUCAUCAUCAUCUAUAAUCGGCUCCAACCUUGGAAACUCAGCUUCUGUCACAGAUGGCCGAUUAACAGCUUUCAUGGCUACUAAAUUUAGCCAAGUUUGUAGCAGCCACCAUGGUCCACCUACACUGACAACUGAGCCGACAACUAUCUUAGCCGAUGCAUUGUUCAACAUUUGAUAUAGAUAUCGAGGAGGAUUUUGCCUAAAGGAAAUUGUCUCUUUCACUCUAGGGCUUCGGCUAUAUGCUGCCAGUUGGAAGUAGGACCACAGCUGGAUCCACAGAAGAGAUACUUUUCAAGCCACAUGAGGAGAAAGGCUACAUGUUCCUGAGGGGUGACAGAUCUUGUGCCCAUGUUCAUGGAGAUAAAUCCUGACCAGCCGCCUAUGCUCUUGGUCUUGAAGUCAAAGGUGUUCUUGGUGUUCAAGCUCAUAGGGUUGGCCGAUGAGGUGACAUCUAAGCCGGUUAUCAUUGUUAUGUCCAGGAGAGUGGGUGUCAUCGGCCCUUGGUUGAACAUGAAAGCGUUAAGGGUGUUGGACCAGAAGUAGGUUGCAGAGGCCAUCAAGGGUUCAUCCUUAGCCGAAUUUGCUAAGGUAAGAGAAAAGGGCUUGGUCGAUUCCUAACUCAUUCCAGUGAGUCUGCUUACUAGCCGAUACACGCUUGUACCAUACGGGCCAACUUUUCUCAGGAGUGCUUUUCUCAAGAGAGGGCCAAGACUUAAAAGUGUUCUUCUAAUGACUUAGAUCUGGGCUAACCAAUCUAAAAGGUAUCCUAUUGGUCUCGGCGCUAAUAAACUCAGUAGGGUCAGGAUUGCCGAUCAGACCAAGGAAGUACUAAUGCUCAUGAGAAAGGCUGGGAAUUGCUACCAAAUUGGAAAGGUGCUACAGAUGCAAAAAGAAUAGAGAAGAAGAAAACAAGAUGAGAUAAAGGAAAACCGAUCUACUGUACAAGAUUGAAGAUCUAGCCGAUGGGCACAUACCUCUGCAUACUCGGCCGAUGGAGUGGCAGACGGGCUGGCGGAAGUCGACAUCGUCGCGGACGGAAGAUUGAUCGGAAGGGGAGUCGCCUUGAGAUCGCCAUGCGCACUGAGGGGAUCACCGGAGAGAGAGAAGACAGAACUUGUUUCGGCGGUGAAAGUGGAAAUAAUGGUGUGAAGUUUCUCGGGGGUGACGGUUAGUAUUUAAAGCACUGCGGUAACGGUUAGAAAAAUGGCAAUGAGCGAUUUUCUUGGAGGAACAGAUAUGACAAAUCCGAAACAUUACCAAAUAUUCCGGACUUGGGGGGCAUGUGUUAACAACCAAAUUUGGUACCUGAUUGCCUGAUCUUACCUGAUUUAACUACUUUAUAUCCUAUAUGCUUGAUUAAUAUGUUAAAUCCACCAUUUAUGUUAAGAUCUUAUUGCAUUUAAGUAUAUUAAGCAUCAUGUUUGAUAUAUUUUGCUCGCUUUAAUAUCUUAAUAUAGAGUGGUAUCGGAGUAUUAGCCGAUACAUGCUAAAUCUAUCUGAUUGGCUAUGCUAUAAACGUUUAUAAUCUUCUUGUUAAUAUAUAUUUCGGUCUAAGUAGUUUAUACUGUCUCGGCAUGGCGACCGAUCUAUCCCAAUCACUUGAUUCAAAUAUAUAUCGAUAGAAGUAUUAUAUUUCGUUAAUAUCUACAGCCGAUCGAGUAGAUUUAGUUCUUUCUUGCUUAUUUAUGACUGUCGAUCAAUGCAAAGAUGACAUCGGCUCAAAGAUAAAUGAUACGUCAUCGACGACUGGCCGAUCGGCUAUCAUUUAUGGAUUUAACUAUUAUUUUCCUAUUUUUGUUUCUUGUUGAUUGCAGGAUCAAAUCAACUGGCACGCUCACGAACUUAAAGGCAAGAUUUUUGGACUUGCACUGGAGUUAAGCAGAUCUCCCAGGCCUUGUGUUUUUCACAUCAACAGAUGGUAGACAAUAAUUUAUUCCGUAAAGCCCAUUUCACGGUUCUGCAACAAUCUUCAUUGGUGGCUCCUUACAUCGAGGAGCACUUGUCUCUAGUUCGCGCCAGAAACAUCGGUAACUCCGAUGCAUGGAUUACACGGCAUCACAUUGAUACAUUCCCCGCGUGGCUGCGACAACAUCUCAUGGGUAACGAGACGAUUAACCAACAACUAGCCUUCCUGGCGAGGGGACCAUCUGGCUCGAUAGCGACAUUCCAAGGAUAUGAGAUCAAUGGGUACACAUUCUACACGAGAGCGCAAGACAUAAAGAGCACGAACCAGAACAGUGUUGUUCGUAUCGAUGCCAUGGGACACGAUGGUAAUUACGGUGCUAUCGAGGACAUAUGGGAACUUGACUAUGGACCUCUCAAGGUCCCUCUGUUCCGGGGCCAAUGGGUUAGGCUGACUGGUGGAGGCGUAACGAUUGAUGACAGUGGGAUGACAACGGUUGACCUUAACAAGGUUGGAUACUCAGACGAAUUUUUUGUCCUUGCCAAUGAUGUAACGCAAGUUUUUUACGUGAAGGACAUGUCUAGCAAAGUGCCUAACGUGCCGAAGCGCCACGUGGUUCUCCCAGGCAAAAGAAAAAUCGUCGGAGUCGAGGACAAGACUGACGAGGAUUAUGAUCAGUUUGAUGGGCAACCCCCUUUCACGGUGACGGUUGACCCUAGUAUCCUCCUAUCAAACGAAGACACCCUUUAUUCACGCAGCGAUCACAAGGAAUGAACAGUAGUGAGGAGAAAGUACGUGCGGUCAACCGUCACCGGCGAUGUAUUGCCGUAAUUGUUGUGUACACGAUGUAAACUGUUUUGGAUGUAUUGAAUAUCCAUAUAAAUCAAUUGUUGUAUGGCAUAUGUUAAUUAUGUAUGAUUAUUAGAAUUUUUAACAAAUUUAAAUCAUGCAUAUGCUAAUUAUAUAUGAUAAUUAGAAUUUUUAACAAAUUAAAAUCAUGCAUAUGCUAGUUAUAUAUGAUUAUUAGAAUUUUUAACAAUUUUAAAUCAUGCAUGUGGUAUUUACAUAUUAUAAUUAGAAUGUUUAACAAAUUUAAAUCAUGCAUAUGCUAAUUAUAUAUGAUAAUUAGAAUUUUUAACAAAUUUAAAUCAUGCAUAUGCUAGUUAUAUAUGAUUAUUAGAAUUUUUAACAAUUUUAAAUCAUGCAUGUGGUAUUUACAUAUGAUAAUUAGAAUUUUUAAAAGUUUUAAAUCAUGCAUAUGCUAGUUAUAUAUGAUUAUUAGAAUUUUUAACAAUUUUAAAUCAUGCAUGUGGUAUUUACAUAUUAUAAUUAGAAUGUUUAAUAAUUUUAAAUCAUGCAUAUGCUAAUUUUAUAUGAUUAUUAGAAUUUUUAACAAUUUUAAAUCAUAUGCUAAUUAUAUAUUAUCCACUUAAUAUAUUUUAAAGGUUUUAUCAUUAAAUUUGUGACUUUAAAUCAAUUUAAUGAAUUAUUUACUCUUUUAGAUAACCUAUAUGUAAUGAGAUUAAAUAUGCACUGUUAUUAUCUUUAGUCCCGGUUCUUAACCCUAACCGGUUUAAAAAAGAAUUUGGAAAUAGCGGGAAAAGGGCUUUAGUCCCGGUUGGUGGCUACAACCGGAACUAAAGAUAUCUUUAGUCCCGGUUGGUGAUCGCGGACUAUAUAUAUGCCCAAGCACUCGUCUUCUCCACCAACACUUAGAAGUUUUCUCUCCGAUCUAGAGCUCUCCUUCGCGCCGCCACUGCAGCUAGGGAAUCCCUCGCUCGCGCCGCCGUCGUCUCGCUGUCGUCGUCGUCGUCGCCGCCGACGCCACCGUCGAAUCUCGGGGGUGAGGCUCUCUCUCGAUCUCUCUCUCUCUCUUUCUCUUUCUCUCCAAACCGCCUCAUCGUCGUCGUCGUCAUCGCCACCAUCGACGCCCACGCCGCCGCCGCCACCGCCGCGCCACGCCACCGCCAUCGCGUCACGCCGCCGCCGCCGCCACUGCCGACGGCCACGCCGCCGCGCCACGCCACCGCCGCCGCGCGAUGACGCCACCGCCGCCGCGCCGCCACCGCUGCCGCCACGCCGUCACCGCCGCCGUCGUGCCGCGCCGCGCCGCCGUGCCACGCCACCGCCGAAGCCGCCACUGGCUUUGCCCAAGCGGUCGCGAACGAACGUGAACGAAACGAGAACGAAUGCGAACGAACGUGAACAAAACGAGAACGAACGCAAACGAAACGUGAACGAACGGGAACGAACGUGAACGAACGCGAACGAACAGGAACGAACGUGAACGAAACACGAAUGAACGCGAACGAACGCGAACGACACGUGAACGAAACGGGAACGAACACGAACGACAUGCGAACGAACGCGAACGAUAUGUGAAUGAAACGUGAACGAACGCCGAAUGAACGUGAACGAAACGUGAACGAACGGGAACGAACAUGAACGAACGCGAACAAACGGGAACGAAACCAUGAACCUAAACUUCAACUCCCCUCCGACCUAGUUUAAUCUAUCAUGCACUAAUCAAAAUAUGUUCCUUUGCAUUUAGACUAAUACAUGUUUUUUGCAUGUUGCAGAAAAGACGUCGUCGUCGUCUCUCAAGACUAAGAGGUAGCUAGCCCUCGGAGGAAUUUGCGCAGGCAAGUGAUGUAAUAUAUGAUUACUAGAGUUGGCAUAUGAUUAUUAGAGAUUUAAUAUGAUUGUUAGAGUUAGCAUAUAUGAUUAUUAGAGCUAGAAUAUGAUUAUUUAGAGUUACCAUAUGAGAUUAUUAUAGUUUUAAUAUAUGAUUAUUAGAGUUUUAAUAUAUGAUUACUAGAGUUAGCAUAUGAUUAGUAGAGAUUUAAUAUGAUUGUUAGAGUUAGCAUAUGAUUAUUAGAGUUUUCAUUUAUGAUUAUUAGAGCUAGAAUAUGAUUAUUUAGAGUUACCAUAUGAGAUUAUUAUAGUUUUAAUAUAAGAUUAUUAGAGUUUUAAUAUAUGAUUACUAGAGUUAGCAUAUGAUUACUACAGAUUUAAUAUUAUAUAUGAAAAUAUUUCUUAUAUGAACAGAUGGUUGAUCGCGAUGACGAACAGAUACUAUACGAUACAAUCACAGAGGGAAGCAGCCAGUACUAGAACGAAAAAGAGGGGAAUGAGGAUCCGAUCUUUUUCCUUCAUGUCUACUCAAAUUUUAUAAUUCCAACUACAAGAAACAAAGUUAACCUCUUGGACAGAAAAUCUCACUUUACAAGAAAUAAUAAUCGAUAUUAUGCCAUUUUUGAAAUAUUUCCUCUCUUGGUGAGCUUUAUCUAUCUUUUAUCAAUAAUCAUUUUCUCCAUGUUCAUGUGCAUGACUGUCGCGACCGGGAAAAUUGCCUUUUCCCGAACGCUAGUGUAUUAAUCCCCGUCCCAGGAAAAGCCGGGGUACACCACACAAACAUGAUAUAAAAGACACAUCUUUAUUAUAUCGAUAAUAUUUACAUUAUUACAAAGGCGCUUCAGGCCUGACAAUCAAAAAUAAACAGCAGCGGACUAGCGGGCCUAUGGCUCCAUCUUCACAGGCGCUCAACUGGGGUAUAAGCCAGGACUCCACCUAAGACAUCUUCUCCAAAGCUUCUCUUACUGAAGAGGGGAAAGAUUGAGCAAGAAUGAGUACAACCACAGUACUCAGCAAGCCACACCGGCGGAUGCACGAUUAAUGCAAGGGGGUACAAGGGGUAAUAAUAUAGGGAUUAAGCUUUGCAGUAAACAGCAUUUAAAAGUCACUUAGUUGCCCAAAGCCAUUUUAUAAAGACGAUCCUAGAGCUACCCAGUAUUAUUAAUCAAGGCCGUGAACCCACACGAACCUGCCUUAACCCAAGGCCUACGAUGAUUCAGACCGAACUGGCAACCCGACCCUGGGUCCCAGCUCGUCCCAAGCCAACCCAGGCCAUCCAUUCCACAUUUUAGUUGUUAAGCAGGUUUUAAGAAUUAAAACACUAACUUGGGUACAUUGCUAGGCUUGCCCAUAACCGAGGGCGCGGCUAUUCGAAUAGGUUUUACUCUGAUCAGAGGUGUACAUCUUUACCCACAAGACACAUCUUCCUCACGUGCAACCACGUGCCACAUACCACCACGGUAUACAGACGGAAGACGUGACAUAGUUUCCAACCCAUCCUAGCCAUAGACAAGAGUACCGACCCAAUCCCGCCUACGGCCGGAACCUCCGGGACAGGCAGGCAGGACUGAGCCCCUAGCAGCAGGGCACCAACCCUGUGCCAUGACAUCUCGACUACCGGGCCGCAGCUCGUGUAGCCUUCAUUUGCCCUGGAGAAUGUCCAUCGACCCCCGACUUCAUCCACCUCCAAUCCGUGUACUUUUGUUUAUAACCAGACUGAGCCACAAACUAAGCCUUACCCACUAGACAUGUGGAAGUACGGUAGUGCUUUGCAACAGAGGCCCGAAGACCGGUCCUUAUACGGCCGAGGUGCUACUAUCAAAACCAUGCACCCCGAGCCCAGCCUAAAACCAUUUUGGGGAUUUUGAAUAGAAAGAGCGGUGUGAAACCAAUUCCACAAUAACCAAACCAUUCCAAAGUAUCCAGGUGAUAUGAAUAUUCCCAAAGUCUAGAGUUGUAAAACCACCUAAUGUUACCUAAUUAAACAGCGAAGCAUCUACCUAAAAUCAUACUAGUGGUACCAUGAGUAGAGUAUCCACUAGUUGGGGUUUUGUUUAAUCUAGGGUGAACAAGGUAAUAAUAACAAUAACAAUAAUAAUAAGGUCAUAACAAAGGUAAAUAGGCAUGGCUAAAUAAAACAGUGAUAACGCGGGAAUUUAAAUAAAGCGACAAUGCAAUAAUUUAAAUCAAAAUAAUUUUAUAAACUGGGAUUCAAUAUGUUCAAGGAUGAUGUGACUUGCCUUGCUCGCUUUCCCAAACGCCGGCUUCAACUUCCACGAAGAGCGGAUCUUCCGAAGCUGCAGCGUCUACACGACCAAUGGAAAAGAAAAGGCUUUUACUCUAAUAAACUCCAAAUAACAAGCAGAAGCAAAGCACAAAAAUGGGUUCUUGACUUCUUAAGGAAAAAUUAGAGACUUGAACGGUCCAAUUCCGAGUUCAAAUGGCCAAGUUAUGGCCAUUUGAAGUUUAUAUGCUCUUUAAAUGGAUAUUUGCGAAUUUCUUCAUUUAAAUUUUAAUUAAAAAUCGGAUUUAUUGCGUCAGCCGGGAGAGAGGGCGCGCGGACCGGGUCCACGGGAGUGGGGCCCACGCGUCAGCCUCACGGUCCACGGUGGACCGGGUGCACGCGGCUGACGCCGGCCGGCGCCGUGGGUCCCACGCGUCAGCCGCACCCGCGGGCGCGGGCGGCUGACGGCCGGGCCCCACCUGGCAGCCGCGGGGCGCGCCCGAAGGCGGCCUCGCCGGCACGGCCGACGGGAGGCGGCGCGCCCGCGCCCCGAUGGUCGCCGGCGGCGACCUCCGGCGCGACGGAGCGGCGGCCGAGAGAGGGGAGGGAAGGGGGAAGCGAAACGGGCGGUCCUCGGCUCACCCCGGGUCGACGGCGACGACGGAAACGGCGACCGAAGCGGACAGAGGCGGCGGCGCGGCUCGGGUCGACGAGGACGGCGAUGUUCCGGCGGUCGGCGGGCGAAACGGAGGAGCGGACGGGGUCGACGAGGACGCGGCGAAGCCGAAGGAGGCGACGCCGAGAGGGGAGGAAGUCCGGAGCGACGGCGGCGGCGAACCGGAGCUCGUCGGCGACGGCGGAGAGAGAGGACGACGGCGCGGGCACGAUUCCGACGGGGAGAGAGAGCGGCGAGCGGCGGAAACGGAGGAGGGAGGCACGGGGAACGAUUAAAUAGCGUCGGGAGGGAGAGAGGGCGGCCGGAGGGGAAGGAAUCGACCGCGGAAAUCUCGGCCGCCAUUGAUGCGCCGGCGAACUUUGCGGGAAUAAAUCCGAGCGAAUCCGAGGGAGAGAGAGAGGGGAAAGAGGGGGAAAAGAGGGAGGGAAUCACGGGGAGUGAUUUCCCCCUCUUUAUGGCGCGCGGGGACGGCGGGAUGCGGCGGAUUCGGCGGCGGCGGCGGCGCUAGGGCACGGGCGGGCGGCGGGCGCGGCGCGAGGUAGGGGAUGACGGGUGGGCCCCACCCGUCAGCGAGGGUGGCGGGCGGGCCCGCCCGUCAGCGGCGCGCGCGCGGGGAGGGGGCCGAUGGGCCGCGGGGGAGAGGAGAGAGAGAGGGAGGGAAGUGGGCCGAGCCGGCCCAAGAAGGGAAGGGGAAAAAGAAGACUUUUAGGGUUUUUCUUUUUAUAAAACCUUUUUAACUUUGUUUAUUUCUUCUCAUUUAUUAUUUGUGCUCUGAAAAUUCCACUAAAAUUUGAGGGCUCCUUUUAGACCAAGGAGAAUUUAACAAAAAUUCUCCGGGUCACAUUUGAAUUUUUCUUAUACGCAUUUUAGUGUUUGCCAAUUUCUUUUCGAAUUUUAAUUAAUUCUAUUAUUCCUUUUAGAAAAUGAAUUUUAUUUCGGGAUGAAUUUAUCAGGGCGUGACAAUGACGAGCUUGAACAAUAGCGCAAAACACAAAGGCCCCUUCGAAUAACAGGAAUGGAAAAACAGAGUAAUAGAAAAAAACAUAGAAUUCUAAUAUGAAUGCAAGUUGUGGAGAUUAUGGAUAUCCCAUAUCUACACGGCGAUGAUAUUUGGGCUGAAUAUAGGAUACCGAAUAUGGAUAGAAUAUCUUAUGUGUGUCCUGAGUUUGUUUCUUAGCUUGUACAUCAAGGAAACACCUUGAGACUUAGUCGGUCACGAUUGUAUUUGAUCUGUAUCUGUGUAUUCCGUUAGGGAUAUGGAUUAUCUUUUGUAACCCGGACUCCUUCCCAUAUAUAAGGGGGGUCCGGGCGCCUCUAGGGGCAGAUGUUGGAUUUUCUCCAAAUCAUACAAUCAAUAACACACUCGGCGGAUUCAUCCCCGGACAGGAGUAGGGUAUUACUUCUUUUAUAAGAAGGCCUGAACCUGUAUAAAUCCUUUGUCUCCAAACCCAUACACUUUCCUAGCUUGAUAGCCACCCCCUUUUAUUAUUGCCGAAAUCUAGUUUCGACAGUUGGCGCGCCAGGUAGGGGAAGCGUCAAGCUUUUCGUCGAUCAGUGCAAUGGGUUCCGUUUCCGGCAUCGACGACCUCGUCUUCCCACCCGGGCAGACGUUUCGGUUCGGCAGCCUCGACUUCGUCACCAACAACUUCGGCAAGAUUUCUCUCCUCGACUCGGAAUCAGACCAGUCGGGAGAGAACCGGAUUUCGGUCCCGUUUGGAUUCCCGAACGCGGCUGAAAGCUACUUCAAGACCAUCUCAACCGAGUCGGCUUCAAACCACUCGGCCGAGAUUGCAUCUUCUCCAACAACACCAGAUCAAGAUGAUGGGGCUUACCCACCAGUCCUGAUGAAGCUCCCCGACGAUUUAACGGCCGUCUCCACCACGACAGCGUCUUCAUCCCGUAGGCCUAGGCGGAAGUCGGCUUCAACACCGAUUUCGCCUAGCUUCAGGGAAGUCGGCGUCAUCCUCCAACCACUCGGCACGGUUUCGACGGAUCAGCUGGAUGACUACAACAGCUCUCCCACCGUCGACUCACGUCCUACUGACAUCGUGGAGUACGACGAAUUUAGUUCUCGCUACAACGACUUCGACGACUUCGACGGAAGCCUAGAUGACAACUACACCCCUCUCUAUUUUGGCGUUUUCAUGGCCAAUAAUGAGACGGAGGAGCAACGCCAAGCCCGGGAGACCGAAGAACGUCGCCGACUGGAGGAGGAGCAUCAAGCACAAGAACAAGAACGGCUACGGCGUGAGCAGCAGGACCGUGAGCGGACUGCGAAGGAGGCUGAGGAUCGACGACAGCGAGCUUUGGAAGCAGGGCGCCGAGCGCGUGAUCUCAUCGGCCAACAAGAUGUCGAAGGGACACCGGUUUUCCGCACCCCUCAACAGAAUGCGGUCGCCGCGAUCACCCUUCUCGACACCCUCCUCAACCAAAACGAGCUCAAUCAAUCCGACCACGUCGUCAACAUCUUGAACCAGACGAAGACCAUGAUUGCGGCUUCGGUCCCAGUUAACUCCGAAAGCGUCCACACGCCGACUGGUAGCCGAGUCCCCCACUUCCGAUCUCAUGACUACCGUCAUCCAAGCCUCAGCAUCACCGGCGCAGGAUCCAAUCGCAGGAGCAGGGGUCACGACGAGCGGUCCAUUCACUCACCUCCCGACCAAUAUAGGGAGCGCCGAGUGGAACGGCCUCGCUCACCACCUCGUCGCCGCCCCGUCGAUCUUCGCGACACAAUCAUACAGCGCCGAGCAGCUCGAGGCUAUCAUCAUUCGCCAAACCGCCACGACGACGACCUUGACGGAGUAGCAGCCUUCACCGACGAUCUGCGUCGAGUGGAUUGGCCAGCCGGCUUCAAGCCGACUGGAAUAGAGAAGUACGACGGUACCACUAAUCCAGAAUCGUGGCUUACCGUCUACGGUCUCGCAAUCCGCGCAGCAGGAGGAGACAACAAGGCCAUGGCGAAUUAUUUACCAGUGGCUUUAGCAGAUUCCGCCCGAUCUUGGCUCCAUGGAUUGCCCCGUGGUACAAUUGGAUCUUGGGCUGAAUUACGCGACCACUUCAUCGCCAACUUCCAAGGCACCUUUGAGCGUCCCGGCACACAAUACGACCUCUACAACGUUAUUCAGAAGUCCGGAGAAUCCCUUCGAGAUUACAUCCGGCGAUUUUCUGAACAACGUAACAAGAUCUCCGACAUCACCGAUGACGUCAUCAUCGCCGCAUUCACCAAAGGGAUUCGCCACGAAGAAUUGGUCGGCAAGUUCGGGCGUAAGCCCCCCAGGACAGUCAAGCUUAUGUUUGAAAAAGCCAACGAGUACGCCAAAGCUGAAGACGCCGUCACCGCAUCAAAGCAGUCGGGUCCCAGUUGGAAGCAAAACAAGGGUACGCCGGCUACGGGAGGAGGUGGAAGUAACAAUCAUAAGGACCGCAAGCGUAAGCCUGCGGAACUUGUUGCAACCGCCAGUCACUCUUCUCGACAGCGUUCGCGCGUCAACACGUUCGACAAGAUCAUGAACUCCCAAUGCCCGCACCAUCCUAACUCCAACCACGUGGCCAAAGAUUGUUUCGUCUACAAGCAAUUCGCGGAUCAAUACACCAAGACUGCACGGAAGAACUCUGACGAAGAACAAAGCACGUCAAGGAAGAAGGACGACGGCGACACCCCGGCAGGUUUUCAAGAUCACCGCAAGGAGCUCAACCAUAUCUUCGGCGGCCCCCUAGCUUAUGAGUCUAAAAGGAAGCAAAAGUUGACCGAGCGGGAGAUCAAUGCUGUUCAGCCCGACACGCCUCAAUAUCUUCGAUGGUCAGAGAUUGCAAUCAAGUUUGACCGCUCGGAUCAUCCUGACCGAGUGGUCCACCCGGGGCGGUACCCCCUGGUACUAGACCCAGUGGUCCGUAAUGUCAAGCUUCGCAGAACCCUCAUUGACGGCGGCAGCGCACUCAAUAUCCUCUUCACCAAGACCUUGGAUGAUAUGCAGAUUCCUCGCUCCGAGCUAAAACCAAGCAAUGCGCCUUUUCACGGAGUAAUUCCAGGAUUAUCCGCAACUCCACUCGGCCAGAUCACACUCCCGGUCACCUUUGGCACUCGGGAAAACUUUCGCACAGAGAAUAUCAGCUUCGAAGUCGCCGAUUUCGAGACAGCUUACCAUGCCAUACUCGGACGCCCGGCGUUAGCCAAGUUCAUGGCCGUCCCGCACUACACUUACAUGAUGAUGAAGAUGCCUGGUCCCCGAGGAGUCCUAUCCCUACGGAGCGACAUCAAGCAAGCCGUCACAUGCGACAAGGAGAGUUGCGACAUGGCCCAAACUCGCGAGAUGGCGUCUGCCCGAGAGGAUAUCCGACUGGCUGCAGCCACGGCGAGCGAAGGAGAAGUGCCCGCUACCAAGAUUUCAAAGAGUGGAGAAAGCGAAGCCAAGACUAAGAAGAUUCCCCUAGAUCCCUCUGAUCCAACUAAAACUGCUGUAAUAGGCGCCGAGUUAGAUUAUAAAUAGGAAAGCGCGCUCAUCACCUUUCUUCAGAACAAUAAAGAUAUCUUUGCGUGGAAACCAUCUGAUAUGCCCGGUAUUCCUAGAGAGGUGAUUGAGCACUCCUUACAUGUCAAAGAAGAUGCCAAGCCUAUCAAACAACGACUCCGCCGAUUCGCACAAGACAGGAAGGACGCGAUCAAGGAGGAAUUAACCAAGCUGUUAGCAGCAGGCUUCAUCAAAGAAGUCCUUCAUCCCGACUGGCUGGCAAACCCGGUUCUAGUUCGGAAGAAAACAGGGCAAUGGCGCAUGUGUGUUGAUUAUACUGACCUCAACAAAUCCUGCCCUAAAGAUCCUUUUGGGUUGCCUCGCAUUGACCAGGUAGUCGACUCGACCGCCGGCUGUGAGCUUCUCAGUUUUUUGGAUUGCUACUCGGGGUAUCAUCAGAUCCGACUGAAGGAAUCCGACUGCUUGAAGACUUCAUUCAUCACGCCUUUUGGGGCAUACUGCUACGUCACCAUGCCGUUCGGACUAAAAAACGCAGGAGCAACUUAUCAACGUAUGAUCCAAAGAUGCUUCUCAACGCAGAUCGGCCGCAACGUUGAAGCCUAUGUGGAUGAUGUAGUCGUCAAGACCAAGCAAAAGGAUGAUUUGAUCUCGGAUCUAGAAGAAACCUUUGCGAGCAUCCGUGCUUUCAGGAUGAAAUUGAACCCUGAAAAGUGCACCUUCGGAGUACCGUCAGGGAAGCUGCUUGGCUUUAUGGUGUCUCAUAGGGGCAUCCAAGCCAACCCGGAGAAAGUUACUGCUAUCCUCAACAUGAAACCGCCAAGUACUCAGAAAGAUGUUCAGAAGCUGACUGGAUGCAUGGCGGCGCUCAGCCGAUUUGUUUCAAGACUUGGCGAGCGGGGGAUGCCCUUCUUUAAGCUACUGAAGAAAACGGAUGAUUUCCAGUGGGGACCCGAAGCACAGAAGGCCUUUGAAGAUUUCAAAAAACUCCUCACCGAGCCACCAGUCUUAGCUUCACCACGACCGCAGGAGCCGUUGUUGCUGUAUGUAUCAGCCACCUCCCAGGUUGUGAGCACAGUCUUGGUCGUUGAGCGCGAGGAAGAAGGCCAUGUCCAGAAAGUCCAGCGACCGAUUUACUUUGUCAGCGAGGUCCUAGCCGAUUCCAAAACGAGGUACCCUCAGGUUCAAAAGCUGUUAUAUGGUAUAUUAAUUACUACCAGGAAGCUAUCUCAUUAUUUUCAAGGUCACUCGGUAACGGUGGUCACAUCAUUUCCACUCGGUGAUAUACUGCACAACCGCGAAGCAAACGGACGUAUUGCUAAGUGGGCUUUGGAGUUGAUGUCUUUGGACAUAUCAUUCAAGCCCCGAAUUUCAAUCAAGUCCCAAGCGUUAGCUGAUUUUGUCGCCGAAUGGACCGAGUGCCAGGAGGAUACCCCCGCGGAGAACAUGGAGCACUGGACCAUGCAUUUUGACGGAUCCAAACGACUUUCGGGCACUGGAGCAGGAGUGGUUUUGAUUUCCCCUACUGGAGAAAGAUUGAGCUAUGUGCUUUGGAUACAUUUUUCGGCGUCCCACAACGUCGCCGAGUAUGAGGCCCUCCUUCAUGGACUGCGGAUUGCAAUUUCCCUAGGGAUAAAGCGUCUAAUAGUUCGAGGCGAUUCACAGCUGGUUGUCAACCAAGUCAUGAAAGAGUGGUCCUGCCUUGACGACAAUAUGAUGGCAUAUCGACAAGAGGUACGCAAGUUGGAAGACAAGUUCGAUGGACUCGAGCUCAGUCACGUUCUACGACACAACAAUGAAGCCGCCGACAGACUUGCCAACUUUGGAUCCAAGCGUGAGGCGGCACCCUCUGAUGUUUUCGUCGAACACCUUUAUACGCCGACAGUACCUCACAAAGAUACUACCCAAGUUGCGGGCACUCAUGACACAGCUAUGGUUGAAGUAGACUGGCGAGAGCCCCUCAUACGAUUUUUGACUUCUCAAGAACUCCCCCAAGACAAAGAUGAAGCCGAGCGGAUUUCAAGGCGGAGCAAACUUUAUGUUUUGCAUGAAGCCGAGUUAUACAAGAAAAGCCCUUCAGGAAUUCUGCAACGCUGCGUAUCUUUAGAAGAAGGGAGACAAUUGCUAAAAGACAUACAUUCUGGGAUAUGCGGAAACCAUGCUGCUGCACGCACCAUUGUCGGCAAGGCUUACCGGCAGGGUUUUUUCUGGCCUACUGCAGUGUCCGAUGCCGACAAAAUUGUGCGCACAUGUGAAGGUUGCCAAUUUUUCGCCAGACAAAUUCAUCUACCAGCUCAAGAGUUGCAGACUAUCCCGCUGUCUUGGCCGUUUGCGGUUUGGGGGCUCGACAUGGUUGGCCCGUUUAAAAAGGCAGUCGGCGGUUACACGCAUCUCUUUGUGGCCAUUGACAAAUUCUCCAAGUGGAUUGAAGCUAAACCGGUUGUCACAAUCACAGCAGAUAAUGCGCGAGACUUCUUCAUCAACAUUGUGCAUCGAUUUGGAGUGCCCAAUCGGAUCAUCACUGAUAAUGGCACACAAUUCACUGGCGGAGUUUUUAAAGACUUUUGUGAAGACUUUGGAAUUAAGAUUUGUUAUGCCUCAGUGGCACACCCCAUGAGCAAUGGACAGGUGGAGCGAGCCAAUGGCAUGAUACUUCAAGGGAUUAAAGCGCGUGUUUUUGACCGGCUAAAACCCUAUGCCGGCAAAUGGGUGCAACAGCUGCCAUCAGUACUUUGGUCUUUGCGAACUACACCCAGUCGGGCCACAGGCCAGUCACCUUUUUUCCUUGUCUAUGGGGCAGAAGCAAUGUUGCCAAGUGAAGUUGAAUUCGAGUCUUUGCGCUUUCGAAAUUUCCGUGAAGAUCGCUACGAAGAGGACCGAGUGGAUGACUUGCACCGACUGGAAGAAGUCCGCGAAGCAGCUUUGAUUCGGUCGGCUCGAUACUUACAAGGGUUGCGGCGUUAUCAUAAUCGCAAUGUUCGAUCCCGCGCCUUUUUAGUCGGCGACCUGGUUUUGAGGAAAAUUCAAACUACACGGGAUCGGCACAAGUUAUCUCCUUUAUGGGAGGGGCCAUUUAUCAUCUCUGAAGUCACCCGGCCAGGUUCCUAUCGACUUAAGCGAGAAGAUGGUACUCUCGUCGACAACUCUUGGAACAUUGAACAUCUUCGUCGUUUCUACGCUUAAGUUUAUCAUUGUACCUCCCUAUCUUGACUGUCAACAUCAAGUUUUCUUCUUGAAGUUGUCAGUUGGGGGCUAUUAUCAUAAUAAUGGAGUGUGAUCUUUUAUCAAUUCAAUUUGCUUACUUGGUUUAUCAUUGCCUUGUUCGAUUUUUCUACUUAGUCUGCGAGGACUGAAAGUUUUUAAUAGCUUCUUUGGGUUUUAGGCUCAACAAAGCUUGAUAAAAGCUUUUAAGAAAUCAAAGAUUUGGCUAGAACUAUCAAGCACAGCAUAAAUACACCAGUAUUGUACAAAUUGAGCCUCCAUUUGCUACAUUUACACUCAGUCAGAAUCAGUCCUUUCAUCAUCAGAGUUAUUAUUGCUCGGCUGAAGGUCGUUGUUGCGGAAUUGCUCUACAACAUCACUUGCAAUCUUGUCAGCCGCACUUUGAGCAUUACUGAUAAGAUCAAGAGCAGCUUCUUCACUUGUCCCGUCUGCAAAGCCAUCAAUGGUAUCAAUUUCAAUCCUCGGGUACAAGGAUUUGGUCAUCGCCAAUGCCAUACUAGCUCCCAUACUUCCAGCUUUCUUGAUAUUCUUGAAAUAUACAUCCGGUGCAACUCUCAGCUUGUCAAAGAUUUCGGUUGCGUCAAGUGCACUCGGACCACUGUUAUUAAGGAACAUAGCUUGGACGAGUGGUGUAGCGACAUUGGCGACUUCGUCUCUUGCUCCUUCAAGCUUCUUGAUCUUACCAACCAGGACAUCAAACUGAGCUUGAGAUUUGAUUUUACGGUCUACAAAACACAUUUAUAAUAAGAAUCUGCUGCAUUAAAGAGAGGACAGUUCAGAUUGUCAGCUGGCAGUACCUUCAACCUCCUUCAAGGCUGAGUCCCUUUCUGCAGCCAGUUCUGCUUUGUCUUUUUUCAAGGCUUCUAUUUGCUUCUCCAUUUGAGCCAUCCUGGUGGCUUGCGCUGUUUGAAAUCCAAAUGUUUGAGGAUCCAGUUAUGACAGCAUAAAUCAAUGGAACAGAUCUGGAAGAUUACCUUUUGAUGAACCACUCAGCUCGAAGUUGGAGUCCUGGAGCUGUGCAAUUCGCUCCCUUAAUUCCUUCUCCGUUUUCUUGGCAUGCUCCUUGGCCUCGUGUAGCUGUUCCCUAACGGCUUCAAGAGUUCCCAAAUGUGGAACCAGCUUUUCUAAGGUUGCAGUCUUGGCUUCAUUACGAAGAUGGAUUCUCUGCACGGUGGUUCAUGGAUUAGUUUUGCUAACGAGAAAACAAAGUCAUCAAAGGCAGUCACCUAGAAGACUUACAUUCACAAUGCGAGUGGCUUCUCCAAGUACUUUCUUCAGCUGGCACACUUCCUCAUCUUCUUUUUGGCGAUUUAUAACAAUGCCGGAAACUUGAGAGUUCUCGUCCCACCAUUUGAGUAAGAUAGGAGGACGAGAGUCAUUAGCUGCCUUUAUGCGGAGAAUUUCUUCUUCGUCGCCGCCUAGUGGACCUGAUGUAUUCCCAAGACAUUAGACGAACAAGCUGGAGUUAUUCAGAACGGCAUCACUUGAGAAGAUGAGUUACCUGAGGAUGUGCCUGGCUGAGCGCGAGGUGAUCCUUGCUCUUUAUCUGGAGACCCAAUCACUGAGUCAUUACCAACUUCUGGUCCUUGAGAAGUUGUCUGCGCUUCAGCUUCAGGAAUCUCUUGAUUUAGAUCUACAUCCGACUGGUUUCCAGUCGGGGGCUCUCGGGUUGUUGCAGUUUCAGUUGCUGCCGACUGGUUUCCAGUCGGCGGCUGAUCACUCGGAUUGGCCUUGUCGUCCGAAGCUUGGGCGCCAGUCGGCUGACUUUCGGCAGUCGGCUGGCUUUCGGCAGUCGGCUCAGCAUCUUUGGAUAAAUUUGGCUCUGUGGCAGCCGGAUCAGGUUCUUUUCCAGUUGGAUCUAUAUCGGAUGGUUUCCUACAAAGUGUCCUUUCGAUAUUUAGCAUAAUUUCUAUGAGAGAAGCAUGCCGAAAUAAAAUGGUAUCGAGAGGUUUAUACCUGGAAGAUGUUCUAAUCUUUGGCAUUUGACGGCCAGCCAGUUUUUUCCUGGGCAUGGUAUGCUUUGGGAGUUUGUUGGGUGUUCCUUUGUCCCCAGAUUUGUUGCUGUCAUCGUCUUCGUCGUCAUUAAGCACCAGCUUUCUCUUGCGAGGACCUGUCUGCCCAGCCGGUUUGGAGGUUUGAGGUUGUGGGUCUGACCUGAUUGUCGGCCCUCCACUUCCCUGAACGGUGUGCUGGCGAGGAGAUCGGCGCUGAGCAAUUGGGGGAUCAGAUUUCAUCAAUACGUAUUCCUGAAUGAGAUGCUUCCACAGUUAGCUAACUCAACAUGAAGAUGAAAUUAUGUUUUGACCUUGGGAUGAAGAUUUCAGAUACAUACCUGCGGAGGCGGAUUGAAUGCGUUGUAUGGUACAACUGGCAGUUGAUGUGAGUAGCUGACGACAAUAGCGUUCGAGAAUAUCUUGUACAUCCUCUCCUUCAGGAUCUUAAAAUCCAAAGAAUCUGGGUCUUCACGGUUUGGAUCAUGCUUGCCGUCAAACUCAAAUGCUGUGCGGGAUCUUUCUUUGAUUGGAGCUAAUCGGCACUUAAUGAAAUGCUGAGUGAUUUGCUCUCCCUGUAAGCCUUGCUCUUUGAGUUUCAGCAUGCGUUCCAUCAGUUCUAAGGCUUGGGCAGCUUCAUCUCCCAUGGGAAGAGAGUUCCAUGUAUCUUGGUAUACUGGGGGAAGACAGGAGUACUCAGGAAGAGCGGACUCGGGAUUUUGAAUAUAAAACCAGUUGGCGUGCCAUCCUUUAUUUGAAGUCUUGAAAGGCAUAGAGAAAUACUUCUGGCUCAGAGUGCCCCUCAGUUGAAAUCCAGCCCCACCAACUACGCAUGGUUUGUUUUUGUUCGGUUGAGGCUUAAGGAAAAAGAUUCGGCGGAAAAGAGCAAAAUGAGGUCUAAUGCCCAAAAAAGCUUCACAGACAUGGACGAAAUUUGCAAUAUGGACUAUGGAGUUCGGAUUCAAAUGAUGUAAGCUGAUUCCAUAGAAAUUUAGUAUCCCACGGAAGAACUUCGAGGUUGGAAGAGCAAAUCCACCAUAAAAGAAAUGAGAGAAGACCACGACCUUGUGUGUAUCAGGGGUCGGAAAAGCCUCACCGCACGCUGGCCGCCACCCGAUGAUCUCCUUGGCAGGGAGAACGCCGUGCGCCACCAUCUCCUUCAGGUUCUCCUCCGUCACGUCGGACGGCGCCCAUUGGCCUUCGAAGCUUUCUUUCUCUUCCGCCAUCGAUUUUCCCCGAAUGUACUGAUUUGAUUCGAGGGAUGGCUUGGGAGAGGUGAGGAAUUGAGGCGGUGGAUCACGGGAAGGAUUUUGAUCACUUUUUGAAGGUGGAUUUGAGUGGAAUGGUGAACCCUAAUUUGCCGGCGCAGCUCUGUACUGUAGCAAGGAGUGGGGAAAAUGGCGAGAGUUCCGGCGGGGAAGACGAAGUGACGCUUGGAUCUCGGAAUUUAUUGUUAAGGGUAUCGAAGGUGCAAAUGGGCCUAGGCCUGAACAGUACCUCAGCCCAAUACUUUUAACAGCGUGGCCCAUUGUGUUCCUUAGGGACUUAGGCAUUUUUUGCUUUGGCAAUUUAUGCGCACAAUAGUGUUGCCCAAUGCUGACAAAAUCCUUUUUAUGCGGUCAUAUAAUUCUUUGGAAUUAUUGCAAUGCAAAUUAAAAGGUGCCCGACAGAAAGGUGUUAUACUGCUUUUUGUCAGCUUUUUUAGGCGACAAAAGCUGUCUGGGUUAACUCGGAAUGACUUGUUUUUAUCAUAGUCAUUUCCUUGGUAUGUUAUAUACCUAUUUCCAUUGUGGUAAAUAGUCAUAGCCUAGGCUAUUAGACUUAUUUGUUACCAUAAUUUUUAUAAUAUUUGGUGGGUAAUCUUUAGAGUUUUUAUUCGGAUGCCUGUCAAGUGUGUUCAUUCGUGAACCUUUUAGAGUGUAAACCACUCGGGUUCUUUUUAUUAUGACUAAAAAGCAGUCGGCUAGAGUGCCUCUUUAGGCGCCGUGUAUGCUUUUGUCAUGUGAUGCGCGAUUGUGCUAUUAUUUUGUUCUCAACUAUAUGUUUAGCUUGUUAACUAAUCACAUAGUUGGGGGCUACACCUAAUUAGGUGCAUCUAUUCGAUGCACCAUAUUCUUUAUCUUUUCGCCCUUUACAGUCUUCGUCUUCGCUACUCGGCAGGCUUUGGCAUGACAAGUCUGAAGCACUCGGAUUAUUAUCUUUGAGAAGGCUAUGAUGGUUGACUGCAAAGGUCUCGGGGGCUACUGUGGAGAUUAUGGAUAUCCCAUAUCUACACGGCGAUGAUAUUUGGGCUGAAUAUAGGAUACCGAAUAUGGAUAGAAUAUCUUAUGUGUGUCCUGAGUUUGUUUCUUAGCUUGUACAUCAAGGAAACACCUUGAGACUUAGUCGGUCACGAUUGUAUUUGAUCUGUAUCUGUGUAUUCCGUUAGGGAUAUGGAUUAUCUUUUGUAACCCGGACUCCUUCCCAUAUAUAAGGGGGGUCCGGGCGCCUCUAGGGGCAGAUGUUGGAUUUUCUCCAAAUCAUACAAUCAAUAACACACUCGGCGGAUUCAUCCCCGGACAGGAGUAGGGUAUUACUUCUUUUAUAAGAAGGCCUGAACCUGUAUAAAUCCUUUGUCUCCAAACCCAUACACUUUCCUAGCUUGAUAGCCACCCCCUUUUAUUAUUGCCGAAAUCUAGUUUCGACACAAGUGUAAAAUAGAUGAUUGAAAAACACAUGAAUGAUUGUUUGAUUGAACAAUAGGAAAAACACAAGAAUUGGAUGAGAUGAUUCAAAGAAUUUUUUUUGCGAACUUUCAUCCUAAAUCUCUAUAGGAUUACUCAUCCCAUAGCAGUUUGAAAGGAUAAUAUAAGAUCCAAUCCCUUGUUUCAAAUGACUGUAGGAAUUUUUUCACAGGAUUAUAAUCUUACAAUUUUUUUAAUACUUUUCCUACAAACCAAGGGGUUCCCUGAGGAGGCGGUGCACUGUGCCUUCGACCUUCUUGACUUCACGUUGCUUGGGUUCGAUCGGUGGCGGCGCAUCACCGAUGGUGGCCACAGCCCACAACGCACUAGGACGGAGGAAGAGAACAAGCCUGGGUAUUCUGGUCAGCCGCAAAAAAAAAAGAUAAAAUUUAUUUUGUUUUGAGAAGAAAUUGUUAGAAUAGGUGUCGAAUAUACUAGUCCUAUUUGGUUACAGUUGGACUUAGAGUUGUAAUAGGUGUUAGGGGGUGGAGUUAGAGUCGGACUCUGUAACCCGACAUAAAUAGAGAGGGGGCACCACAAUGUAACCAUGGUGACUACAAUGUAGCGUAGACACGCAGGGAGAUGAUGGUGGCGUGGCCAUGAACUCGUAGCGGCUAGGUGCUAUAUUGGUUGGGGAGGAGCGCCCAUAAUCAGAGCCCCGGGGAUGUAGGCUUCGGCUGAACCUUGUUAACAAAUAUCGUGUGUUCCUGUGUCGUCAUCUGGCAUGUCUUGGGUGGUCAAUGAUUGAGGUGGUCAAUGAUUGAAGCGAUCGGGAAGGUUAGUGUAACGCUCCACUUUUCGUGAGGCGUUAAAAACUAAUUCGGCAAAAAUCCUAAUUGCGAAAAUUUUCGUUCUUUGUGUGCGAGUCUAAGUUGUGCCAAGAUCUCAAUUCAAAUCCGUCCUUGAUCCCUCUCGUCACCAUCACAAAUUUGCCCCCUCGAAAUUCCUCUUCCGACUCAAGUCUCCAAAUCAAACUCUGAAAUUCUAUCCCUCUCUUUGAAUCAUCGCCAAAUACUUCCCCAGAUCCAAAAUAUCCAAAACCCCAUCUUGAAUCCUCCGUCUACUCCUUCCUCUCAUCGAGAUCCCAAUUCCAAAAUCUAAGUCAAAUUCCAAGUUCAAAUUCUCUUCGAAUCAAUCCCCUCCGAAAAAGUCUAUUUUGCCUCCCUCGGAUUUUUGUGGGCCGUUUUCUCCCCCGGCCCAUCUCCCCUCCCAGCCCAUCAUCUUAACCCCCCUCGCACGUGCGUUGCACGCAUGUGAGCCGAGAGAGAGCUCUCUCGCUCUCUCGUUCUUUCUCUCUCCCGUCUUCGCUCUCUCUCUCUCUGCUCUCUCCCCUCCCGGCGCCGAUUCCCGCCGUCGCCGCCCAAAACCCGCCACCGCCUUCGCUCUUUCCCGCGCUCGCCCGCGCGUGGCAGACCGCCCGGUCGCCGCCGCAUCAGCCCUGGCCGCCUGCGCCGCACGGCCGCCCAUGCCGCCCUGCCGCUCGCCCCCACCCUGUGCGCGCGUGCGUCCAAGACGUGGAGGCAGCACGUCUCUCUGCCUCACGCGCUCUCCUCUCCCUCUCCCACCUCCUUUUUCCCAAACCGGCAUGGUAAAGCCCCCCCUUUCCACCGUCCUCCCUCUCUUUUUCCCUCCCAAGCAACGACGCCAUGCCUCCACUCCUUGGCCGCUAGCGCUCGGAGGCAGAGACGCAGACGCCAGCGCCAGCUCGCCACCCCCACCUUGACCGCGCCAGCCCGCGCUAAUCCUCCCGCUCCCGCGGUUCGAUUUUCCGCCGCUCGAUCCACCGCCUUCGCCGCCCAACGCAUCCACACCGUCACCUCCUUUGCCACCCGUGACCGCCUCUGUCACAACUUGACCGCGAGUCCGCCACCGCCUCUCCUUGAUCGCCCGUGCUCGGUUCCUUCCCCUCGAAGCUCCACAUCCCGCGCCUAUAAAACCACAGCCGAGCCCCUCCCCUCCAUCUCUCUCGUUUUCGCCCCCCACCGCGCCAUUGUAGCCGAACAACCAUCGCCGCCCUGUUGCCGCUCGACUCGAUCUCGUCGUCGCCGUCCGCCGCCGAGCACCGGAGGAACCGGUGCGUGCGUGGGCGCGUGACGAGGAGCUCCGGGCGCCACCUCUCCUCUCUUCCUCCCCGGCCGCGCCCACCCGGUGCCGUUCCGUCCCACCGUCGCGACCACCUCACCACGACUCCCUCCGAUCCGCCGACGCCGCUUCCUCUUGUCGGUGAGCUCCCCGCCGAACCCUUUCCUCCUACCGCUCGCUAUGCCGCGCCCGCCGCCGCACGCCAUAGCCUGCCGCACGAUGCGCCGCGCGCCUCGCCGUUGCUCUGUUUCCGCCGCCGCGCGCAGUCGCGCGCCGUCGUCGGGCCCCAGCUCGUCGACCACCCUCGCCAACACCGUCCUUGAGCUCCCUAGGACCUCCCCAAACCAUUCCCUAGCACCGCCGUCGCCCGGCAUGGCCUCACCGCCAUUACCGUCCGCUCCCGGAGGCCGCUGCUCGUCGCCGGCCCUCCUCAGUGCUUCUCCGCCCCAUCCGACACCGGAAACGGAUUCCUUGAACCCCGGAGAUGCUCCCACCCCUUUGAAUCGAAUCCUCGUCGUCUCGUUGUGUUUUCCCCUUUUGCUCGCCGGUGAUUGCCGCCGCCGCAAUCGACCGCCGUCGGCACCUCUCGAGCCGAUUCCUCUCGCCGCCACGCUCCCGGAGAUCCCCUUGAGCUCCCCCUGACUGUCCCUAGGCCGCCGGCCUUCUCCUUUGCCUCCGCGCCGUGUCGCCCCUUCCGCCGCCGCAUAACGCCACCGCGCGUGCGUCGCCGGUGACCAUCGGGUCCCGCGUCACCGCGUGCGCGUCGCAACCCCAUACCGGUUCGGCGAAGCCCGAGCCCGCGUGCCCUUCGCUCUUCUCGCGUGCGGCCACGUUGGCGUGUCGGCGAGAUUGGCCGCCGCCGCCGGCCGUCGUCGCGCGUCGUCUUCCCGAUCCGAGCCGUGGAAUGAGUUCCCCUUCUCCUCCUCCUGCCGCCAGUGCUAGCCGCCCCUCCGGCUUGCCGCCGUUCGCCGGAUCCCGCCGCACGCCGUGAGCCGUCCGAUGAGCCGCCCGGCCUCCUCUCCCUUCCCCAUCCGACGUGACGUCCACGUUGGCGCCACCUCAGCCGUCGGCCCCACUUGACCAAGUCAGCCGACGCCCAGUCAGCAGCCGCCCCCUCUCUCUUGCUCUUGGGCUUGGCCCAGUAGCCACCCUCCUCCUCGGCCUGAUAAGUAAGAAAACAAAGUCCACAUACACUCCCUUUGUCCAAGCCCAGUGUCCAUCACCCAAGAGCUAAAAGUCCACAAUUACUCCCUCCAAUUGCUCCUCUCUCUCUCACCUUCUUAUUGGCCCCACGUGUCAAUGAGUCAAAGAUAUUCUUGGGAAUAUCUUUUUCAAUACUCCACACAUAUUUCUCUUUUCUAGAAAUUCAAUAAAUCAUUUCCUAUAUUCCAAAUUCCAUAAACCCAUCCUCUUAAUCCGGAGAUUCCAAUAAUUCGUCCCCUCGAGCCCGUAUGUCAGUGGAUGUCAAUAAUAUUCUUGAGAAUAUUAUUUCUAUAAAUUCCAUAAACUAUUUCUCGUAUUCCAGAAAAUUCCGACAAAUCGUCUCUUUGUCCAGAAAAAUUCCUUUAAACUUCCAAAAUUCAUAUCCCUCGAUCCGUUCGUCCGAUUGCCUCCGUUCCACUUCCAGUAAUUCCGUAAAAUUGAGAUCUAUUUAAUGGCACUACUAAUUAGUCUAAAUAGGAUCCCUCUUUUGGUCUUUUGCUUAGGUUUUCAGUUGUUUGCGUACAGUUGCGGUUACCGGAUUUUCGUCGAUCGCGGGUUUUCUUGAAGAUUCGUGAAGCUUCGUGAAGACUUUGAGCAAGGCAAGUCACCCUUUGACCAAUUGCUCCUCUAAUUGGAAAAUCAUUAUUAUUUUGUUUGUAACUUGCAUUAUUAGAAUCACACACUUAACUUGCUUGGCCUCGGUUUGCGUGCCAAACCGACGGACCUACCCAGUAGUCGCACUAAUUUCCGUAGGUCGUAUUACCCUGAUUCCUUGUCGCUCCACCCUUGUGGUACCUCGGUAUUCGUGCUCUCUGAGCGCGUAUACCAAAUAUCCCACAUACACCGUUGCUUGUCGAAAACUUGGGAAAUGGGUUUGUGAAGCCUUCAAAACCCGACAUGUGGUGUCGGUGUGUUUGAAAAUAAAAUGAAUUGUGAAAACUCGCGAUGCGGGGGUUGUGCCUAUGUGGCACUGUCCCGUAUUCGCAUAUAAGGACCGAUUCCUGUGGGAAACUCAUCGAACAUAAUCAAAGUGCAACCACAAGGUGGAAUGGGACACCCUGGCUAAGUAGCUAGUCGGUUCAGGGAAACCUCGCAUGCCAAUAGUUGGGAACGCCGGGGCGGGGUCGGUUGGAGCCAAACCGGUCUCCUGGUAAGGCAAGAACGCGAAGCUUGCCAGAUUACCGAUCGAGGUGGUUGGAGUUUGAUUUGUGCACGCCUAAAAUGGCCUAUGUUUAUGUGAGGAUUUGAUCCUUCUAUGUGGCAUGAGGUAUCCCUGGGUCGGCUUGAGAAAGGCUUUGUCGCGAACCUCUGACACCGGCCAGUGUCUGGAGUAAGUUCGUGUCUUGUGGGUAAAGUGUACCCCUCUGCAGAGGUUAACAAACUGUUCGAACAGCCGUGCCCACGGUCAUGGGCGGAUGUGAGGUGGUUCCCGUUGCGUAGAUUUGUUUGCCUGUGCUUUGUGAAAAGUUGUUGUGGUGUGGGAAUCGUAACCAGAAUCAGCCUAUGUGGCAGAUGGAUGACCUGAGUGGUCAGAAACGAAUCUGUGUGAUUCGGGAUGUCUGCGGGCAUCAUAGACUAGGCUUCCCGAGUGGAAGCGGAUUGUUGUGCUGCUGGGCAGCUGGACUCUGGGAGUCCGAGAAAAUGAAAAAAGCUCUGGGAGCCGAGAAGUAAUGAUCUGACCCGGGAGGUCGGUACGUUACUAAAUGAGCUGUUGAAAAGCAUCUCAUAAAGUCGAAUCGAGACGCAAGUCUCUUUUCGCCCAAACAUAGAAAGAAAUAAAUCACUUAGUGAUUUCAAAAUGUCUUCAAAUAAAAGAUUUGCAAAACAACCUUGCCUCUCUUCCAAGCUUGCAUUAAACACCUAGGUUCCCGUGACUUGCUGAGUACGAAAGUACUCACCCUUGCUCUAUAUAAAUAUAUAUAGUUCCUCCGUCCUGAAGAGAAGAUAAAGGGAAGUGAAGAUUAGGGUUUCGUCCUGGUUCCCAGCCGUCGCCUGUGGUGUCGGGUGUUAGACCGUUGGUUCUGCUGCUGCUGCUGCUGUUGUUGGUGUUCGCCUCGUCCGUGUCGUCGGUUGCAUUCUCGGGCUGUCUGAGCUGCAACCUAAGUUAAGGUAAAUAAGUCCUCUAUUUAUUUUAAGGAUUUGCAAUGAUUCAUAUUUGUCACCGUGGGUACCAGCACUAUGUCCUGGGACUGGUACUGAGAUCGCGGUUUCGUAGGAAGCGGUUCGCGCUGUUUUUCCUACGACACGCUCCUAUCAGGUGCCGUUGUGCGGCGGUGCCGGAUUGGGGUGUGACAGUUAGUCGUCAUUCCGCUAUAUCGACUAACUUUUAUAACAAGUGGUAUCAGAGCCCAAGGUUUGGAACCGGAAUAAUUUCCAUGGGUCAUAUGGUUGGUAGGCCAGAUAACAAGUCUUCGGGGUCACAUGGGUUGAUGUGACGGGGGAGAUUGUUAGGCCCGAGGCCCAAGUAACAAGUCUUCGGGGUCACAUGGGUUGAUGUGACGAGGGAGAUUGUUAGGCCCGAUGUAUGACGGGGGAGAUUGUUGGGUUUAGUCCCACAUCGGUAAUUGAUGGUAGGGGAGCAUGACUUAAAAGGUGGGGGCGGUCCUCACCCAUCAGACUAGUCUUUUGGGUUGUGUACGCUCAGGACCUAAAGUUGUGGCUCCGGUUGCGCCUGUGGUGGAGCAGGCCGGCCGGCAUUGAGCUAGCGAGCUUGUUAACUACUCCCGCGCUUUUAACUGUGAGCGAGUCUACCAUACAUCCUUCUCGUACGUCGGCUUCCUGAGCUGUGGAAACCGACAGACCAAUCUUGCUGCGGCACUGCUACAGUGCAGUAGACAACGACCACUUGACAUUUGUGAGCUGUGGAUGUGGUUUACCGCGUCCAUCUUCUGUUUCCAUACACCGAUUGAUUGUGCUAUUCUCAACUGGGCCUACAAACGUCUUCUCUAGGCGUCAUGCUUUUUGUGGAGAUUAUGGAUAUCCCAUAUCUACACGGCGAUGAUAUUUGGGUUGAAUAUAGGAUACCGAAUAUAGAUAGAAUAUCUUGUGUGUAUCUCGGGUUUGUUUCUUAACUUGUACGUAAAGGAAAUACCUUGAGAUCUAGUCGGUCACGACUGUAUUUUAUCUGUAUCUGCCUAUUCCGUUAGGGAUAUAGAUUAUCUUUUGUAACACGGACUCCUUCCCAUAUAUAAGGGGGGUCCGGGUGCCUCUAGCGGCGGAUGUUGAUUUUCUCCAAAUCAUACAAUCAAUAACACACUCGGCGGAUUCAUCCCCGGACAGGAGUAGGGUAUUACUUCUUUUAUAAGAAGGCCUGAACCUGUAUAAAUCCUUUGUCUCCAAACCCAUACACUUUUCCAGCUUGAUAGCCACCCCCUUUUAUUAUUGCCGAAAUCUAGUUUCGACAGUUGGCGCGCCAGGUAGGGGUAGCGUCAAGCUUUUCGCCGAUCAGUGCAAUGGGUCCCGUCACCGGCAUCGACGACCUCGUCUUACCACCCGGGCAGACGUUUCGGUUCGGCAGCCUCGACUUCGUCACCAACAACUUCGGCAAGAUCUCUCUCCUUGACUCGGAGUCGGACCAGUCGGGAGAGAGCCGGAUCUCAGUCCCGUUUGGAUUCCCAAACGCGGCUGAGAGUUACUUCAAUACCAUCUCAACCGAGUCGGCUUCAAACCACUCGGCUGAGAUCGCAUCUUCUCCAAUGUCACCAGAUCAAGAUGAUGGGGCUUACCCACCGAUCCUGAUGAAGCUCCCCGACGAUUUGACGGCCGUCUCCAUCACGACAGCGUCUCCUUCCCGUAGGCCUAGGCGGAAGUCGGCUUCGACACCGAUUUCGCCUAGCUUCAGGGAAGUUGGCGUCAUCCUCCAACCACUCGGCACGAUUUCGACGGAUCAGCUAGAUGGCGACUACAGCUCUCCCACCGUCGACUCGCGCCCCACCGACAUCGUGGAGUACGACGAGUUUAGUUCUCGCUACCACGACCCGGAUCUCGACGACUUCGACGGAAGCCUAGAUGACAACUACACCCCUCUCUACUUUGGCGUCUUCAUGGCCAAUAACGAGACGGAGGAGCAACGCCAAGCCCGGGAGACCGAAGCGCGUCGCGAGACUGAGCGCCGCCGACUGGAGGAGGAGCAUCAAGCACAAGAACAAGAACGGCUACGGCGUGAGCAGCAGGACCGUGAGCGGACCGCGAAGGAGGCUGAGGAUCGACGGCAGCGAGCUUUGGAAGCAGGGCGCCGAGCGCGUGAUCUCAUCGGCCAACAAGAUGUUGAAGGGACACCGGUUUUCCGCACCCCUCAACAGAAUGCGGUUGCCGCGAUCACCCUCCUCGACACCCUCCUCAGGGAAAACGAGCUCAAUCAAUCUGAUCACGUCGUCAACAUCUUGAACCAGACGAAGACCAUGAUUGCGGCUUCGGUCCCAGUUAACUCCGAAAGCGUCCACACGCCGACUGGUAGCCGAGUCCCCCACUUCCGAUCUCAUGACUACCGUCAUCCAAGCCUCAGCAUCACCGGCGCAGGAUCCAAUCGCAGGAGCAGGGGCCACGACGAGCGGUCUGUUCACUCACCUCCCGAUCACCAUAGGGAGCGCCGAGUGGAACGGCCUCGCUCACCACCUCGUCGCCGCCCCGUCGAUCUUCGCGACACAAUCAUACAGCGCCGAGCAGCACGAGGCUAUCUUCACUCGCCGGACCGCCACGACGACGACCUUGAUGGAGUAGCAGCCUUCACCGACGACCUGCGUCGAGUGGAUUGGCCAGCCGGCUUCAAGCCGACUGGAAUAGAGAAGUACGAUGGUACCACUAACCCAGAAUAGUGGCUUACCGUCUACGGUCUCGCAAUCCGCGCAGCAGGAGGAGACAGCAAGGCCAUGGCGAACUAUUUACCAGUGGCUUUAGCGGAUUCCGCCCGGUCUUGGCUCCAUGGAUUGCCCCGUGGUACAAUUGGAUCUUGGGCCGAAUUACGCGACCACUUCAUCGCCAACUUCCAAGGCACCUUCGAGCGUCCCGGCACACAAUACGACCUCUACAACGUUAUUCAGAAGUCCGGAGAAUCCCUUCGAGAUUACAUCCGGCGAUUUUCUGAACAACGUAACAAGAUCUCCGACAUCACCGACGACGUCAUCAUCGCCGCUUUCACCAAAGGGAUUCGCCACGAAGAAUUGGUCGGCAAGUUCGGGCGCAAGCCUCCCAGGACAGUCAAGCUCAUGUUUGAAAAAGCCAACGAGUACGCCAAAGCUGAAGACGCUGUCACCGCAUCAAAGCAGUCGGGCCCGAGUUGGAAACCAAAAAAGGAUACGCCGGCUCCGGGAGGAGGUGGAAGUAACAAUCAUAAGGACCGCAAGCGUAAGCCUGCGGAACUUGUUGCAACUGCUAGUCACUCUUCUCGACAGCGUUCGCGCGUCAACACGUUCGACAAGAUCAUGAACUCCCAAUGCCCGCACCAUCCUAACUCCAACCACGUGGCCAAAGAUUGUUUCGUCUACAAGCAAUUCGCGGAUCAAUACACCAAGACUGCACGAAAGAACUCCGACGAAGAACAAAGCACGUCGAGGAAGAAGGACGACGGCGACGCCCCGACUGGAUUUCAAGACCACCGCAAGGAGCUCAACCAUAUCUUCGGCGGCCCCCUGGCUUAUGAGUCUAAACGGAAGCAAAAGUUGACCGAACGGGAGAUCAAUGCUGUUCAUCCCGACACGCCCCAAUUUCUUCGAUGGUCAGAGAUUGCAAUCAAGUUUGACCGCUCGGAUCAUCCUGACCGAGUGGUCCACCCGGGGCGGUACCCCCUGGUACUAGACCCAGUGGUCCGUAAUGUCAAGCUUCGCAGAACCCUCAUCGACGGUGGCAGCGCACUCAAUAUCCUCUUCGCCAAGACCUUGGAUGAUAUGCAGAUUCCUCGCUCUGAGCUAAAACCAAGCAAUGCGCCUUUUCACGGAGUAAUUCCAGGAUUAUCCGCAACUCCACUCGGCCAGAUCACUCUCCCGAUCACUUUUGGCACUCGGGAAAACUUUCGCACAGAGAAUAUCAGCUUUGAAGUCGCCGAUUUCGAGACAGCAUACCAUGCCAUACUCGGACGCCCGGCGUUAGCCAAAUUCAUGGCCGUCCCGCACUACACUUACAUGAUGAUGAAGAUGCCUGGUCCCCGAGGAGUCCUAUCCCUACGGAGCGACAUCAAGCAAGCCGUCACAUGCGACAAGGAGAGUUGCGACAUGGCCCAAACCCGCGAGAUGACGUCUGCCCGAGAGGAAAUCCGACUGGCUGCAGCCACGGCGAGCGAAGGAGAAGUGCCCGCUACCAAGACUUCAAAAAGUGGAGAAAGCGAAGCCAAGACUAAGAAAAUUCCCCUAGAUCCUUCUGAUCCUACUAAAACUGCUGUAAUAGGCGCCGAGUUAGAUUGUAAAUAGGAAAGCGCGCUCAUCACCUUUCUUCAGAACAAUAAAGAUAUCUUUGCGUGGAAACCAUCUGAUAUGCCCGGUAUUCCUAGAGAGGUGAUUGAGCACUCCUUACAUGUCAAAGAAGACGCCAAGCCUAUCAAACAGCGACUCCGCCGAUUCGCACAAGACAGGAAGGACGCGAUCAAGGAGGAAUUAACCAAGCUGUUAGCAGCAGGCUUCAUCAAAGAAGUCCUUCAUCCCGACUGGCUGGCAAACCCGGUUCUAGUUCGGAAGAAAACAGGGCAAUGGCGCAUGUGUGUUGAUUAUACUGACCUCAACAAAUCCUGCCCUAAAGAUCCUUUUGGGUUGCCUCGCAUUGACCAGGUAGUCGACUCGACCGCCGGCUGUGAGCUUCUCAGUUUUUUUGGAUUGCUACUCGGGGUAUCAUCAGAUCCGACUGAAGGAAUCCGACUGCUUGAAGACUUCAUUCAUCACGCCCUUCGGGGCAUACUGCUACGUCACCAUGCCGUUCGGACUAAAAAAUGCAGGAGCAACUUAUCAACGUAUGAUCCAGAGAUGCUUCUCAACACAGAUCGGCCGCAACGUUGAAGCCUAUGUGGAUGAUGUAGUUGUCAAGACCAAGCAAAAGGAUGAUUUGAUUUCGGAUCUGGAAGAAACCUUCGCGAGCAUCCGCGCUUUCAGGAUGAAAUUAAACCCUGAAAAGUGCACCUUCGGAGUACCGUCAGGGAAGCUGCUUGGUUUUAUGGUGUCUCAUAGGGGCAUCCAAGCCAACCCGGAGAAACCGCCAAGUACCCAGAAAGAUGUUCAGAAGCUGACUGGGUGCAUGGCGGCGCUCAGCCGAUUUGUUUCAAGACUUGGCGAGCGGGGGAUGCCCUUCUUUAAGCUGCUGAAGAAAACAGACGACUUCCAGUGGGGACCCGAAGCACAGAAGGCCUUCGAAGAUUUCAAGAAACUCCUCACUGAGCCACCAGUCUUAGCCUCACCACACCCGCAAGAGCCGUUGUUGCUGUAUGUAUCAGCCACCUCCCAGGUUGUGAGCACAGUCUUGGUUGUUGAGCGCGAGGAAGAAGGCCAUGUCCAGAAAGUCCAGCGACCGAUUUAUUUUGUCAGCGAGGUCCUAGCCGACUCCAAAACGAGGUACCCUCAGGUUCAGAAGCUGUUAUAUGGUAUUCUAAUUACUACCAGGAAGCUAUCUCACUACUUUCAAGGUCACUCGGUAACGGUGGUCACAUCAUUUCCACUCGGUGAUAUAUUGCACAACCGCGAAGCAAACGGACGGAUUGCAAAGUGGGCUUUGGAGUUGAUGUCUUUGGACAUAUCAUUCAAGGCCCGAAUUUCGAUCAAGUCCCAGGCGUUAGCCGAUUUUGUCGCCGAAUGGACCGAGUGCCAGGAGGAUACCCCCGCGGAGAAGAUGGAGCACUGGACCAUGCAUUUUGACGGAUCAAAACGACUUUCGGGCACUGGAGCAGGAGUGGUUUUGAUUUCCCCAACUGGAGAAAGAUUAAGCUAUGUGCUUUGGAUACAUUUUUCGGCAUCCCACAACGUCGCCGAGUAUGAAGCACUCCUUCAUGGACUACGGAUUGCAAUUUCCCUAGGGAUAAAGCGUCUAAUAGUUCGAGGUGAUUCACAGCUGGUUGUCAACCAGGUUAUGAAAGAGUGGUCCUGCCUUGACGACAAUAUGAUGGCAUAUCGACAAGAGGUACGCAAAUUGGAAGAUAAGUUCGAUGGACUCGAGCUCAGUCAUGUUCUUCGACACAAUAAUGAAGCCGCCGAUAGACUUGCCAACUUUGGAUCCAAGCGCGAGACGGCACCCUCUGAUGUUUUCGUCGAACACCUUUAUACGCCGACAGUACCUCAGAAAGAUACUACUCAAGUUGCGGGCACUCGUGACGUUGCUAUGGUUGAAACCGACUGGCGAGAGCCCCUUAUACGAUUUUUGACUUCUCAAGAACUUCCCCAAGACAAAGAUGAAGCCGAGCGGAUUUCAAGGCGGAGCAAACUUUAUGUUAUGCAUGAAGCUGAGUUAUACAAGAAAAGCCCUUCGGGAAUUCUGCAACGCUGCGUAUCUUUAGAGGAAGGGAGACAAUUGCUGAAAGACAUACAUUCUGGGAUAUGCGGAAACCAUGCUGCUGCACGCACCAUUGUUGGCAAAGCUUACCGGCAGGGUUUUUUCUGGCCUACUGCAGUGUCCGACGCCGACAAAAUUGUGCGCACAUGCGAAGGUUGCCAAUUUUUCGCCAGACAAAUUCAUCUACCAGCUCAAGAGUUGCAGACUAUCCCGCUGUCUUGGCCGUUUGCGGUUUGGGGGCUCGACAUGGUUGGCCCGUUUAAAAAGGCAGUCGGCGGUUACACGCAUCUCUUUGUGGCCAUUGACAAAUUCUCCAAGUGGAUUGAAGCUAAACCGGUUGUCACAAUCACAGCUGAUAACGCUCGAGAUUUCUUCAUCAACAUUGUGCAUAGAUUUGGAGUGCCCAAUCGAAUCAUCACUGAUAAUGGCACACAAUUCACUGGUGGAGUUUUUAAAGACUUUUGUGAAGACUUCGGAAUUAAGAUUUGCUAUGCUUCAGUGGCACACCCCAUGAGCAAUGGACAGGUGGAGCGAGCCAAUGGCAUGAUACUCCAAGGGAUUAAAGCACGUGUUUUUGACCGGCUAAAACCCUAUGCCGGCAAAUGGGUGCAACAGCUGCCAUCAGUACUUUGGUCUUUGCGAACUACACCCAGUCGGGCCACAGGCCAGUCACCUUUUUUCCUUGUCUAUGGGGCAGAGGCAAUGUUGCCGAGUGAAGUUGAAUUCGAGUCUUUGCGCUUUCGAAAUUUCCGUGAAGAACGCUACGAAGAGGACCGAGUGGAUGACUUACACCGAUUGGAAGAAGUCCGUGAAGCAGCUUUGAUUCGGUCGGCUCGAUACUUACAAGGGUUGCGGCGUUAUCAUAAUCGCAAUGUUCGAUCCCGUGCCUUUUUAGUCGGCGACCUGGUUUUGAGGAAAAUUCAAACUACACGGGAUCGGCACAAGUUAUCUCCUUUAUGGGAGGGGCCAUUUAUCAUCUCUGAAGUUACCCGACCAGGUUCUUAUCGACUCAAGCGCGAAGACGGUACUCUCGUCGACAACUCUUGGAACAUUGAGCAUCUUCGUCGUUUUUACGCUUAAGUUUAUCAUUGUACUUCCCUAUCUUGACUGUCAACAUCAAGUUUUCUUCUUGCCGUUGUCAGUCGGGGGCUAUCAUCAUAAUAAUGGAGUGUGAUUUUUUAUCAAUUCAAUUUGCUUGCUCGGUUUAUCAUUGCCUUGUUUGGUUUUUUCUACUUAGUCUGCGAGGACUGAAAGUUUUUAAUAGCUUCUUUGGGUUUUAGGCUCAACAAAGCUUGAUAAAAGCUUUUAAGAAAUCAAAGACUUGGCUAGAACUAUCAAGCACAGCAUAAAUACACCAGUAUUGUACAAAUUGAGCCUCCAUUUGCUACAUUUAUACUCAGUCAGAAUCAGUUCUUUCAUCAUCAGAGUUAUUGUUGCUCGGCUGAAGGUCGUUGUUGCGGAAUUGAUCUACAACAUCACUUGCAAUCUUGUCAGCCGCACUUUGAGCAUUACUGAUAAGAUCAAGAGCAGCCUCUUCGCUUGUCCCGUCUGCAAAGCCAUCAAUGGUGUCAAUUUCAAUUCUCGGGUACAAGGAUUUGGUCAUCGCCAAUGCCAUGCUAGCUCCCAUACUUCCAGCUUUCUUGAUAUUCUUGAAGUAUACAUCCGGUGCAACUCUCAGCUUGUCAAAAAUUUCGGUUGCGUCAAGUGCACUUGUGUCGCGACCGGGAAAAUUGCCUUUUCCCGAACGCUAGUGUAUUAAUCCCCGUCCCAGGAAAAGCCGGGGUACACCAUACAAACAUGAUAUAAAAGACACAUCUUUAUUAUAUCGAUAAUAUUUACAUUAUUACAAAGGCACUUAAGGCCUGACAAUCAAAAAUAAACAGCAGCGGACUAGCGGGCCUACGGCUCCAUCUUCACAGGCGCUCAACUGGGGUAUAAGCCAGGACUCCACCUAAGACAUCUUCUCCAAAGCUUCUCUUACUGAAGAGGGGAAGGAUUGAGCAAGAAUGAGUACAACCACAGUACUCAGCAAGCCACACCGGCAGAUGCAUGAUUAAUGCAAGGGGGGUACAAGGGGAUAAUAAUAGGGGUUAGGUUUUGCAGUAAACAGCAUUUAAAAGUCACUUAGUUGCCCAAAGCCAUUUUGUAAAGACGAUCCUAGAGCUACACAGUAUUAUUAAACAAGGCCGUGAACCCUCACGAACCUGCCUUAACCCAAGGCCUACGAUGAUUUGGACCGAACUGGCAACCCGACCUGGGUCCCAGCUCGUCCCAAGCCAACCCAGGCCAACCAUUCCAUAUUUUAGUUGUUGAGCAAAUUUUAAGAAUUAAAACACUGACUUGGGUACAUUGCUCGGCUUGCCCAUAUCCGAGGGCUCGGCUAUUCGAAUAGAUUUACUCUGAUCAGAGGUGUACAUCUUUACCCACAAGACACAUCUUUACUCCGCAUUCCAUGGCCUUGGAACCCGUCGUAAAGAUGUGACAUAACCCUUCACCCAUCCUAGCCGUGAACAAAAGUACCGACCCAACCCUGCCUACGGCCGGUAUCCCGGGACAGGCAGGCCAGGGUUGAGCCCCUAGCAACAAGAUCUAGACCGGGUGCGCCACACACAUAGGGGUGAGGCCACCCGCGUACUAGUCCAGUGCCAUGGCAUCUCGACUAACGGGCACCGACCCGUGUAGUCUUCAUUUGCCUAGACAUCUCGAUUACCGAGCCGCAGCUCGCGUAGCCUUCAUUUGCCUCAGAGAUAUCCAUCGUCGCAACGACUUCAUCCAUCUCUAUCCGUGUCCUUUUGUUCAGGACUAGACUGAGCACCGAGUUAAGCCUUACCCAUUAGACAUGUGGUUAGUACGGUAGUGCUUUGCAACAGAGGCCCGAGCUUAAUCCUUAUAGUGGCCGGGGUGCUACUUCCCAUAACUGGCAUGCACCCAAACCCCACCGAAAACAGGUUUUGGGGGUUUUGAAAGAGAAAGAGAGGUGUAUGUCCAAUUCCACCAUAAUCCAACAAUUCCAUAGUGUCCAAAUGAUAUGAGAAUUCCCAAAGUCUAAAGUUAUAAAACCACCUAAUGUUGCCUAAUUAUUCAGCGAAGCAUCUACCUAAAUUUAUACUAGUGGAACCAUGAAUAGAGUACCCACUAGUUGGGGUUUUUAUUUUCCUAGGGUGAACAAGGUAAUAAUAACAAUAGCAAUAAUAAUGUCAUAACAAAGGUAAAUAGGCAUGGCUAAAUAAAACAGUGGUAACGCGGGAAUUUAAACAAAGCGAUAAUGCAAUAAUUUAAAUCAAAAUAAUUUUAUAAACUGGGAUUCAAUAUGCUCAAGGGUGAUGUGACUUGCCUUGCUCGCUUUCCCAAACGCCGGCUUCAACUUCCACGAAGAGCGGAUCUUCCGAAGCUGCAGCGUCUACACGACCAACGGAAAAGAAAAGGCUUUUACUCUAAUAAACUCCACACAACAAGCAGGAACAAAGCACAAAAAUGGGUUCUUUACUUCUUAAGGAAAAAUUAGAGACUUGAACGGUCCAAUUCCGAGUUCAAAUGGCCAAGAUAUGGCCAUUUGAAGUUUAUAUGCUCUUUAAAUGGAUAUUUGCGAAUUUCUUCAUUUAAAUUUUAAUUAAAAAAAUCGGGUUUAUUGCGUCAGCCGAGGGAGAGGGCGCGCGGACCGGGUCCACGGGAGUGGGGCCCACGCGUCAGCCCCUCGGUCCACGGUGGACCGGGAGCACGCGGCUGGCGGCGGCCGGCGCUGUGGGUCCCACGCGUCAGCCGCACCCGCGGGCGCGGGCGGCUGACGGCCGGGCCCACUUGGCAGCCGCGAGGGCGCGCCGAAGGCGGCCUCGCCGGCACGGCCGACGGGAGCGGCGCACCCGCGCCCCGAUGGUCGCCGCCGGCGACCAACGGCGCGGCGGAGCGGCACCCGAGAGAGAGGAGGGAAGGGGGAAGCGAGGGGGACGGUCUUCGGCUCACCCCGGUCGACGGCGACGACGGGAACGGCGGCCGAAGCGGAAGAAGGCGGCGGCGCGGUUCGGGAUGACGAUGACGACGGUGCUCCGGCGGUCGGCGGGCGAAACGGAGAUGCGGACGGGGUCGACGGGAACGCGGCGAAGCCGAUGGAAAUGACGCCGAGUCGGAAGGACGUCCGGAGCGACGUCGGCGGCGAACCGAAGGUCGACGGCGACGGCGGAGAGAGAGGAGCACGGCGCGAGCACGAAUCCGACGGCGAGAGCGAGCGGCGAGCGGCGGAAACGGAAGAGCGAAGCACGGGGAUCGAAUAUAUAGCAACGGGAGGGGGAGAGCGCGGCCGGGGAGAGAGGAAACCGCGCGCGGAGAUCUCGGGCGCCAUUGAAGACGCCGGCGAACUUCGCGGGAUGAAUCCGGACGAAUCCGAGGGAGAGAGAGAGGGAAAAGAGGGGGAAUCGGGAGAGGGAAACGCGGGGAGUAAUUCCCCCCUCUUUAAUGCGCGCGGGGACGGCGGGAUGCGGCGGAAUCCGCGGCGGCGGCGGCGCUAGGGCACGGGCGGGCGGCGGGAGCGGCGGGAGGAAGGCGAUGACAGGUGGGCCCCACCCGUCAGCGAGGGCGGCGGGCGGGCCCGCCUGUCAGCGGCGCGCGCGCGGGGGAGGCCGAUGGGCCGCGGGGGAGAGGAGAGAGAGGGAGGGAGAGUUGGGCCGAGCCGGCCCAAGAAGGGAAGGGGGGGAAAGAAGACUUCUUUUAGGGUUUUUCUUUUUAUAAAACCUUUUCAACUUUGUUUAUUUCUUCUCAAUUAUUAUUUGUGCUCUGAAAAUUCCACUAAAAUUUGAGGGCUCCUUUUAGACCAAGGAGAAUUUAACAAAAAUUCUCCGGGUCACAUUUGAAUUUUUCUUGUACGUAUUUUAAGGUUUGCCAAUUUCUUUUCGAAUUUUAAUUAAUUCUAUUAUUCCUUUUAGAAGAUGAUUUUUAUUUUGGGAUGAAUUUAUCAGGACGUGACAAAUCCACCCCCCUUACAAGAAUCUCGUCCCCGAGAUUCGAGGAGGCUAGCAAGAAGAUAGGUUGGGCGGGCUUCUCUUCUUGUCUGACUUCUUCCGUUGCGUCUUGACGAACUUCCAGCAAAACUUUACCACUCGGAACUGCUUGGCUUGACCUCCUGUUGCGGAUGGAAUCUUCUCUUCACCUGACUUGGACCAGGGUGCACCUUUUGGCUGACUCAGACUAGGUUGCGGUAGUUCUGUGAUGCUUCCGUUCCAGAACUUCUCAUGAUUCAUAUCUUCGGAGUCAACCUCGGACAAGUUAUCAACUUCAUGUCAUGCGUCGUAACCUGCUUGUCAUUACUAGGAUACCAUGCUUGUUAUUUGCUUCUAACUCGCCACCAACUGCCUCAUAUUAGCUUCCCUGGUCUCCGGGUGAUAGCUACUUCUGCUAUUUGAUGCAAGGGUCAACCACUCUAACUAUAAGUUAUGCUUCCCAAGAGAACCAAUUCAUCCCACUUGACAUACUUUGACGUCUUCUUCAAUGGCUUUAUUGCUGGAUUUGUUAUUGUCUAAUCAUUACCCUGUCGAAUCUGAGGCUUCGUUGUUAGAUGUGCUUUUAAUCUGACCUCUGUAGAUUAUCUUCGAACAUAUCACUUGGUUCAUAACUGGGAAUAGCUCCCACGAACAAGCAACUCAGAUUCACUUUCUUUAUGUUCAGUUUACUUUCCGCUAUUCUCUUCAUGUUGUCAUCAGUUAGCACUCAACGUAUUCCUUUACACCUUUAACCUUGAUGAGUUCUUUCCCGUUGGAUCAUCUCCCAGGACAUGGCGUUGCCUGGUAACCGGUGCUUGCAUUUUUCACUCCGUGUAGCAUCUGAUACCGAGUGGAAGAUUUCACUCUUUGCCUUCAUAGAAACACUUUUACCUAGGUCAUCUUGCUUACUUAAUGACAAGGUGACUGUUGCGGGGCAAUUACAAUCAGGGGUCUUCCUUGAGCGAUGCAGAGCAUGUUUCUAUUUAUCAAUCACCUUUCGGCCUACUUCUUUCAUGCUAGAGAACAUCUUUGCCAAUCUCUUUUAUCAAUCAUCUUUCGGCUUAUCUCUAACAGGUGGUAUUCUUUAAUGUGGAUUGCGGACGCUUCUGGGGACGAUGAGGUCCUUUGGCUUGCUGCCUUUCAGUGAAACCUUGAUGUGGUGCGUCAAAAGCUGCACUGACUACCUUCAGGGAAAUACAUUGCCUGCUAUCUGUAUCUAUACCACUAGGGUUUAAUUUCCGAUGGUCAUCUUUAGUGCUUCCUCGAGAUGGGGAGCAUCCAAAUUGUUCUUCUGCCACAUCACCUUUGACCUUUUUCUGAUACCAGAUAAACUAAUUACCAACCAUCGACUAUUAUGUUCUCAAAUAUUGAUGUCUCCUGGAUCUCCUUAUCUGUUGGCAGGUAUAUCCGAUCUUAUCAAUGUAGAGGCAUGGCGGGUACCCUUCGGGGUUUCCUCCAACAAUCCUUAUCUUGAUCUGUAAAAGGCGUAUCCGAACUCCUAUCCUCAACUACUGUCUCGUUGGCUUUUUAACCCAACACAGUUUAAUUGUUUUUCUUUUCCAUCCACAGGUUGGCUAUUAACUCGAGGUUAGAAUAUAGUUCCUCUAACACGAGACCCUAGGUCUCCUUUGUCAGUAAACAAUUAUACACAUGAUCACAUAUCCGCAUCUUUCAAACGAAUCCUCAUGGAACUUGUCUGUAUUACACAUUUCUCCCUCAUUACAUGAAUACGAGGCACUACCUUAAACAAAAAGGGACGGUGCUUAACAUCGGUACAUUGUAUUCUCAAUAUGAAUCAUCCAUAAGCAUAGCAAGCUCACUGUUUAUAGACAUGAAUAUGAUUGCUGCAAACUUUCGAUUACACCAUGAUAAGUAGCGGACUGAAAACCACAAACAUGGCUGCUCAUUUUGAUUCUGGAGAGAUAUAGCUGGCAUUGUUCCAGUGACUGCAUCCUCGAUUGGUUCUGUGAUGAUGUGAUAGGACUGCAUACUGCUAUCAUUCACAGGAGAAGCUUCCUUCUGAUUGCUGGUUGAAGCGGAUGACGGUCUUCUGCUUGGUAUCGCCCUCCGGAGGUUGAUUGCCCUUGGCUCGGCCUGGAGUAGGUCGGGGAGAGACACAACUUCUUCCAUCUACGACAAUUCUUUGCUGAGGCUGUCGAUGCAGAGAAUGGUUGCUAAGAUUUAUUGCCGAGUCAGGUGCAGCAGGAGGAGCAUUGGUGCAUUGUUUCUGCUAUGGGUUCUGAUUAACACGAGGCCUUACGGGUACGGCGUUUGCUCCAGUGACCACAAUACGAUUGGAAUGUCUGCUUCGUGUAAAUUGGCGGUAAUGUGGAGGUCGAUUUUGCCUUGGUUGGGGACAGUUUUUGGAGUAAUGCCCUUCUUCACUGCAGUUGUAACAAACAAUAACUUUCUUACACUCGGGUUCUUCAUCUUGUACUUGAUUUCUCAGCUGCUGUAUUGGAACUUCCAAAGGUACAACGCAGAUACUGGCCUCUGUCUUGUCAGCUGGUGGCUGGGGCUGAAAUUGAGCAUUGACACCUUGUGUUAGUGCACUCAUUGGAAUUGGAGUUGUUGCAACGCGGGCUAUAGGACUGCUUCGGGAUGCAUGGAUGACAAUUCGUUGAGGAGCAAGCUUCUGAUUGCAGGGAGUUGCGUGGACUGACGUGCCGGCAGCUAUGUUUCUCGGUUUUGGGCACUUGUCGGCGAAAUGACCCAUUCCUUGACAAUUGAAGCAACAGAUGUCUUCCCGGACUCGGCAUUUUCUUUUCUCAUUUCGAUUCCUCUGUCCUGGCACUGGAGUUAGGCUGAAACGGUGAUCUUGGCGGGGAUUUGUAUUGCCUUGAUGCUUCUCUCCGUUGGAACUGGCGGGUUGGUUGGCCAUCUUCUUCGUCAGCAGAAAACUGAAUUGACAAUCUUUUGGUACAUGAUCAGUUCCUUCACAAAAGAAACAAGUGAUCCUGCUCGUUGGACACCUGUCGGGUGGAUGGUCUUCCUUACAAUGAACGCAUGUAGAGGCACACGAGCUGGCAACAUGACCGAUUUCUCCACAACGAGAGCAUGCCUUAAGUUCUAUUUUAUUCUGGUUAAAACCUUGGGGAGACUUCUCAUCUUCAUCAUCUGAGGAGACUUGAUCUGAAUCUUCACUACCAGACACUCUACCUCCAUUAGCUAAAAGAUGCUCUGUCAACUGUUGUGCACCUCGGAAGGAAUUUCUUCUCUGAUGUUUUGUCAUUCCUGGUGGAGGCCAUUCUGUGCUGGUAAUGAUCAUCUUACGGACUUCAUCUUCGGUUCGCAUUGGUGCUUUUCUUUUCUGCUGAGGACAGUUCCUUGCGUAGUGCCCUUGCUCAUCACACAUAAAACAGAUGAUACUUGCUUCUUUUGGGUCAACAUGUGGCAUGGCAUGAGGGGCCUUCUGGGAUGUUGGCGGUGCGCUGACUUGUGGUGUGAGUGCUUGGACUGCCUCCAACUGCACUUGAGGUUGCAUCUGACUCGGGUUCAAAAUUGGCAUCCGAUGCUGCUGUAGUAUCUCUAUAAGCAAUUGGUUCUGGUUAAUCAGGUGUUGGACCACUGCCACACAACUGGUGUCUGGUGCUUCAUUCACUCGGGAGCUUGAGGUACCAAUGUCCUGACUUCUGACCUUAUUGCCUUUCUCAUUGUCAGCCAUCUGUUGCAAAGGUUUGGAGAGGGAGAGAGGGAAAACAAAGGGGAGAGACAGAUUAGAAACUAAGGAUAGGACCUUAACAGAUCUAAGUCUUUUGCUGUUAUGAUGUAUGUUAGGCUUAUUCUGCAAGUUGAUUAAGCAAACAACCUAGCAUGGUUACAUCACACCCCACUGAUGCAAACCACGCGCUACACACACAAACAAGGAAACACACGACUAACGACUCUACCCUAGAGGGUGGCUUAGGUUCUGCGACAGGUUCUCCAAGAUCUUCACAGCUGGCUUCACUGCUUCCUCCACUUCACUAGCAGAUCCUGCAGUCUUCUGGAGCUUCGGCAAACAACUGACGAUGUCCUCUUCUUCACUGACCUGACCAUCUAGUACUAGUUGAAAAUCCGAAGAAGGAAGAACGGAGUAAACCUUUUGCAAAUAGCAUUAGGGGAAGGAGAAAAAGGAACUUUCGCAAAUAAUUUUUAUUUAUAAAAUAUGUCCUUGGGUUUUAUCCACUUGGCUUAUCCUACAGUCGAGAUGGCUCUGAUACCAGCUUGUCGCGACCGGGAAAAUUGCCUUUUCCCGAACGCUAGUGUAUUAAUCCCCGUCCCAGGAAAAGCCGGGGUACACCAUACAAACAUGAUAUAAAAGACACAUCUUUAUUAUAUCGAUAAUAUUUACAUUAUUACAAAGGCACUUAAGGCCUGACAAUCAAAAAUAAACAGCAGCGGACUAGCGGGCCUACGGCUCCAUCUUCACAGGCGCUCAACUGGGGUAUAAGCCAGGACUCCACCUAAGACAUCUUCUCCAAAGCUUCUCUUACUGAAGAGGGGAAGGAUUGAGCAAGAAUGAGUACAACCACAGUACUCAGCAAGCCACACCGGCAGAUGCAUGAUUAAUGCAAGGGGGGUACAAGGGGAUAAUAAUAGGGGUUAGGUUUUGCAGUAAACAGCAUUUAAAAGUCACUUAGUUGCCCAAAGCCAUUUUGUAAAGACGAUCCUAGAGCUACACAGUAUUAUUAAACAAGGCCGUGAACCCUCACGAACCUGCCUUAACCCAAGGCCUACGAUGAUUUGGACCGAACUGGCAACCCGACCUGGGUCCCAGCUCGUCCCAAGCCAACCCAGGCCAACCAUUCCAUAUUUUAGUUGUUGAGCAAAUUUUAAGAAUUAAAACACUGACUUGGGUACAUUGCUCGGCUUGCCCAUAUCCGAGGGCUCGGCUAUUCGAAUAGAUUUACUCUGAUCAGAGGUGUACAUCUUUACCCACAAGACACAUCUUUACUCCGCAUUCCAUGGCCUUGGAACCCGUCGUAAAGAUGUGACAUAACCCUUCACCCAUCCUAGCCGUGAACAAAAGUACCGACCCAACCCUGCCUACGGCCGGUAUCCCGGGACAGGCAGGCCAGGGUUGAGCCCCUAGCAACAAGAUCUAGACCGGGUGCGCCACACACAUAGGGGUGAGGCCACCCGCGUACUAGUCCAGUGCCAUGGCAUCUCGACUAACGGGCACCGACCCGUGUAGUCUUCAUUUGCCUAGACAUCUCGAUUACCGAGCCGCAGCUCGCGUAGCCUUCAUUUGCCUCAGAGAUAUCCAUCGUCGCAACGACUUCAUCCAUCUCUAUCCGUGUCCUUUUGUUCAGGACUAGACUGAGCACCGAGUUAAGCCUUACCCAUUAGACAUGUGGUUAGUACGGUAGUGCUUUGCAACAGAGGCCCGAGCUUAAUCCUUAUAGUGGCCGGGGUGCUACUUCCCAUAACUGGCAUGCACCCAAACCCCACCGAAAACAGGUUUUGGGGGUUUUGAAAGAGAAAGAGAGGUGUAUGUCCAAUUCCACCAUAAUCCAACAAUUCCAUAGUGUCCAAAUGAUAUGAGAAUUCCCAAAGUCUAAAGUUAUAAAACCACCUAAUGUUGCCUAAUUAUUCAGCGAAGCAUCUACCUAAAUUUAUACUAGUGGAACCAUGAAUAGAGUACCCACUAGUUGGGGUUUUUAUUUUCCUAGGGUGAACAAGGUAAUAAUAACAAUAGCAAUAAUAAUGUCAUAACAAAGGUAAAUAGGCAUGGCUAAAUAAAACAGUGGUAACGCGGGAAUUUAAACAAAGCGAUAAUGCAAUAAUUUAAAUCAAAAUAAUUUUAUAAACUGGGAUUCAAUAUGCUCAAGGGUGAUGUGACUUGCCUUGCUCGCUUUCCCAAACGCCGGCUUCAACUUCCACGAAGAGCGGAUCUUCCGAAGCUGCAGCGUCUACACGACCAACGGAAAAGAAAAGGCUUUUACUCUAAUAAACUCCACACAACAAGCAGGAACAAAGCACAAAAAUGGGUUCUUUACUUCUUAAGGAAAAAUUAGAGACUUGAACGGUCCAAUUCCGAGUUCAAAUGGCCAAGAUAUGGCCAUUUGAAGUUUAUAUGCUCUUUAAAUGGAUAUUUGCGAAUUUCUUCAUUUAAAUUUUAAUUAAAAAAAUCGGGUUUAUUGCGUCAGCCGAGGGAGAGGGCGCGCGGACCGGGUCCACGGGAGUGGGGCCCACGCGUCAGCCCCUCGGUCCACGGUGGACCGGGAGCACGCGGCUGGCGGCGGCCGGCGCUGUGGGUCCCACGCGUCAGCCGCACCCGCGGGCGCGGGCGGCUGACGGCCGGGCCCACUUGGCAGCCGCGAGGGCGCGCCGAAGGCGGCCUCGCCGGCACGGCCGACGGGAGCGGCGCACCCGCGCCCCGAUGGUCGCCGCCGGCGACCAACGGCGCGGCGGAGCGGCACCCGAGAGAGAGGAGGGAAGGGGGAAGCGAGGGGGACGGUCUUCGGCUCACCCCGGUCGACGGCGACGACGGGAACGGCGGCCGAAGCGGAAGAAGGCGGCGGCGCGGUUCGGGAUGACGAUGACGACGGUGCUCCGGCGGUCGGCGGGCGAAACGGAGAUGCGGACGGGGUCGACGGGAACGCGGCGAAGCCGAUGGAAAUGACGCCGAGUCGGAAGGACGUCCGGAGCGACGUCGGCGGCGAACCGAAGGUCGACGGCGACGGCGGAGAGAGAGGAGCACGGCGCGAGCACGAAUCCGACGGCGAGAGCGAGCGGCGAGCGGCGGAAACGGAAGAGCGAAGCACGGGGAUCGAAUAUAUAGCAACGGGAGGGGGAGAGCGCGGCCGGGGAGAGAGGAAACCGCGCGCGGAGAUCUCGGGCGCCAUUGAAGACGCCGGCGAACUUCGCGGGAUGAAUCCGGACGAAUCCGAGGGAGAGAGAGAGGGAAAAGAGGGGGAAUCGGGAGAGGGAAACGCGGGGAGUAAUUCCCCCCUCUUUAAUGCGCGCGGGGACGGCGGGAUGCGGCGGAAUCCGCGGCGGCGGCGGCGCUAGGGCACGGGCGGGCGGCGGGAGCGGCGGGAGGAAGGCGAUGACAGGUGGGCCCCACCCGUCAGCGAGGGCGGCGGGCGGGCCCGCCUGUCAGCGGCGCGCGCGCGGGGGAGGCCGAUGGGCCGCGGGGGAGAGGAGAGAGAGGGAGGGAGAGUUGGGCCGAGCCGGCCCAAGAAGGGAAGGGGGGGAAAGAAGACUUCUUUUAGGGUUUUUCUUUUUAUAAAACCUUUUCAACUUUGUUUAUUUCUUCUCAAUUAUUAUUUGUGCUCUGAAAAUUCCACUAAAAUUUGAGGGCUCCUUUUAGACCAAGGAGAAUUUAACAAAAAUUCUCCGGGUCACAUUUGAAUUUUUCUUGUACGUAUUUUAAGGUUUGCCAAUUUCUUUUCGAAUUUUAAUUAAUUCUAUUAUUCCUUUUAGAAGAUGAUUUUUAUUUUGGGAUGAAUUUAUCAGGACGUGACAACUUGGACCAUUGUUAUUAAGGAACAUAGCUUGGACAAGUGGUGUAGCGACAUUGGCGACUUCAUCUCUUGCUCCUUCAAGCCUCUUAAUCUUACCAACCAGGACGUCAAACUGAGCUUGAGAUUUGACUUUACGGUCUACAAAACACAUUUAUGAUAAGAAUCUGCUGCAUUUAAAAGAGAGGAGACCAGAUUGUUAGCUGAUAGUACCUUCAACCUCUUUCAAGGCCGAGUCCCUUUGCGCAGCUAGUUCUACUUUGUCUCUUUUCAGGGCUUCAAUCUGUUUCUCCAUUUGAGCCAUCCUGGUAGCUUGCGCUGUUUGAAAUCCAAAUGUUUGAGGAUACAGCUAUGACAGCAUAAAUUAAUGGGACAGAUCUAGAAGAUUACCUUUUGAUGAACCACUUAGCUCGAAGUUUGAAUCCUGGAGCUGGGCAAUUCGGUCCCUUAACUCCUUCUCUGUCUUUUUGGCGUACUCCUUGGCCUCAUGCAGCUGGUCCCUAACUGCUUCAAGAGUUCCCAAAUGAGGAACCAGCCUUUCCAAAGUUGUAGUCUUGGCCUCAUUGCGAAGAUGGAUUCUCUGCAUGAUGGAUCAUGGUUCAGUUCUGCUAAAGAGAGAACAAAGUUAUUAAAGGCAGUCACCCGGAAGAUUUACAUUCACAAUGCGAGUGGCUUCUCCAAGUGCUUUCUUCAGCUGGCACACUUCCUCAUCUUCUUUUUGACGAUUUAUGACGAUGCCGGCAACUUGCGAGUUCUCGUCCCACCAUUUGAGCAAGAUAGGAGGACGGGAGUCAUCAGCCGCCUUUAUGCGAGGAAUUGCUUCUUCGUCAUCGCCUAGUGUUCCUGAUGUAUUUCCAAGACAUUAGACGAGUAAGCUGAAGUUAUUUAAAUCGGCAUCACUUGAGAAGAUGUGUUACCUGAGGAUGUUCCUGGCUGAACAUGAGGUGAUCCUUGUUCUUUAUUUAGAGACCCAAUCAUUGAGUCUUUACCAGCCUCUGGUCCUUGGGAAGUUGUCGUCUGCGCUUCAACUUCAGGGAUUUCUUCAUCGGGACCUACAUUCGACUGGUUUCCAGUCGGGGGCUCUUGUGUUGUUGCAGUUUCAGCUGUUGCCGACUGGUCUCCAGUUGGCGGCCGGUCACUCGGAUUGGCCUUAUCACCCAAAGCAUGGGCGCCGGUUGGCUGGCUUUCGGCAGUCGGCUGGCUUUCGGCAGUUGGCUCAGGAUCCUUGGAUAAAUUUGGUUCUGUCACAGUCGGAUCAGAAUCUUUCCCAGUGGGAUCUAUGUCGGAUGGUUUCCUGCAAAGUGUUCUUUCGAUAUUCAGUAUAAUUUCUAUGAGAGAAGCAUGUCGAAGGGAAAUGGUACCGAGAGGUUUAUACCUAGAAAAUGUUCUAAUCUUUGGCAUUUGACGGCCAGCCAGUUUUUUCUUGGGCAUGGUACGCUUUGGGAGUUUAUUAGGCGAGCCCUUGUCCCCAGAUUUAUCGUCGUCGCCUUCAUCGUUGUCGAGCACCAGUUUUCUCUUGCGAGAACCUGUCUGUCCAGUUGGAUUGGAGGUUUGAGGUUGCGGAUCUGGUCUGAUUUUUGGCCCUCCACCUCCCUGAACGGUGUGCUGACGAGGCGACCGGCGCUGAGUGAUUGGGGGAUCAGAUUUCAUCAACGCAUAUUCCUAAAUGAGAUGCUUCCACGGUUAAUUAAUUCAACAUGAAGACAAGAUAAUGUUUUAGUCAUAGAUUGAAGAUUUCAGAUGCAUACCUGCGGAGGCGGAUUGAAUGCAUUAUAUGGCACAACUGGCAGCUGAUGCGAGUAGCUGACGACAAUAGCAUUUGAGAAAAUUUUAUACAUUCUCUCCUUCAUGAUUUUAAAGUCCAGAGAGUCUGGUUCUUCACGAUUGGGAUCAUGCUUGCCGUCGAACUCGAACGCUGUACGGGAUCUUUCUUUAAUUGGUGCCAGUCGGCAUUUGAUGAAAUGCCGAGUAAUCUGCUCUCCUUGCAAGCCUUGUUCUUUGAGUUUUAGCAUGCGGUCCAUCAAUUCCAAGGCUUGAGCAGCUUUAUCUCCGAUAGGAAGAGAGUUCCAAGUAUCUUGGUACACCGGAGGAAGACAAGAGUACUCGGGAAGAGCAGGCUCAGGAUUCUGAACAUAAAACCAGUUCGCAUGCCACCCUUUGUUUGAGGUCUUGAAGGGCAUAGAGAAAUACUUCUGGCUCAGAGUUCCCCUCAACUGAAAUCCUGCCCCUCCGACUACACAUGGCUUAUUCUUGUUCGGUUGGGGCUUGAGAAAAAAGAUUCGGCGGAACAGAGCGAAAUGGGGUUUAAUUCCCAAGAAGGCUUCACAAACAUGGACGAAAUUGGCGAUAUGGACUAUGGAAUUUGGGUUUAGGUGAUGCAAACUGAUUCCAUAGAAACUUAAUAUCCCGCGGAAAAAUUUCGAGGUCGGAAGAGCGAAGCCGCCAUAGAAGAAAUGAGAGAAGACCACAAUCUCGUGUGUAUCGGGGGUCGGAAAAAUCUCACCGCACGCUGGCCGCCACCCGAUGAUCUCCUUGGCAGGGAGAACGCCGUGCGCCACCAUCUCCUUCAGGUUCUCUUCUGUUACGUCGGACGGCGCCCACUGGCCUUCAAAGCUUUCUUUCUCUUCCGCCAUCGAUUUUCCCCGAAUGCGCUGAUUUGAUUCGAGGGAUGGCUUGGGAGAGGUGAGGAAUUGAGGCGGUGGAUCACGGGGAGGAUUUUGAUCACUUUUUGAAGGUGGAUUUGAGUGGAAUGGUGAACCCUAGUUUGCCGGCGCAGUUCUUUACUGUAGCAGGGAGUGGGGAAAAUGGCGAGAGUUCCGGCGGGGAAGACGAAGCGUCGCUUGGAUCUCGGGAUUUCUUGUUAAGGGUAUCGGAGGUGCAAAUGGGCCUAGGCCUGAACAGUACCUCAGCCCAAUACUCUUAACAGCGUGGCCCAUUGUGUUCCUUAGGGACUUGGGCAUUUUUUGCUUUGGCAAUUUAUGCGCACAAUAGUGUUGCCCAAUGCUGAUAAAAUCCUUUUUAUGCGGUCAUAUAAUUCUUUGGAAUUAUUGCAAUGCAAAUUAAAAGGUGCCCGACAGAAAGGCGUCAUGCUGCUUUUUGUAAGCUUUUUUAGGCUACAAAAGCUGUCUGGGUUAACUUGGAGUGGCUUGUUUUUACCAUAGUCAUUUCCCUGGUAUGUUAUAUGCCUGUUUUUAUUAUGGUAAAUAGUCAUAGCCUAGGCUAUUAGACUUAUUUAUUACCAUAAUUUUUAUAAUACUUGGUGGGUAAUCUUUAGAGUUUUUAUUCGGAUGACUGUCAAGUGUGUUCAUUCGUGAACCUUUUAGAGUGUAAACCACUCGGAUUCCUUUUAUUAUGGCUAAAAAGCAGUCGGCUAGGAUGCCUCUUUAGGCGCCGCGUAUGCUUUUGUCAUAUGAUGCAUGAUUGUGCUAUUAUUUUGUUCUCAACUAUAUGUUUAGUUUGUUAACUAAUCACAUAGUUGGGGGCUACACCUAAUUAGGUGCAUCUAUUCGAUGCACCGUAUUCUUUAUUGUUUCGCCCUUUACAGUCUUCGUCUUCGCUACUCGGCAGGCCUUGGCAUGAAUAAUUUGAAGCACUCGGAUUACUAUCUUUGAGAAGGCUAUAAUGGUUGACUGCAAAGGUCUCGGGGGCUACUGUGGAGAUUAUGGAUAUCCCAUAUCUACACGGCGAUGAUAUUUGGGUUGAAUAUAGGAUACCGAAUAUAGAUAGAAUAUCUUGUGUGUAUCUCGGGUUUGUUUCUUAACUUGUACGUAAAGGAAAUACCUUGAGAUCUAGUCGGUCACGACUGUAUUUUAUCUGUAUCUGCCUAUUCCGUUAGGGAUAUAGAUUAUCUUUUGUAACACGGACUCCUUCCCAUAUAUAAGGGGGGUCCGGGUGCCUCUAGCGGCGGAUGUUGAUUUUCUCCAAAUCAUACAAUCAAUAACACACUCGGCGGAUUCAUCCCCGGACAGGAGUAGGGUAUUACUUCUUUUAUAAGAAGGCCUGAACCUGUAUAAAUCCUUUGUCUCCAAACCCAUACACUUUUCCAGCUUGAUAGCCACCCCCUUUUAUUAUUGCCGAAAUCUAGUUUCGACACUUUUGGUACAUAUAUAGGAGUAUCGGCUUUGUUUGGGUUGCUCUACAAAUGUGCUGAGGCUAUAGCUUGUGGUUCCUGCAGGAUCGCUAAUUACCUAAGUUAAUCAGUAUGAUGGCCGCCGACGGGCGACGGCAGCGCUGUCCAGGAGCACCGGAUACAGGUAUCGGAGUCGGGACAAGCUGAUCAUAAGGCGGUCGCCGCGGCACCGGAGAAGUGGCUGAACUACUUCGUCCGCUUGCUCGCGGUGAUCGAAAGCGUGGGCAACGCCUUCGGCACGGUGGCCUUCACCUGGGCCACCGUCGUCCUGCUGGGUGGCUAUCCGUCCGUUCUCAAGAGCGAUUUUCGUUAUGCGACUGCGAUAUUUUUCCUAGAAGCCACGAGGUAUGUAUACAUGCAAAGUCUCCUGGUCUUGCAAUGUUUGGCUGACAAGAAUUUGGAUAGAUGGAAUUCCAUUUCUAUAAUACAUUGAUAAUCUUCUGCAAUUAGCGUUUUUUUUCCUGUUUGGAUGCCACCUGACUUUGCAAGCUUGCACUAGAUAGAGAAGCACUCCAACCUAGCAAUCAUAUCAACGGCCUCAUCGUUUCGCUUAUUCGGUAAAUAAGUCAAACAACAUAUUUACAAAUGAAAAAUAAUUUGUGAAUAAAAUUUUUAUAUACAUGUUCUUAACGAUCUAAAAGACUAAAAAAUAAACUUUGAUGAAAAACCCCAAAAUCAACUUUAAAUUUAAGAUUAAAUAUUUAAAUUUCGGCUGAUAAGCAUGAGCGUAAGCGAAAAGAUAAGGCUGCAAAGCUGUUCAAUAAGGUAGUGUUUGGUUGCUGGGAUAGGAUGGGAUGGGAUGGGAUGAACCCAUUUUUAGGGGUGUUUGGUUCAAGGUUGAGUGGGAUGGGUUGGUCCCUAGAGAGGAAUAUUCCUCUCAGAUCCGGGACCAACUGAUCCGGCCAAAACUGGCGGACCAACUCAUCCCACCUGGGACGAGUGAACGGCGUGAACGAGCGAACACCAUCGCACGCUCGCCGCCCUGCUCGCGCGCUCGUCCUCGAGAGACGGCAGCGGGCUAGGCGACGGCGGCGGCGGCGGGCUCGACGACGGCGGCGGCGGCGGCGGUAGACGGCUCGGGCCACGGCGGUGGCGGACGGCUCGGGCGACCGCGGCGGCGGUGGGCUCGGGCGACGUCGACGGCGGUGGGCUCGGCGACAGCGGCGGCGGGGGGCUCGGUGGCAGCGGAUCCGGUGGUGGGGAAGGCGGCGGCGGCGGAUCCGGCGAUAGGGAAGGCGACGGCGGCGGAUCCGGCGAUGGGGAAGGCGGCGGCGACGGAUCUGGAGCCGGGGAACUCGGCGGCGGGCCGACCGUGCGUCGUCGCGCUUCUCCGCCCGCCCGACCGCGAUGAUGGCCGUGCUCGCCCUCCUCUCCACCGGCCUCUCCCUCUCCCUCUCCCGCGCGGACCUCGUUGCCGUCGUCAUCGCCAAGCCGCGGCUGCUCUGCGCGAAGGCUGACACCAUCGCCGCCAGCGCUCGGUUGGGUCAUCCCGUCUGUCGUCGUCGCGCUCCUCCGCCCGCUCGUCUGUGAUGCCGACACCGUCAUCUCCUCGGUGCGUGUGACCCAGGCCCCGACCAGCCCAAGCUCAUCGACGCCAUCAAGGAGGCCGGCGACGACCACGUCCGGAGGUGAGGGCAGAGGCGGCGUCGGCCAUGUUUGUUGUAAACGGCGUUAUCGGUGGUUGCAAACAGCGCUCAUCCCAUCCCUCCCUCGUCCCUUCAACCAAACAAAAAACUGGGAUCGUCCUAUUCUACAAACCAAACACCCGAAUGGAAUCAUCCCAAUCCUAAAAUCAGGGAUGGUUUCAUCCCAUCCCACCUAGUCCCAGAACCAAACACACGCUAAGAUUUCAAGCGUUUCAAACUUGUAGUGUGAAACUAACUUUUGAUAAUCAAAUAAUUGGCUCCUAUGCGCCUUUUUGUUUUUAUGGUAUGGUACCUUCUACUACCAUGUGUAGUAGUGUAGUAAAUUUUAAAUCUAACUAUAUAUUUUCAUAAGUAUAUAAAAUAUUUUAUUUGAAGCUUUAGUAAAAUAUAUUUACCAAUUCAUCUAUUUUAAUAUGGUAUAUGAUACACGAAUUUAUUGUAAUGUUAUAUAUAUUAUUUCUAAUUUUACCCCUAUAUAAUUUCUACUACACUACUACCGGGUGUAGUACAAUAAAAUCAAAUCCAUUGAAUCUGAAGCGAUUAAAGGCUCAUAAUCAUUUGAGGGUACCUUAAAAUUCCGUCUUUAAGGCCCUCAUUAGAUCCCACCUCAAAAUUUUACACUCUGCCACAUCGAAUGUUUGAACACCUGCAUGAAGUAUUAAAUAUAGGCUAAAAAUAACUAAUUGCACAGAUUGCGACUAAUUUGCGAGACGACUCUUUUAAGCCUAAUUGCUCCAUGAUUUGACAAUGUGAUGCUACAGUAAACAUUUGCUAAUGACGGAUAUAAUAUCUGAUGUGACACGCCCAAACUUUACAAUAUCUAAACACCCCCUCAAUUCCCUUCUGUUUAAUGAUUAAACAAUAUGACUACUUUCAGGAUAUUCACCCGCAACAAUAGGCUGGAUUAUCAACUGUUCUUCCGGACGAGAGGUGCCUUUAGACGACUGGGCUGGAACGGGCUGAUGGUAAUCGUGUGCUUCUCCAUUUCUGUGGAGAUUAUGGGUACCCUAUACCCACACGGCAUGGUUAUCCGACUAGUUAUAGGGGAUAACUUAUAUGUAUGGAAUAUGUAACAGAUCAUGACUUGGGUAUUACGUUUCCUUAUAUAUUACGGAACAGCCUAAAGUCCUGGUUUGAUAAUAUUGUAAAGUAGAUUUAGGAAACCGAUACCGUAUUGGUUAAGGUUUCUAUCUUGUAAUCCUGCCCCCCACCCUAUAUAAGGUGGGCAGGAGGCCCUCUAGGGGGCAUGAGCACAUAUUGUCGCGACCGGGAAAAUUGCCUUUUCCCGAACGCUAAUGUAUUAAUCCCCGUCCCAGGAAAAGCCGGGGUACACCAUACAAACAUGAUAUAAAAGACACAUCUUCAUUAUAUCGAUAAUAUUUACAUUAUUACAAAGGCGCUUCAGGCCUGACAAACAAAAAUAAACAGCAGCGGACUAGCGGGCCUACGGCUCCAUCUUCACAGGCGCUCAACUGGGGUAUAAGCCAGGACUCCACCUAAGACUUCUUUUCCAAAGCUUCUCUUACUGAAGGGGGGAGAAAGAUAGAGCAAGAAUGAGUACAACCACAGUACUCAGCAAGCCACACCGGAGAUGCACAAUUAAUGCAAGGGAGUACAAGGGGAUAAUAACAUAGAGGUUAAGUUUUGCAGUAAACAGCAUUUAAAAGUCACUUAGUUGCCCAAAGCCAUUUUAUAAAGACGAUCCUAGAGCUACACAGUAUUAUUAAUCAAGGCCGUGAACCCUCACGAACCUGCCUUAACCCAAGGCCUACGAUGAUUCAGACCGAACUGGCAACCCGACCCUGGGUCCCAGCUCGUCCCAAGCCAAACCAGGCCGACCAUUCCAUAUUUUAGUUGUUGAGCAAAUUUUAAGAAUUAUAACACUGACUUGGGUACAUUGCUCGGCUUGCCCAUAACCGAGGGCGCGGCUAUUCGAAUAGAUUAUACUCUGAUCAGAGGUGUACAUCUUUACCCACAAGACACAUCUUCCUCACGUGUAACCACGUGCCACAUACCACCACGGUAUACGGACGGAAGACGUGACAUAGUUUCCAACCCAUCCUAGCCAUAGACAAGAGUACCGACCCAAUCCUGCCUACGGCCGGAACCCCCGGGACAGGCAGGCAAGACUGAGCCCCUAGCAGCAGGGCACCAACCCUCUGCCAAUGACAUCUCGACUACCGGGCCGCAGCUCGUGUAGCCUUCAUUUGCCCUGGAGAAUGUCCAUCGACCCCCGACUUCAUCCAUCUCCAAUCCGUGUACUUUUGUUUAUAACCAGACUGAGCCACAAACUAAGCCUUACCCACUAGACAUGUGGAAGUACGGUAGUGCUUUGCAACAGAGGCCCGAGCUUAAUCCUUAUAGUGGCCGGGGUGCUACUUCCCACAACUGGCAUGCACCCAAACCCCACCGAAAACAGGUUUUAGGGGUUUUGAAAGAGGAAGAGAGGUGUAUAUCCAAUUCCACCAUAAACCAACAAUUCCAUAGUGUCCAAAUGAUAUGAGAAUUUCCCAAAGUCUAUAGUUAUAAAACCACCUAAUGUUGCCUAAUUAAUCAGCGAAGCAUCUACCUAAAUUCAUACUAGUGGAACCACGAAUAGAGUGUCCACUAGAUGGGGUUUUGUUUAAUCUAGGGUGAACAAGGUAUUAAUAUCAAUAACAAUAAUAAUAAGGUCAUAACAAAGGUAAAUAGGCAUGGCUAAAUAAAACAGUGAUAACGCGGGAAUUUAAAUAAAGCGAUAAUGCAUUAAUUUAAAUCAAAAUAAUUUUAUAAACUGGGAUUCAAUAUGCUCAAGGAUGAUGUGACUUGCCUUGCUCAGAGAGAACGGCCUUCCGAACCUUCGGCGACGACCACGAACCACGCUUUGGAAACCUCCGGAACGACGAAAGCUACGCGAAGCACACAAGCAAAGCUACAAGCCUAUAAAGAAGCAAUAACAAUACAUAAAAAGAAAGCACAGGGUUCUUUAGGUUAUAACAAACAUUAGGAGACUUGAACGGGUCGAUUCGGAGCUCGUAUGACCAGGAUAUGAUCAUCCGAAGUUUAAUGCUGUUAUAUGGAGAUUUGCGGAUUAUUAUAAUUAAGCUUUGCAAUUAUAAAACAGGUGCAAGCGCUAGCCUGGAAAAGACAGGAAGGCUGCGCCGUUGACAUGCGGACCCCACAUAUCAACCUAAAGGACCGCGGUAGACCGAGUACACAGAGGCGGUCCACGGGUCGACGGAAGCGGACCCCGUGUGUCAACCGAGGCGAGUGGCCGACAAACGGACUCCACUAGACACCACACGGGUUGCACACGUGGAAACCACGCGGCUACCGAGCGGGCACACUAACACGGACACUACACGGUCACCACCCGCACACGUGAACGACUACCGACACCGGUACACGGGUACCGGGGUCGACGACCGCACAACGGGUACGGGGCGACACCGAAAGGACGAGGGCGGGGAAGCGAGAGGACGGAUCCUUACCACCACGCGGCGAGGCGUGGGAACACCAACGACGAACGGGCGCGGCGGAGACAGACGGGCACAACGGAGACGAACGGCGAGGGGACGGCUUCGGCGGCGAUCCUUGGACGAAGGCGAGACGCGGCCGGCACGAGGCUUGACGACGCGGAGCCGAGGACGAACACGAGGACGGGGCUGCAGCGAUCUUGACGAAGCGAGGACGACGAACGAGAACGGCUUGACGGAGGGACGAACGCCACGACGACCGGGAACGACGAGAGGACAACGACGACGACGACGACCGGGACCGGCGAGGAGGCGACGAGGACAGCCGGCAGCGGCUGCACGGGGACGAGGAUGACGUGGAACACGCCGCUACGAUGACGAUGACGGAGGCGGCGCCGCGAGGCGACGAGCCGGGCGACCGACGGGACGUCGACGACGAGAACGAUCGGAGACGACGAUGAUGGACCGCGGAGGGGUUUGGAUGGAGGGGAAACGAUGCCGAGGACGGCCUUGCCGCUGCGAUGCCGGAGGUGGUGGAGGUGUGGCCGACCGGUGCACGGGCGAGGAGGGACGGGCGGCCGAACAACUCCGGCGAGGCGGCUGGAGAGGUUCGCGGCGAUGUGCGGCGGCUUCCGGGCGAAACCGAGGGGUGGACGAGGUGGAGGGCUACGUCACCGUGCCGAGGGAGGGGACGGCAGCGCCGGCUGACGCAUGGGCAUGGCGAAAAGGGCAGCCGGGGGAGAUGCCGCCGAGGAGGAAGGAGAAGCCGGCGCGGGCGACGGUGUUCCGGCGAAGUUCGGGCGAGGAGGAGGUGAUGCCGGGGAUGAGAGCGGCGUCGUGGAGCCGAGGAAGGUGGUGGCGACGUCGACCGGCGCUCAGGCAGGGAGAUAGAGGCGGCUGGAGGCGGCCGGCGCGGAGGAAAUGGAAGGGCGACGGCGGAAACGUAGCUCCGGGGGUCACCUCGCGAGACGGAGGGCAGGCCGGGGUGGAGGAGGUGGCGGCGACGCUGGAAGAGGCGACGGCGCGGCCGGCCGGUGCGCGGGCGAGGCGGCACAGGCGGCUGGAGGCCGGCCGGCAACGUGGGAGAGAGAGGGCGACGGUGGGGAGGUGGCUAGAGACCACGGGAGACCGCGGGAGGGGGCUAAAGCGAUAGAACGGAGCGAGGGGGUUGCAUUUUAUAGCGGAGGGAAGCGAGCCGAGCACGGGAGAGGGCGGAACGGCGACGGGAAUGGUGGCCGGCGGCAAAGGAAGGCGGCCGGACUUGGCGCGGCCGUUCCCGGCGAUUGGGGGCACCAUUCAAGGGGAAAUUAAGGGGGAAAGAGAGAGGAGGGAAAGGGGAUUAAUUCCCCUCAAUCAAUUUGGGAAUCCCAUGCUUGAAUCGCGCGGAUUUGAGGGAGGAAUGGCGCUAGGGUUCACGGGAGAGGGAGAGAGGACGGCUGGGCGGGAGGAGGACGAUGACUCGCCUGACGCGUGGGCCCCACGCGGUCAGGCGGCGGCUCGGGCAGGGGGGGGGGCUCGGCUGGGCCGGGACACGGCCCAGGUGGGAGAGGAGGGGGAGGCGGCUUGGGCCGAGCAGGCCGGGAGGGGAGAGGGGGGGGAAAGGCAGCCCGGGAGAGAGAGGGAGGAGGGAGUGGGCCGGGAGGGGAGGAGGCCCAAGAGGAGGAGGGAGAGAAGGAGAGGGAGAGAAAGAGAGGGAGGAAAGGAAAACUUCGGCCGCGGGCCGAGGGGAGAGAGGGAGGACUUUGGGCCAGACUUGGCCCAAAGGGAGGAGGAUUAUUUUUAGAUUUUCUUUUUAUUAAACUUUGAUAAUUGUUGUUGUUGUUUAAUAAUUAUUUCCGGUGUUCUGAAAAUUCAAGUAAAAUUUGAGGGCUCCUUUUAGACCAAGGAGAAUUUAACAAAAAUUCUCCGGGCCACAUUUGAAUUUUUCUUGCACGUAUUUUAGGGUUUGCCAAUUUCUUUUCGAAUUUUAAUUAAUUCUAUUAUUCCUUUUAGAAAAUGAUUUUUAUUUCGGGAUGAAUUUAUCAGGACGUGACACAUAUGAUCGUCAGAUCAAUACACACUCGGCGGAUUCAAAUCCCCAAACAGGAGUAGGGUAUUACCUCUCAUUGAGAGGGCCUGAACCUGUCUAAAUCCUUUGUCUCCACAUCCAUCCACUUUUAGGUCUCGUGCGCUACCCCGUUUUAUUAUUGCCGAAUUCAUGUUUCGACAGUUGGCGCGCCAGGUAGGGGUAAACGCCGAGUUUCCUGACGACGAGUGCGAUGGAAUCAACUUUAUGAGUCGCCGGCUUCGUCUUCGCUUUGGGAGCUCCUUGAUUCCUCGCCGCCGACGACUUCAACAAGACGAAUCGUCGCUGCUAUUCUCUGCCUGAUCUUGUUCGCAUCAGCACGACGGCAACGACGGGGCAACGACAGUUCGACGGAUUUGAUGGUCGUCCUCGUCCACCACCAAGCCUACUGGUCCAAUCUACCCAACGAGGAUGCCAUGGUGUUGCAAGAUGGAUCUACAAACACGAAGCAUGCCAAAACCGAUCUAAUCGGAUGCAUAGGAGACGGCUGCAGCCACGCCGAUGCCUUCCUGCCGUCCUGCGUCGUGCUGAUGGACACCAACGCCGCCCGCGACUGCGACCUCCGCCUCCUCCGCUCCGUCUCGGAGUCAGUCGAAGAGAUCAAUCUCGGCGAGUUUUUUCCUUUUAAUCUCCGACUUCGCCAGGUUUUUUCCUUUUCAACUUAUUGUUGUUUAUUAGAUUGAUCUCUAAAUGUCAGAUUAAUCUCUCUUGGUAUUUUCUGCUGUUUGCAUGUAACGCCGCGGCACUACUCUUGCCGACUGGUGUUUCCGUCUGCACGGCUGGCCUAUUAUGCCGCCGCUGUUGGGCGUCUACGACUUCACCGCCGGCCUGCCUCCGUCGCCGCCGAGUGGUGCCUCCGCCUACACGGCUGGCCUAUUAUGCCGCCGCUGUUGGGCGUCUACGACUUCACCGCCGGCCUGCCUCCGUCGCCGCCGAGUGGUGCCUCCGCCUACACGGCUGGCCUAUUAUGCCGCCGCUGUUGGGCGUCUACGACUUCACCGCCGGCCUGCCUCCGUCGCCGCCGAGUGGUGCCUCCGCCUACACGGCUGGCCUAUUAUGCCGCCGCUGUUGGGCGUCUACGACUUCACCGCCGGCCUGCCUCCGUCGCCGCCGAGUGGUGCCUCCGCCUACACGGCUGGCCUAUUAUGCCGCCGCUGUUGGGCGUCUACGACUUCACCGCCGGCCUGCCUCCGUCGCCGCCGAGUGGUGCCUCCGCCUAUACGGCUGGCCUAUUAUGCCGCCGCUGUUGGGCGUCUACGACUUCACCGCCGGCCUGCCUCCGUCGCCGCCGAGUGGUGCCUCCGCCUACACGGCUGGCCUAUUAUGCCGCCGUUGUUGGAUGUCUACAUCCUCACCGUUGGCUCACCUUCGUUGCCGUCGACUGGUGUUUCCGCUUACGCGGCUGACCUAUUAUGCCGCCAUUAGUGGGCAUCUUCGCUUUCACCGUCGACCGCCUUCGUCGCCGCCGACUGGUGUCUUCAUUGUUAUUGAUGGACGACUUUGUUCCCACAUUGGCCACUUCUGCCAUCACCAAGGGGAAUAUUACAAAGCUAAGUCAUCAUUUAUUUUAUUCUUUAUAUGAUAUUUUGCCUUUUCCUCUGCCUCACUACACCAAUUGGUCUUCCAUUGAGUAGUGAGUCGGGGGCUACAGAUGUUAUAUCAUAUUUUUUAAACAAUUUUCAUAAUAUUUAUCUUGAUUGCUUGCGACAUAUUCUGAGUACAAAAGUGCCUAUCGAGUUAUGGAGUUCCAUCUUCCUAUGCUUUCCGUUUGGUUUGCCAAUGGAUAGUUGCCUUUAGGCCGAUUCCUAGCACCCGGGGGCUCGUUGGAUGGACCGAGUAACGCAAGGUGCUAAGUAUUAUUCGGAAUAAAUCAAAAGCAUAGAGAUAAGAUAAUUUAUUUUCUGCUCUUAAUAAUUGCAAAAGUACCCGAGUAGUAAACUCCGAUCCGUGAAACUUUGUUCCAUUAAUGACGAACUCAUGUCACUCAUAUGCAUGUUUGGGAAGUGCUUAGGCCGACUCCCAGUGCUUGGUGGCUAUGACUAGUCGGGCAGAGUGUUUAAACGUAAUGAGUCAUCUGCUUGGGGAAAUCAAAAUUAACAAGAGAAGAAAUACGUAUUUAUAAACUGCUUGAUUUUUUCUCGAGUAUUAUAUUUAUAUCAGAUACUACUCAUCCUAUAUGUUUGUUCUGCAGGAUCCAGAUCCAGAUAUGCAUAAAAGGGAUUCAUGGCUUUAAGCUUAUCUCUUACGCUCCAGGAAUGGAUCAGUCAGAACAUCACCACCGGCUCGCCUCGACCGCCGCCGACUGGUGUUUCCGCCUGCACGGCUGGCCUAUUAUGCCACCGUUGUUGGGCGUCUACGUCUUCACCGACCGGCUUGCCUUCGCCGCCGCCGACUGGUGUUUCCGCCUGCACGGCUGGCCUUUAUGCCGCCGUUGUUGGGCGUCUACGUCUUCACCGACCGGCCGCCUCGUCCGCCGCCGACUGGUGCUUCCGCCUGCACGGCUGACUUAUUAUGCCGCCGUUGUUGGUCGUCUACGUCUUCACCGACCGGCUGCCUCGACCGCCGCCGACUGGUGUUUCCGCCUGCACGGCUGACUUAUUAUGCCGCCGUUGUUGGGCGUCUACGUCUUCACCGACCGGCUGCCUCGACCGCCGCCGACUGGUGUUUCCGCCUGCACGGCUGACUUAUUAUGCCGCCGUUGUUGGGCGUCUACGUCUUCACCGACCGGCUGCCUCGACCGCCGCCGACUGGUGUUUCCGCCUGCACGGCUGACUUAUUAUGCCGCCGUUGUUGGGCGUCUACGUCUUCACCGACCGGCUGCCUCGACCGCCGCCGACUGGUGUUUCCGCCUGCACGGCUGGCCUAUUAUGCUGCCGUUGUUAGGCGUCUACGUCUUCACCGACCGGCCGCCGCAUCCGCCGCUGACUGGUGUCACCGCCUGCACGGCUGGCCUGUUAUAACGCCAACUGAUGCUAUCUUCUUCACGGCUGGCUACAUCGCUGUCACUACUAAUAGGCAUCAGUAUCUUCAAUACAAGCUGCCUACGUUUGCCAUGGCUGCCGACUGGUUUCUUCACUUCCAUGGCUGCAUGAUUCUGCCAGUGUUGAUUGGCCUUACCAUCUUCAUCGCCGGUCGUCUCGUCUGCUGCUGACUAGUGCCCUCGCCUCUACAUUUGGUUUAUACAGCUACCACUACUGAUGGACAUCAUCGUCUUCCGCCGCCAACUCGUGUUAUGCCGCCGCCGACUAGUGCUUUUAUCUUCACAACUGCGCGUCUUCACUACCGGUUUGCUUCUGUUGCCGACGACUCGUGUUCACUUCAUCACGGCAAUGCAACUUUGUCAUCAUGGUAGAGCGACUUCAUCUUUAUUAUCUUCGGCACUGGCAAACUCUAUUGCUGCUACUUCGCAAGUUUUGCUACUUCACCAACCACGACGUCUUUGUGAGCCUCGACAUCUCGGCAUGCGAUGCCAUGUUAUUUUACUACAACAAGAGGCUCUCCAAUAUUCAGGAUUUCUACUUGGACAUCUUCAACACAUAUCUUCAAUCAAGCAAUGACUACUCGACGACAAGAAGCUAUAAUUCUCGACUCUAUGUUCAGUUGUUUCCCAACUAACCAAAGAGUCGGGGGCUACACAAAUAUAAGGCUCAAAAUUUGACAAAUUUUAUAUAAGCCAAUGAGUCAACUCCAGGAGUCAUUAUCUUCAUCUUUGCUUCGGAACAGACAUUCUACUUCAACAACUUCAAAUAUUUCGGUUUGGACGAGUUGGACAACAACAUCAACUCUCCUCCAAGUGAAGCAUCUACAACAGCUAUAACAUUAAUUUGAUGGAUUAUUGUCACUGACAUCAUCACCAGCACCUCUGCUUCAUCGACCCUGACAUCUCUGCUGUUGCUAAUGGAUGAUUAUGUUUUCGCCGACUUAUUAUUUCACCUUCACGGUUGACCUACUAUGCAAAUGCUGAUGAGCGUCUUUGUCAUUAUCAUUGGUUGCUACACUGCUAUUGGCUGGAUCACCGACAUCGUCAUCUUCAUCAUGUCGGUUGCGUUUGUCGUUGUCAACUACACAACUUUAUCGCUGAGCGCCUUCAUAUUCAUUGCUGGCUGACCUGACUGCCGCCGACUGGUUUCUUCGCCUCCAUGGCUAUGCGACUUCAGUACUUUUGAUUGGUAUCACUAUCUUCACUACCACCAAUAUUUUUGCCACCUCUGGUGGGCAAUAUUCUCUCUAUAUUGGUUAUCUUGUCUCUAUGCCAACUGCGUCAGCUACCAUCAAUAGACAAUUGUGACUACGACAUAAGGACAAGCUAUAUGCUCAGGGGCUUACUAGUUCAAACACAAGUAUUAUGUCUCCAAUUUGGACUUGUUCCGGAUACAUGCAACAUGAAUUUAUGAUCAUGGGUCUAUUUUCUAUGCUCAAAGACUGGACUAUUUAUUAUUCCCCGUAAGGGUUAUCAACCGAAUACUUGCGCCAGUCGGGAUUCAAUUUUUAUAUCUAUUUUGGAGUAUCCCAUAAGGGAUAAUCACUCAGAUCACAUGGUCUAUAUCACCCGGGAGCAUGUUACAUGCGUCAUCCUUUAAAGGGUAUCGAAGGCAUAUUUUUUGGCCAAGGCCUAAUAUGUCUGCAGCCCAUAUUUUCAGGUGUGGCCUGUCAUGUUCUUUUAGGGACUUAGGCACUUUUUGCUUAGGCCAAAGUGCGCGUGAUCAAGUGCCCAAUACCUUAAAAUCCUUUUAUACCGCAGUUACUCAACUUUUUAGGAGUUGGUACAAUGCAUCUUAAAAGGUGUCAAACAGUAAAGCUUUAUAUAGCUGCCCCGCUGACUUUUUAAUAUAGUCAUGGUGCUGUUUGGGUUUUUAAGCAAUUGAUUGGAUACAAUAUCGUUGCUUUUUGCCACGUAAGUGUGCAUUUUUAUUGACCAAUAUUAUGGCUUAGGCUGAUUAUAUAUUGUGGUCAUUUUUCAGGCGGUUGGUAAAUCCUUUAUGAGUUUAUUUACUCGGAUUUUAUACCACAUAUGCCAUAUAUUUCCAGGUGUGGUGGAACCAUGUGUCUUCUAGGGACUUAAGCACAUCUGUUAAAGCAGUGUGCGCAUGGGGUAUGCCCAAUACUUUGGAAAUUUCUUUAUUCACAACAUACAAGCUUUUUUAUAGCUGUUUUGCUAUGUGAAUUUUCAAUAAUGUAGCCAACUUUAGGUUACACUCAUCAUAUUUUACAAAGCAGUCGGUAUAUCACUCGGAUCAUGUUAUUCAGGGAUUUACACCGCAUAUGCUACAUAUUAAUAUCAAGUCGCUUAGUUAACUAUAAUUAUCGAAGCCACUCGGUUGGUUGGAUUAUUUAUUCCUUGACUAUAUGCUUGGUUUGUUCACUUAACCGCAUAGUCGAGGGCUACACCUAUUAGGUGCAUCUAGUCGAUGCACCUGACUUUAUUUUUCAGCCCUCCACAGUCUUCAGAUUUGGUAAAAGUACUCGGGAGACCAUGGCAAAGAUGAUUGAAGUACUCGGCUUUGGAGUAAUCUGGUUCGAGAGAAGAUUAUCUUUUCGACUGUGAAGGUCUCAGGGGCUACUGUGGAGAUUAUGGGUACCCUAUACCCACACGGCAUGGUUAUCCGACUAGUUAUAGGGGAUAACUUAUAUGUAUGGAAUAUGUAACAGAUCAUGACUUGGGUAUUACGUUUCCUUAUAUAUUACGGAACAGCCUAAAGUCCUGGUUUGAUAAUAUUGUAAAGUAGAUUUAGGAAACCGAUACCGUAUUGGUUAAGGUUUCUAUCUUGUAAUCCUGCCCCCCACCCUAUAUAAGGUGGGCAGGAGGCCCUCUAGGGGGCAUGAGCACAUAUGAUCGUCAGAUCAAUACACACUCGGCGGAUUCAAAUCCCCAAACAGGAGUAGGGUAUUACCUCUCAUUGAGAGGGCCUGAACCUGUCUAAAUCCUUUGUCUCCACAUCCAUCCACUUUUAGGUCUCGUGCGCUACCCCGUUUUAUUAUUGCCGAAUUCAUGUUUCGACAAUUUCUAUGGUGUCUACGGUUGUUUGGGAAGUACGCCGGCCACGUAUAGUGAUUGAAAUUAUGGUAGUAUUGUUUGCUGCUGGCCAGUUUCUAUGUGCUGAAGUUCUAGGAAUGCGCCUACGCAUCAACAGUCGGCUACGCCGUCAGAUAUCGCUGUGGAGCCUAGUGGUUGCACUCUUUAUUACUUGCUUUCUGUGUUUACAGAGAGCACAGGAGCUCAUAGCUGGCCAUGUGGAUAUUGUACGGUUUGCUCCUUGUGGUUGUGCUCCUAGUGACUAUUAGCAGGCUGCAGUUCCCAAUUAUAAUCAGCCGAGUACAGGGUGAUUUGGGUCGCAAAUACAUAUUUUGGCGCCCAUUUAUCCUACUAGCAGCUCGGAAAGUUCCAAGAAAAAGGUAUGAGCAAACCAGUGGCAAAUCCAAAAAAGACAAAGGAACUGGUACAAUUUUCAAUGAUGCCAGCAGUGAUGGCUCUGAUGAUGAAUUGGGCAUCGGAAGUGAAAAGGCUGCCAUUGAAACUUCUUCAGAUGAUGCAUCCUCAUCAGCUGACUCAGGUGGGAACCUCAUUGAAAUAGUAUCACUGAACAUGCUACUUACCAGUAUUCUCUCCGAUUGCAUUUGCACUUUGUUUUGCAUAUGUUUAACCGUGGAAUAAAAAACUAUGCCCUCUUUGUUUAUCUCUUAUACUUCUUCUGGAAAAUACCCUGUUCUAUGCAAAAUGCAAAAGCGAUGAAUUAAAAGAAAGUUAACGAAGACUUGAUUAUUGAGAGAACUGAUCAUACAACAGCUAGUGUUGCAAUUUAUUUUCGUACGUUCACUUGGAAUUCCUGUGUUGAUAUUUCUUUGGCUAGUAUUAUGUUCUAUGUAUCUUCAGAAUAUCAUUUAAUAUUUGUAAUGCUGGUUUAGUGCUAUGGUGAUUACGAUAUGGAAUGUCAGGAGCAAUGUACUCUUUGUUUAGAGCAGACUUUUCAUGAUAUAUGCCUUGGGAUUCUGAUUCAGUGUGAUUAAUUAUGAAAUAUUUUCUAACAGUGCAUCUGAUAUGCUACCUAGCUUGCUUAUGAAAGUGAUCUAAUUGAUGUGACAGGUAUUUCAUCUGCAGCCCAUGAUAGUGGCGAGCCUGAUGACGAUGGCAAUGCAUCACUGUAAGUUCUCUAAUUUACAAAGAGAAUGGUCUGGUGUAGGAAUUACGUUUCCUUCGAUUUUGUUUAUGUACUCCCUCCGUCCCAAAAAAAGUGAAUCUAGGACUAGAUGUGAUAUAUUAUAGUACAACGAAUCUGGACAAAUGUAUGGAUUCAUAGUACUAGGAUGUGUCACAUCCAGUACUAUGUUGGUUUUUUAUGUGACAGAGGGAGUAAUGUAGAUGAGCAGGUACAGAUAUUGUAUGGUACUGAAUGUUGAUGAUCGUCAACAAAUUGAAACUUUAGGAUUUGCUGCUCCAAUGAGGUGCACACUGGUUUAGGAUCUUUCGCUAUUGUCUCAGUGACAUGUGGGCCUACAUUGAGUGGCAAAUCGUUCUUUGGUGAUGCAAAUUUCAAAACGUUUUUCACAUUAUCAAUAGCGAUUUCCAAAAUUUUAUAGAAUCACCUGAUAUAUCUGUCAUGAGAAUCACUUAGAAGAACAAGGCUACCUUCUGGUCUUUUGCUCUAGUUGAAGACCGCUGACACGUUUUCUUUUUAUUUCUUACCAUUUGUUCAGAUCACAGAAAUCUCGCAAAGGGGGGCUUGGCUCCAUCCUCAGAGGCUCUUGUAGUUACAAGAAGGCAAAGCAGAAACAAGCCGUGCAAUUGGAUGACACCGAGGUUCCUGAUAGCCAGCCAAUGGACAUUUUCUGAGACUGAACUUGAUACUUGAAAGAAGAAACACGGACAGCUUUGGUUUUCCAUUAUUUUCAUCCACCUGAUAGCAUGCCCUGGAGUUUGAGCAUUGCAUAUUAGUAUCCCAACCAGCCUUGAUACCAUGUAGUGGGAAGAAAAAUGCACUUGGCUGAUUCUCAUGUUACCACAUGGCUUUUCUGCUCCUUGAACUAAACAAGCGCUGCGAUCUCAGCUGGAAUGUAAUCACUAUCUGGUGGAUUGUCCUCAAUCAGAGAUUCCACUGAUUUUUUUAUGAGGCGGUGUGCAACUCUUCCAAAAAGGAUAAAUGUAGCAUUGGAGCUGGCAUCACCGGCGAUGAGCACUACUUUAUAUCUACAUGGGUAAUAUACAUGUGUAUAUUAAUGUGUGCAGCACAAUUAGUAAGCAUGGAAAAAUCUGGAAUGAGGUGUGGUAUGAACCUUGGAUCUGGUAUUCCUAUGUUAGAACAGCUUGAGCAUUUGUAGCUAGAACCGUAUGGCUUAGAAGUUCUAUAGCAUAAUCGGCAUGAAUUGUACCACCAGGAAUUUUCGCUGCAUAUCCUCCUAACAGUGACAUUGACAAUGAAACGUGUACUCUGAAAAAGCAAAGAACAGAAAUGAUAUCACUAUUAUUGAAAGUGAGAAAAUGUGCAGCGAUGUAUUGAACAAAAAACUGGCAAGGAGGUACCCUGUUCUUGUGAGGAUUGAGGGCAAGUAUUUCUUGAAUAGUUUUUUCCUCUGCAGUGUCCUGGUUGUAACCUGUUGCUGGGUUAUCAACCCAGCUCACUGGACGAAAGUUUGCACUGAAGCUACAUAGUUAUAUCACGUUGAAAGUUAACUAACUGUUUCACAAGGAGUGAGAACACAUCAUGGCAAUGGAUUAUAAACAUGAGUUCAAGUAGGCAGCCUCACCUCUCUUUGAGUUCUAGCACUUCAGGAAUAUCAAGGUUUAGAUACCAUUUGCACGGCGAACUACCAGUCACUGUAAGACCUGUAUAGCAUGAACCAAAUAAAAGCAUAGCGUUAGAUGGCUAGAAUAAACAACAUAGAAGUGAAAAUGCGUAGUGAAAACGAACCUAAUCCUGUGUAAUCUUUGACAAGUGUCCCAACAAAGACAAUAACUUGGGCCUGAGUUUGGCCAGCAUUGUAUACACUAUUAGCGUCAAAAGCAUCAGCCCUUUCUCCCCAGAGUGUAACAGGCAUUGUUGAAUUGCUAUUGUUUUUCCAUGAAUAGAAAAAAGGAAACAGUGUGAGUGUAAUUUAAGAAAGCAGCGGCGCACUAAGAAUCUAUGCAUGCAUAAAAGGAAAAGGUAAAAAUUGCAAUUAAACAUAGGGAUAUUCAGUCUGAGCAAAGACACCUUGCAUCACAUAUCUGUAUUGUUCUUUUUAAGCUAUCAGCAUUCCUUGACUUCGGCCGCACAACGGUUGGCGAACCAACCUCAGUGAUGACACCCAUGACAUCUGGUUGCAUGCCAUAUAAGCCUAAUUAAUGAUGAGAUAGUAUGGAUUAUUGAUACAACAAAUAUAGCUGUGUAGAAGAAUCUCAUUACCAACAUAGAAGAUGGUCUUGUCCACUAAAUUGGGGAUAUCACUGAAUGGUGUCAAUGAAAAAGUUAUGCCAGGGAAAUCAGCAGCGGGCUCAAUGUAUUCUUCAAAUGUUGUCCAUUUACUGAACACAAUCAUUAGGCUAUUGUCGACUGGCCUGUAUGUCCUAUUCGCAUACCUCACAGUAAAGGAGUCAAUAUAGUAAACCUUUUGUUCCUUAAGCAAAGGCCUCAGGCUGUCAAUUGCAGGUGGAUAAAUCUGAGCGUGAAUGCUGUUUCCCUGCAUUUUUAAAGUAAAUAAUGUUAUCAAGAGAGUUGGCACUAUAGCCUAAUAGGCAUCGAUGAAUAAAUGUCAUAGUCACAUCAUUACCAUCUGAUCGAGCAGCACAAGAUCAGUGUGGAAAAUAUUGCCACUGCCGUUGAGAUCGCAGAAAUCCCAUAACCUAGAAACUCUUGCAAGGAUCCUUGUGUUUAAGUCUCCACAGGACAGCUGUGAAAUGAGCACAUGUGCCAUCUUGGACCUGCAAUGAGCAUAGAACUAUUUUAGAAUGGGUAAAAUGGUUGGAUAAGAUAUAACAGUCAAAAGAUUGCUUGGCAGGAUACUAUACAUGACAAAAGGCAAUAUACUAUGUACCAUACACAUAGUCUAUAGUACUUGAGGCUGAAAGACAUUUAUUCCAAAAUAUAUGUACAAAUUUGGGUAUUACUGUGGUCAAAAAUUUCAAGCAUCAAGCGGCGGAGCCUGCAAUAGUAACACAUGCACAUUACUCUGCUGAAAAUACAACGAAGUGAUGAAAAGCAAAAAAAAAAGAUAUAACGUGCGGGAAAUCACCGCUUGGACUGUAGCGCUGAGCACUUCAGAGUAAACUAUAUUUUUUGUCUGUGUACCACAUGAUCCAUCAUCAUUUUCAAUUAAUAUUUUUAGCCCUGAUCGGCUUGUUACUCUUGAAAUAGCAACGUAUAAUUGCCCAUGUGUGAAGACAGGCUUCCUAAGAUAUACGCCAACCCGCUGGAGUGUUUGACCUUGGCUUUUAUUGAUGGUCAUUGAAUAGCAAACUCGAACAGGGAACUGCCUUCUCUGCAGUGUAAAAGGCCAUUUCAUCUUUGUGGUGCCAAGUGUGAUUCGAGGUAUGUAAACAGUUUCACCAAUGUUUGAUCCAGUCAGUAUUAUACACUGUAAAAUUCUGUCUCCUAAAACUGUGACUAAUAGCCUUGUUCCAUUGCAUAACCCAAUUGAUUGAUUAAGAUUUCGUAGCAACAUUACGACAACACCUUCUUUAAGAACAAGUUUAUGCGUUGGAAAGUUAGUAGCAUUUAUUGAAUUCAGAAACUCUGGGGGGUAUAACAGAUCGAAAUCUGGAAUUUGCUCAGAGCUUUUUGAUAUGGUAUCACAGCUUAGGUAUACUCUAGAAUCUCCUGGCACUAAACCAAUAAUAUAAUCGUUUAUUUCAUCAACCGUUGUAUUAGUAGGACAAACAAUUGCACGAGAAGCCAGAUAUUCAAUGUCUCUGUAGCACGUAAGGAAAUCUGAGUAAACCUCAUGAACAAUAGCAGCUAUUUUGUCACCGCUAGUCAUAACAAGUAAGUCAUCGGGAAUUGUGAUCCAUGCAGGAUAAUUCUCACCUUCCUUUGCUGUCAUAGGUAAAGUGCCAUUGCCUAUAGCUAAAACCCAUUGACUAAAAUCAUGCAAUUCUUUUUUUUGAUUGUCUGGUAACAUUGGAUUGAGUAAUCUCAUGUUUAUAUUCAGGCUGAGUAGCGCUACAUGUUUCCAUAGUUCUGAGUUUGUGAUAGAUGCAUUGAUUAUAGCCUGACGGGAUCCUUUAGGAAUAACUGGGAGUAUUUGUUUGAAAUCACCACCUAGGACAAUAGGCUUUCCUCCAAAAGGUACAAUAGAAUUUGAAGGGCAUGUCUCUGAUAAAAUAUCUCGUAACGUUCGAUCUAAUGCUUCAAAGCAUCGCCUAUGUGUCAUUGGAGCCUCAUCCCAUAUGAUCAAUGCAGUUUCAGCUAAAAGCUCAGCAAGCAUUGUGCCUCGUUUUAUAUUACAGAUGCUUGUUUCAUCAAUGUCAAUUGGUAUUUUAAACCGAGAAUGAGCUGUCCUACCUCUAGGCAAUAGGAGAGAUGCUACCCCUGAUGAAGCGACAGCAAGAACAAUCUUGUUUUGUGAUCUAAGUUUCGCAAUUAUUGUAUUCCAGAGAAAUGUCUUGCCAGUUCCACCAUGACCAGACACAAAAAAGAAACCAGGUUCAUUAGCGAUAGCACGAGAACAAAUAGUGCUAAAAACAGUUAUCUGGUCAUUAUUCAACUGCUGUACGAAAGAGUCUGCAUGCAUAGCAAGCAUAAGUGGGUCAAUUGUGAUUUCUUCAUCGAUUAAUCUAUUAGUACCAAGAACAUGUGGAACAGAUGAUGGAUGUGGCAGGUUAAAAUCUUUGAUAUUACCACCGCUAUUUGCAAAUACAGCAAUAAGCUCAUGUAGUAGCAUGUUAAGCAAGUGGUCAUGUGGAAUCACACAGUGUGGAUUGUCAAGGGCCUUUUUUAGCCUGUUAUGUAUGUCAUCAGUCAUGUAUAGCCAGUAUUUAUCAAACAAUGAACGAACAUCACCAACAGAACAGUAAAGAAGGACUGUCACAAAAAGUUGUCUAAGCUGCGCUGAAGACGCAGUCACUAUGGCCUCAUCAAAAAGGAGAUGCCAUUCAUUAUCUCCUUCAAGAAGCCCUCGUGCCUCACAUGCCUCUCUAUACGUGCCAUAAACAACACCAUCGUAUGUGCGAACAUCAGCAUAGCUUUGAGCACCUUUGACAAUCAUUAACAACAUCCUAAGAUAGUAAAGCUCGCCCGCAGUUGGAUGCACAUAAUAUAUUCUGCCAAUUUUAGGAGCAGGUGUUCGCUCGUGCCAAGUUUUAGAUGAUGGCUCCCAUGUCCAUUCCUUAGGAAACUCACAGUAUGUCAAUGAAUGGGCCUUAGAAUUUUUUUUGUUAGUUUCAAACCAUUCAGUAAGCAUAGACCGUUUUGCACCAGGACUCUCAAGGACUGCCCGUAGGUCAGCUCCCUUCUCGUAUCUCACAAAGUUUUUCCCAGGCAGAUGGACAACCAAUCGCUCAACAGGUGGCACUCUAUAAUGUAUAUCAAAUUCAAAUAAUCGAUGAAGUGCCUCAUAGGUUGAGAGAAAUCUUGCAUCCAUGUAUUCUAAUAUUUCAUUGCGUGGAGCAAGGUCAUGAUUUGGUGAUGCAUUUUGUGUUUUUCCUGUUGUUUCAAAAUAGAUCCUAGCUCGGUCAUGGCCUUUUGUAAUAUAUUUAAAUAAAUACUUUAUCAAAUUUGAUUUGUUACACCACUCAACAUUUAUGUGUGCCUCAUAUUUUUUCAGUAAAGCCAUGUUGUAGGGUACAACUGAUCUAUUGUCUAAAAGGAUCCCAUUCUUCAUGAUAGAUCGUCCAUCAUUUCUUCGUCUAUAGAUUGUAAACCCAGAUUCAUCAACAAUGGUUUCAUCUUGGAAAUCUUUAGGAUAAUGUUUUGAACAUUUAUCGUUUUUCAUACAAGGACACUUCUUGUUCGCAUCACUGCAAGGACCAUGCAUCAUAAACUCGCUAACCAAUUCAUAUCCUAGCCGGUCGGUGUCAUAGUCAGGUAUCUCAGCACAGAUAAACCCAUCUAUUAUAGAGGCUGAGACAUCGGCAGUGGCAGCAGCAAGCCAAACUAAGCAAUGUAUGUGUGGAAGGCCACGCUUCUGGAAUUCAACAGUGUACAACACUGUAAUCAUUAAGAACAAAGGUUGAUGAGUGCCACACCAAUGGCCUUAAUACGCUAUAAACUAACAAAAUUGUGACCAUACCUGCAAGAACUUUACCAAAAGUUCUGCCUUCCCUAAUAUCAGUUAUAAAUUCAUUAACUUUCAUGUUAAACACACGCACAAUAAUAUCAGCUCUAUCAGAUGGUUGUUGGCCAGGCUCAAAUCGAAUCGCAUCUGCAAUUUCUUGCCAUUUGGAAUGACAUGUGUAUGUGACAAAAAGGUCAGGAGGCCCAUAGACACGACAUAUUGCCAUUGCAUCUUGAUAAUUCAUGACCAUAUAUCUUCUUCCUCCAGUGAAGCUAGCAGGAAGUAUGACACGCUUGCCAACUGAAUCUCCAUCAGUGACACCUUUAUCAAUCGCAUCAACAAUUCCAUCUACAGACUCAGAGCGCAACUCUUUUUGAUGAUCGAUGAAGUAUUGUAGCCUAUUUGUUUCAAUAGUAGAAAAUAUAUCAACAUCGAUUUGAUCGCUCAAGCGACCAUAGCAUGUGAAAGGAUUUGGUUCAUUUAGUCUGUAAUGCAUUUCAUAUCUAUAAUAUUCCGGCAUCGUGACAUACUUUUUGCCAAUUCCAUCAUAGUUACUGUAUUUAAUGCCUAAAUGGAAUCCGCGUUCACCAUAUGGAAACAACAAAGGAUAUUGCAAUGCCAUAUAAGAUGGAUGCAAGGGAGAAAUCUGGCACAGGCCACGACCUUUAUCGUAGACAAGCACAUCAAAUUUGUAUUCUUUCGCAGAAAAAUCACCUACUAUAAUAGCAGCUAUUUCACUGUUCGUUGGUAAAUUGUAUUGCACAUCGUCUUUUGCAUUGCAACCUAAAAGGCGAAGUGUCACUUGCUGAUUGCCAUGCUGAAUAACACGUUCUCUAGCAUACCUAAAGCUCUGGACAAGAGUAUUUUCAGCAUCAAGCAUCGAUGAUAGGGCACGAAUUAUCUCAGGAUCUGCUUUAUCUGAAUUAUCACCGUCGUUUUCAAAUAUAUUUAAUCGGUUUUGUAAUUCAUUUUCUGGAUCAUACACAUAUAAUUGCGCAAAUUUGGGAGGUGAGCCACAGGAUGGCACAAGAGUACCAAUCCUAUGGUGCACAACUCCAUUGAUCUUGAAUACAUAAGGUGCAUUUCCAGUGUUAAUCGAUUUAUCAAUAGCUGCACCCAUUGAGCUGAAAGCAAACAUCGAAUUAUACGAUCGUAUUUGCCUCAAAAAAUUUUUCGAACGUGCAUCACCAUUAUAGUUCAAUAAUGAUGCUAGUGGCUCAGGAGGGGCACGCAGUUUUGGCAAUUGUAUGCGUCCUCCUUUGCAACAUAGAUUGUAAAUUAUUUUUCUUUUUGAAAUAGCAGAUGCACUCUUGACCCUCUCCUGGUACCAGAACAUGGCACCACAAUACGGGCAUUCAUACGUCGGAGGGCCAUAGUAUGAUCUGUCUGGGUAUGAUGCUGCCACAAAAGCGCUGGACAAUGUCAAAAAUAGUCUCGUGUAAAAAAACAAUGCAUUACGUGCACGUAUUCAGAACAGCGGCCGAACCCUUUAGCAAUCGGAUAUACUCCUUGUCUGUCCGGGAGGAACUACCGUUGGCUCGUGCAGUGUGAUUUGCUGCGAACAAAGACAGUAAAACAGCCUAUGAACCUAAACUGCACGAAAAAAAACAAGCCUACCAUCACAGACAACAAAAAGAGCAUACCAUCCACAUUGGCCAAAGGAACGGACGGAUCCAUCUUUGAACGCAGGAGGGAACGCCUUUGCCUAUUUAACUUUGCCAGCUGAGGUGCAAAAUCCAUCAACGAACAUUUCCUCUUGCACCGACUUUCCUGAUGGGGCUGCCCUAGCGGAACGAUAGCAUGUUCUAUAUGCAUUGCACUCUGUUGGGACAGAACAUUUGUGGCCCUUCUCUGCCGGCUGGCACGUACCCUACGCACUCUAUCCAUAGCAUGCGUUUCUAACUGCCAUCAUAAUUUUACAGAGGCAAGAAAAGAAUGAAGCAAAGAACACGGGCAAAAAAAGUGGCUCAAACCACACAGAUACAGUGAACGAACAAUAUAAAACGACCGAAAGCUCUGGAGCAACCACAUGCAGAUUUAGACAGCGAUGAAUGCAGGCAAUAGAAACAAAAUACUAAACCAAUGAACCAUAAAUAAAGGACAGAAAGAUUAAUAGCGCGGGAAUACCUUUAGCAAGGAAUAUGCUCGUCGACAGGCAGAAUCCACUAAAACGCACCACGAAGCGAACACACAAGCUGUGAACAGAGGCAAGGAAGAAGACGGAACAGAGCUGCAGAGAACGGAGCAUGAUCAGUGAAUAAGAAUGUAGGAAGCAAAGCAUAACACAAGGCCAAUGAAACCAGCAACAACCAAAAGUACCUGCUAGGUCUUAGAAGCAGCCCGCACACGUGCAAUGGAAGAUGAUCAGGAACCUUUAAAGGUCCAUUGCAGCCCAUGCAGAUUGCCUCCCCUAAAUGGAACAAAAGGUGCAGGGUCAAUGCUACCAAGAACAGCCGCGCAGUCAUAAGCAAACAAACAAGAGAGAACAAACAUAAAACCCAAAUGACAGAACGGACAGGAGAACCACACGCAUUGAUCCAGGCCUUACCACGCCAUAACGAAAAGUUGAACAGGAGCAAAACGAGUGGGAGUUUCUCGAGCAAGGAACAGAACAAUGGAGCGAAGAAACCGACGAGAGGAGGAGAAACCGAAGGGAAGAAAGAAAGAGAAACGCAAGUAGUAAUAUAUACAGACAAAGAUAGAAGGGGUUCUCCGCCGAGCUGCAGCAAGGAAGCAAACAAUCAUGUACACCUGCACACCAAACACCCACAAAUAGGAACCAAACAAAUGGCUAGCUGAGAUGACACUGCCCCACCUAUCAGCGAUAUAAGUGCAGCGCACCUAGCUACAACCCAAGAAAACCUGACCAGAGAGACUAACAGCAUAGGCUGCAGAAGAAGAAGACUGCAUGGACCAAGACGAAUGAACCAAGCAUCCAAGCGGAUUGGACAUGGCCCAGGACGCAGAGGAACGGGGCGCAUACACCAGGACCACAGCGAUGCCUGAUAUCGACAACCCACGCAAACGCACCAAUAGCGGAGAAGCCAUCACAGAGUAAUCCCACUACAGGCGCGGUCUCCAACAGCAUAUGGUCCUAGACCGUAACACACAGGUUCAGAAUAAAGCAGACCCACCGGCCAGAGAGAAACUGUGCCAUGGACACAGCGCACACGCGCACCAAGCGACCAAAGCAAUCUGACACAGCAGCUAAGGCAAACAGCAUAGACCUGUUCCACGUUAGGUACGAACAGGCAGAGGCCAUGCGGCCCACACGGCAGCCACAGGCAAUCUGUGGACCAUGGCUACCUCAAAAAACAAAGAAAUGCACCACGCAACGCAUAACACCGGAGAAAACAAUGGCAAGGACGCCCACCCUACCCUGCGCGCGGUGCAAUGCACCGCACACAAACCAACCAAAUGAGGCCACCACACAGGGAACAACACGUGGCGGACGCAACGCAGAGAACCAGCGGACGAGAAAAAGGAAAAUGUGGCAUGCCAAACGCACCGACGCACGAUGGUCAUCCAACGGCGGAGAACGCGCGCAACGACCGCGCUCCAAAUCCACCCCUGGGCUCCGGCUGGAUGACGUGCCAAGCAACGGCAAGGGCCACGACAGCGUAAAUCGCCGCCCAGAGCAGCCAUUUCCGGCGGGUUUGUAUAUAGAAGAUGCUCGUGCAUGCUCGCUGCAAUUGUGAUGCCGAUGUUCAUGAUUGAGAAAAUAUAUCGAUAUGCGAUAAUGUUUGUCGACAUAGAAGCCUUGGCCAUUGUGUCAUUCGGCAACUUACAGAUUCCAGCAGCAAUCGCGCAUGUCGAGCUCGCAGGGUUGCGCCUUAAUCCAAAGGGCUACGACGGCCAAGGUGGCACCCCACAUCUUGUCCCAUCUCUAAAAAUCUUCUAUGGAAUGGUGAUUAGCCAGGGAAUACCUUACAUUGUAGCCGGCAUACUGGAGGUCUUCUCGUUCAUCCCUCAGAGAGCCCUCAUCCGAAAUGGUGGAUUUACAGGUCAGUGGGGAGUAGAAUCUGUCAAUCUGUACUACGCAUACGCCUACGACAAAUACAUGGAAGGAGGUUUGUUUGCAUCAAAGAGGAUCAGCCUCAGCAACUUUGCCAUUGAUUCUCUAAAUUCGGACCUGUCCAAGAAUCAGCUGUAUGGGAUACGGAUGAUGCAUAUAUUUCUGCAGAGAGAUCUGACCAGGGCAAGGCUGCUGGAGAAACUCACCAGUUCAACACAGACGAUGGCCAGGUUAAUCAGCAUGUUGGACUGGAGUAGUAGAAACCAUUGUACAGCUAUCAGGUUAUAUGCUGCCAAGGUCACUGCCAAGCUUGCAAAGAACCUCCGAGUUGUAACCGUCCCUGGAACAUUGCAGCUUGUAUCUACGCUCCUGGAUGCUGAUGGAAAGCCGAAAAGAGGACACCCACUCCUAGUUGAAGAUGAUGAUCAAGAUCAUUUUGUUGAUAUAUUAGAUAGACAAGAUAAAAAAACAUGAUAUAGCUGGUGACCAAGAGCCGACUGAGGACAUCGAUAACCUGUUGGAAGCACCAACCCGAUCAAUGCACAUCAACGACCAAAGAUACAUACCUAGAAUUUGGCAGAGGAUACUGGAGUACUGGUCGAUUCCCAAGGAGCAGCCAUUGACAGACGAUGAUCUCCUCCCUGCACUAGGCAUGUCAAUCAUAUAUAGCCUUGCUGAAUGUGAUCAAAAUAACUGCGUGGAAAUCGACAAAGUAACUGACCUGAUCCCCAAAAUCAUUGGAUUCACAAGCUUUAGAAGUGCAAUGGUAAAUUCUGAAGCACAACAGAAGGUUCUCUUAAAGUCAUCACUAAAGGUGCUUCAGAGACUCACAAGCAUUGAAGGGGAAAUUGGCAUAACACUGCGGUACAAGAUAUCAAAACAUCCCUUCUUAUUGAGAAACCUUGCAGAGAUCUUGGGAGACAGCAGCAGCAACAACCAAGAACUGAGGAGGCUCAUGGCAGGAAUCCUCAGAAACCUUGCAAUUGACAAAGACACAAGGCAGGAGAUUGGACAAAUGAAAAUGCUCAUUACCAGGCUGAUGAAGGCAUUCCUCGAUUCUAACGGAUCAUUUAGUUCAAAUGUUGAUUGCUUGCUGCCAAAGGUCGCUGGGCAAGCACUGGUAAUGCUGUCAUCAGAAAAUUCGCAUAACUGCUUCGUUAUGUUGAAGGAACUAGAUUUCGUUAAUAAACUAAAAAAUAUGAUCCUAAUCCAUGAUGAUAAAUACAUAUAUGUUGCAGCAAGUCUGUUGCGUAAUAUGUGCUUGCACGCUCAACAUGAGCUCACAGAAUCAGACCUAAAGGAACUAUCUCACACCUUACGAGAGGUGAGCCCUGCUAAUACAAACUACGAGUGCAACAUAGAUGUGUAUAGCAUGCCAUAUCAUUUUUGCAUUCUCUGUCUAUUAAUUUUUGUCAUUUUUGGUAAAAAGAAGGGGGGAUUUAUUUACCAAUGAACUAUAUAAGUAUAACUAUAGUUUGUACAGCUAUAUUUAUCAUGCUACAUGACAUUGCUGGUUCCACUACAGGUGUUGGAAAGAAUAAUAGACGCUGAAGGGGCAGAACUAGAAAUCCUCAUUGGCCUUAGUUCACAGAUAUGCAAACUCAUUCCUGAAGAAUUUGCCCAAGAGCUAGAACACGGGCAGAUUAAGCGGAGAUUCAUUAAGAGGCUAGUGGACGCACUGAAUGCAAACAUGAAACAAAAUGCUCAUUGCCCUGGGAUCAGGAGGGUGAUACUUGAGCAAUCCAUAUACAUGAUGGAGUGCAAUUCUCGCAAUGCCAAGUGUUUCAAUGAAUUCCGGAUGAUGGAUUCAGUGUCGAUGGUCGAAGAGACACCCUCAAGGGCUGAGAAGUACAUGUUUUUCUUGGGUGACAUGGGCUUCAUGGAAUGCAAGACAGCUCUCUCUGCUCUCGUGGACAGAGCAAAAGAACUGAUCAGUCGCCAGUGGCUGCAUGACAUCAACAGUGCCAACUGAAGAAAGUUGUAAGAUGAUUUUGCAUUUCAGUCAAACGAUCAUGUCAUCAUGUAUAUUGUUAGUACAGGGUAAAAAAGUUAUUGUGCAUAUGACCUUUCUAGAAAGAACAUAGAUUUUCCUUCGAGAUGAGAAAGGCUAUUUGUAUCUGUGCCUCAUUAGUCAUUAGUCCUGCACUGUAAUCUAGGAGUAUUUGCUACUGCCAAUUAUCAUUUGUUGGAGUGGACAAUGCUUAAUUGAUUAAAGAUGCUUAAGGUGAUUGCAAUUCCUACACAAUGUAUUAGUGUGUUCUAGUCUUGGCAUCGAUUAUUUUCAAAAAAAAUGUUGUUUAUUCGACUCCUGAAAAUUGGGUUUCCUGCCCUGGUAAUUAGUCCCAUUCAACACAAGAUAGUACUCUGUAGUGUUAGCAUUGCUUUGGGAUCACCUAGGUUAGAUCUAGUCGGGUAGAACACUUUGGAUAGACGAACAGCAAUAGAUGGAUUAACAAAGAGGGAGUGAGAGGGUUUAGGGAUGUGACCGGUCGAUGUUGAGGAGGAAGUGCGGCCAGCCAUCAUCGUUGUCGUCGCGGGCUUGAUGCGAACGGCAGCGACGGUGUGCUUGACGGCAACGGUGGUCGUAGCAGUGGGAGUCGUGGUCGACGAUGAGGCGUGGCGUGGCGGUGGGGCGUUCCCGUCACUGGCUGCGCCCCCUCUCGAUCGGAUUAGGGUUUGUGGGGGUGGAGUUGGCGGCGGCGACGAACUUCGUGUCUUGUGCCGCUCCGCCUCCACCCCUCUUUAUAUGGCGCAGGGUGACGGGGGCCCACCAGCCAUUGGGCUGGGUGCCCCCGAUCAGGGCGCGGGUCAAGGCCUCCUUGAGCUGUUGGGCUCAAGGGGAGGGAGAUCUAUCUAACAUUCUCCCCCUUGAUCUCACUAUUUCUUUUAGCCUUUUUCUAUUCCAUCAUAGAUUUGCAUAUAGAGCAUGUUUCAUCGUCACGGUUAAUCACCGAUGGAUUCGACAGCCACUAUACACAUCUCUAUUCAGAAACAGAUACUUUAACUUUUGGGCCCUAUAGUCCAGGAUUCAUAAGGCUUCCCUUAAACCCAUGCAUGCUGCAUGUUCCUUGAACACGUUGGGAGGUAGGCCUUUCGUGAGCGGAUCCGCGAGUAUCCUUUCUGUUCUAAUGUGCUCGAGACUGAUUGUUUGAUCCUGGACUUUGUCUUUCACAACAUAGUACUUUAUGUCAAUGUGUUUGGCAGCACCACUUGACUGAUUGUUGUGAGAGUACAUUACUGUGGGUUCGCUAUCGCAGUAUAACUUUAGUGGUUUCUCAAUACUGUCAACCACCUUUAAAACCGGGUAUGAAUUUCUUUAGCCAGUUCACCUGCCCCGUUGCCUCAUAGCAUGCUAUAAACUCGGCAUACAUAGUAGACCCUGCAGUGAUAGUCUGUUUUGAGCUUUUCCAUGAAAUAGCUCCUCCUGCCAGGGUGAACACAUAUCCCGAUGUUGACUUUGUAUUAUCUUUUGCAAAGUCAGAAUCAGAAUACCUCACUAUCUGGAGCGAUUCUGAUUUUCUGUAAGACAGCAUGAGGCCUUUUGUUCCUUGCAAAUAACGCAAGACUUUCUAUACCAAUUUCCAGUGCUCUGGGCCUGGAUUACUCUGAAAUCUGCCAAGUAACCCGGUAACAAAUGCCAAGUCAGGUCGUGUGUACAUUUGCGCAUCCUGUUGGCUUCCUACAACUGACGCAUAUGGCUUUGUUUUUCAUUUCAUUGAGCUCAUACUGAUUUCUAGGACAUUGCGAUGCCCCAUACUUUUCGCCUUUGACUAUAGGAGCAGGUGUAGCACUGCAUCUGUACAUGUUGAAUUUCUUCAACACAUUUUCUAUAUAUGCCUUUUGAGAAAGUCCUAAUGCAUACUUUGUUCUAUCUCGGUGAAUCUCUAUGCCCAAAACAUAUGAAGCCUCACCGAGAUCUUUCAUGUCAAAGUUUGAGGACAAGAAUUUCUUUGUUUCCUGCAGUAGACUGACAUCACUACUAGCCAGUAGAAUGUCAUCCACAUACAGAAUUAGGAAAAUGAAUCUCCCAUUCUUAAACUUUGAAUAAAUACAGUUGUCCUCGAUAUUCUCUUGAAACCCAAAUUUCUUUAUUGUCCCAUCAAACUUCAAGUACCACUGUCUCAAAGCUUAUUCUAAUCCAUAAAUGGAUCUCUUUAGACGGCAUCCCAUAUUUUCAUUUCCUUUCAUGACGAAACCUUUUGGUUGUGCCAUGUAUACUUUUUCCUCCAAAUCUCCAUUUAGAAAUGUCGUUUUUACAUCCAUCUGAUGUAAUUCUAAAUCAUAAUGUGCCACCAGUGCCAUUAUAAUCCCGAAGGAAACUUUACAAGAGACUGGAGAAAAUGUCUCAUUGUAAUCAAUCCCUUCUCUUUUGCGUGAAGCCUUUUGCCACAAGUCACGCUUUAAACUUUUCUAUAUUCCCUCUAGAGUCAUAUUUGGUUUUGUAGACCCAUUUACAGCCUACUGUUUUGGCUCCUUUAGGAAUUUUUUCUAAAUCCCAGACAACAUUUAAUUUCAUUGAUUUAAUUUCAUCUUUCAUGGCUUCCAACCAUUCAGAUGAGCGGGCGCUUCUUAUGGCCUCUUCAUAUGAGGUGGGAUCAUUCUGCAUAUGCGACUCUUCUAUAUUAUAAACUUCAUAGUCAUCAUGGAUAGCCGAUCUUCUGACUCUUUCAGACCUUCUAGGGGCCUCCUGUUUUGGCACAUUAUCUGUUUGAGGCUAUUGUAGCUCCUCCUCUGGUGUGGCAAUAAUUUCUGUUGAAUCCUGUAGAACAGGUUCCUCACUUUCUUUCAUUGUUGCCACAGGAGAGAUAACAAUAGGUGUUGGUACCGCAACGUCAUGCAUUGCAAGCACAACAUCAGCAGGUAGAGAGGAGAAGGCUCUUGAAUCGACUGAGCGGGCUCAGACACCCGCCUCUCGUCAAGAUCAAUUUCUCGAACUACCGAGCUCCCCCUAAUCAUUUCGUCUUCCAAGAAGACGGCAUGUCCCGUUUCUACAAACUUUGUACAACUGUUUGGACAGUAGAAACAAUGACCCUUUGAUCUUUCAGAAUAGCCAAUAAAAUGACAGCUUACUGUUUUGGGAUCCAAUUUCCCAAGAUUUGGGUUAAAUACUUUGGCCUCUGUAGGACUCCCCCACACACGGAGGAUCCAUAGCUCAUACGGUGUUUUGGGCGCUGAUGCAUUCUAUGCAUUGUAUGCAUUGUUCUAAAACUGAGAACUCCAAUGGAGGAAGAAUUACAUUCUUAACCAGUCUCUCAAUUCUCCCCCUCGAAAUAUGGCCUAAACGACAGUGCCAUAAUUUCGAUGAGACAUCAGGAGUUCGCUUUCUUUUCUUGUUUUCUUUUGUCAACGAGGACACAACAUUCACAUUCUCAAAAAGAGAUAACAAAUAAAGCUAAUCUUGCAACACAGCAAGACCAAUACAUGCAUUAUUAUACCAUAGUUCACAUUUGCCAUUUCCAAAAUGACAAUCAUAUCCAUCAAAAUACAAUUUGGAUACACUUAUUUCUUUGCAAAGAAGGGACAUAAAAAACAUCUCGAAGUAAAAGUGUGAAGCCAUUCGUGAGCUCUAGGCGAAGAUCUCUAACAGCUUCAACUUUUGCUUCAACUCCAUUGGCAACUCUAAUGGAUCUUUCGCUUCUUUGCAUAGUCCUCAUCGAACGGAAUCCCUUUAAACAAUUACACACAUGAAUAGUUGCUCCAGAAUCAAUCCACCAUGUGGAUCUAGAAUAACCAAUCAUAAUGAGAUUCAUUUACAAAUGUAAUAAUGUUCUCACCUUUCUUUGCCAUGAUCACUGUCACGAAGUCAGGACGAUCUUUCUUGGAAUGUCUUGUCUUCUUGCAGUGGAGACACUGAUCCUGUCUCAACUGUGAACUGUUGUUGCUGAGGCAGAUGCUGAGGCUGUUUUGCUUUUGAGGAGGGUGACCUGUGGCUCUUUUCCUUGUUAUCUUUAACAAGGUUAAUUGAGCCACCAAUGGUCUCUUUGAUUCUUUCCUCCUCUUGCACACAAUUAGAGAUGAGCUCUUCAAUAUUCCAUUUCUCUGGACUUAUUUUGUAGUUGACAACAAGGUUGACAAAGUGCUUUGGCAAUGAGGUCAUAACCAGAUGAACCAGAAAGUCAUCUGAGAUGCCCAAAUCUUUUUGCUUCAACUUGGAAGCCAUGUUGCUCAUCCUAAGAAUGUGGUCUUUUACACCACCUCUAUGGUACCUUUCUGUCACAAGCUGCUUUAUCAGUUGUGUCGCAUAAAACUUUGAAGAACCAGCAAACUGGCUCUUUAUACUUUCGAGGUACUUAGAGACGGUGUCAUACUCUGGGAUUAAGCCCAAUAUGGUUGGCUCAAUCGUGUUCUUUACCGCAGCCAAACAUUCCUUGUUGGCUAAGGUCCAUUUCGUAUGCCCAAUGUCAUACGACAUGAUGAGGGAAGCAUUUUCCCUCUCUCUCUUUUGCCAUUCAGCAUCUGACUCUUUUUCACCUCUGAAAAGUUCAGCAGGUUCUAUAGGACAUGGGGUAGUCAACACCCAGUCCACCUCUCCCAAGAUAAAAGCAAGGUCGAGUUCUCUUUUCCAUUCUUUGUAGUUAUCUCCUUUCAGGGUCGGAAUAUCUUUAAUGUAACCCAUCAAGGAGUAGUCACCUGAGAUAAUCAUGUAUUGUGAGAACAAAAUUAACAUUAAAAAUAUUAUGUAUUAAGUCUACAUCACCGUUGGGCAGAAAAUAGACAUAACACAUAAAGCCAUAACUAUAACAUUGCAAUCAUCAACGUGGGUCAGAAAAUUACAACAUCAUAGCACAUAAUUAAUGUUCCUAAAAUUAAAUUCUCCCGUUGGUUCGAAAUUUAAUUUUAGAAACACUAAUUUUCAUCAAUAUCAUCUAUUUGCAGCGGAAGAUCUAUAUUAAAAUCCAUAAGAACAGUAACAAAACUAUGUUAUUUACUCUCUGUAAAAAUUCUCCUGUUGGUUCAAAUUUAAACAGAGGAAAAACAUGUAAAAACAAUUCAAAAUUCUAUUGUAAUUUGCAUGAAAACAUACAAAAUACAUGUUCAGAAGCAUUUCUCACAUUUAUCUAUUCUCUAAACAAUUUUCACAAUUUACAAAUUGCUUAGAAAUAAAAACAAUCAUUAAACAUAUUGAAAAUGAUUCUGAAUAGGGACAUUUAUUAAACUUCUUUUCCUUCGCCGAGGGACCUAAUAUGGACUUUUUUGGCCUUUGCCGGUCGGCCCACGGUCGCCUUUAGGCGCUUGCGGCCAUGCCCCCUCCCCCAGGCCGCAACCUAGGCCUGGGCCAGGAAAGCCGCCCCCCGCGCGCGCCCUCUUGGGCUAUUUUCGGCCCGGCCGCCGCCGGCCGUCCGAUCGCUAGGGUUUCGAUCGGACGACCGCGCGGAGAGAUCGGGCAAAACAAAACCUGACCCCCAGUCGCCUGCGCCAAAAACCCUAGCUUCUUCUCUUCUCUCUCAUGCGACCGCCGAAACCCUAGCACAGCGCCGGCGGCGGCACGGCCCCGGCGGCGGCUUACCGCGCGGCGGCGGAACGGCGACACGGCAGCGCCGUCGCACUCCCCCUCGCCGGUGCGCGCACUCACUCAAGGGUGAGUGCGCUACCGUCGAGCGGCUGUGCCGCGGCGCCCCCUCCUUUUCUCUUCGCUUUCUCUCUCGGGCGGGCUCGGCCGCGCCGAGCGGUGUCGUCGACGCCUCUUUUCUCUUCUCCCCCAUCGCGCCACCAGCCCCACCGAGUGAGAGAGAGUAGCGGCGACGAAGGAGAUGGCGGCGCCGCCGCGGGCCCCCUCGCCGGCGCGCGCGUGCACCCGCGGGUGCGCGCGCAGCCGUCGAGGGGCUCCUUGGCGGUGCCUCUUUGCCCCUCCCCCCUCCGUUGUCGGCGUCAACGACGGCCGGCGACGAGGUAAGAUUAGGGUUAGGGUUUCUCUUUUCAAUCCGUUGGAUCGUUUGCUUUUCUUUCUUUUGCUUUUCUCUUUGGAUUUCCAUCCCCGAAAACAAGAUCCAAACGCUAGGGUUGCUCUGAUACCAUUUGUUAGCAUUGCUUUGGGAUCACCUAGGUUAGAUCUAGUCGGGUAGAACACUUUGGAUAGACGAACAACAAUAGAUGGAUUAACAAAGAGGGAGUGAGAGGGUUUAGGGAUGUGACCGGUCGAUGUUGAGGAGGAGGAAGUGCGGCCGGCCAUCGUCGUUGUCGUCGCGGGCUUGACGUGGACGGCGGCGAUGGUGUGCUUGACGGCGACGGUGGUCGUAGCAGUGGGAGUCGUGGUCGACGAUGAGGCGUGGCGCGGCGGUGGGGCGUUCCCAUCACUGGCUGCGCCCCCUCUCGAUCUGAUUAGGGUUUGUGGGGUGGAGUUGGCGGCGGUGACAAACUUCGUGUCUUGUGCCGCUCUGCCUCCACCCCUCUUUAUAUGGCGCAGGGUGAUGGGGGCCCACCAGCCAUUGGGCUGGGCGCCCCCGAUCAGGGCGUGGGUCAAGGCCUCCUUGAGCCGUUGGGCUCAAGGGGAGGGAGAUCUAUCUAACAUGUAGCAGCCCAGAACUCACCUACUAUGGCUAAGAAAUUCAGACCAUGACAAUGCGCAACUUAUGGGUUCAGUGUUUCUAUCUCUCGUUUUGUCCACCGAGCAAAAACUUUACUCCUAAUUAAUGGGUGCUCAACUGUUAUAUAAUAUAAGUCAUGCGCCCAUGUCAAUGCAUUAUGCGUGCCAUGGCCCAUGGUGCCUGAAAUUUUGUUGAGCACAGGGUUCUCAAAUUCACGCCCCUCGUGUCGAGACCAAAGCUGCGGUGCAUUGGGUUUCUGCAACUCACCUUGCAAUUAACCAGUAAUAAACUAGUAAUCGAUUCCCUAAGCAGAAUAGUCGAUUCCAGAAUAACCAUGAUUCUCUCCCUUUUUUUAGUGCGACUACAACCAUGACUAGGACUAGAACUGGAUCGGGAGGGAUGCAAGCAGGGUGGGCAAGCGGGCUUUUUUUGCCCGCUUAUCCCACUUCUAGUUCAUUUAUUCUUCUAAAUUUUGAACUACCAUGCAAGAAAUACACUAGCAAGCGGAUUUUUAUGUGGGUAGCGGGACUACCCACUUGCAUCCCUAGAUCGAGUUAGCAAAGCAACGAAAACAAGGGUUUCCUUGCCAAGCAAAGAGGAUCCAAGAAGGAUUCGGAGGGGGAUAAGGGGGGAGAGAGCACCCGUAGAGGAAUGGCCUGGAUGGGAUUCUCCCUCGCCUCGUCGGUUGCUCUUGGUCCGGUCGUAGAGCCUCGCCUGCCGUCAAGCCGGCACCCUAGCGCUUAGCUGAUCGCCUCGCCGCCAUCGCCGGUCACCUCGCGAUUACUCGGUCGAGUUGACUAGUCGAGGGCACCCCUCAGUUUUCUCGGAUCGUGCGAAGUGAAGUUAGGAGAUCUCGGGAAGUAGAUGGGCUGAUAUGUAAUUGGGGCGGUUGGUUUAUUUCUGAACAGAAACAGAAAUAUGUACUUUCUCUGUCUCAAAAUAUUACUACUACCUAGUAUCUUCUGUUCUUAGGUAUUGCUAUCCAAAAUAUUAAAAGCUUAGCGAUAAACAAAUCAUGUUGUUACCUAAAAAUUCUAUCUUAGAUAGCAAUAUUUUGAGAUAGAGGUGGUAGUUGGUGUGGAGGAGCCGAGGAGGUAGUUAAGAGUUUCCUUCGCUGGCUCGAGCUACUCUCCGCCAAACAGCCGGAUCAGCUGUUUCGCAUAGCCUUCGGAUGUUACCGGCUCCCGGCCGCUCCGGCACGUGCCAAGCCAAACACUCCGAGUCCACGACAUUCGCCCUCUGACCAGUGACGAAGCUACAUGUAAUCUGUAUAGUCAGCUAACCCCAUAGGUUUUUGCAAAAUAGAUAAAAAAAAUUGAUAUUUGUGUUGUAACAAUAGAAAACUUAAAAAAAUUUAUAGCUUUGACCCCGCAGGUUUUUGCUGCUGGCUUCCUCAUGCAUCAGGCUGUGACCUUGCCAGUUGGCACCCAUCGGUCGGGCUAGGGCUGUCAACGAGCCGAGCUCGAGCGAGCUUGCUUGCCUAGGCUCGAGCUUGUGUGACACAGGCUCGAGCCAAGCUCGAAUCGAGCCUAGUCCUCCUUCGAGCUUUUAAGCAGGCUCAGCUCGAGCUCGGUUAGGCUCGCGAGCUCGAUCAAGUAUAAGACAAUGUAUAUUUUGAUGGCAAAAUUUUGCAAAAAAAAAUAAUUUUAAUUAACAAUAUUGAAGGAAAAAAAAUGAGAAUCUAAGAUUAAUAUAUGAUGCCAAAAUACAAUUUUCACACGAAUAUAUACUAAUUUAUCCUCGAGCUACUAACUUAUCAUAUAAAAAGAUAAAUAUUUCACACACAGUUAGGCUCGUGAGAAGCUCGAGCUCGGCUCGACAAAGCUCGCGAGCUUGCAGCUAGGCUCGGGUUCGGCUCGUUAAGAUCUCGAGCUGAGCUCGAAUCGAGUCUGAGACGAGCCGAGCUCGAGCAACUCGCGAGCCUCGUGCUUUUUUUGACAGCCCUACGUCAGGCCUCCCACAGGGCCGACAUCACGUCAGGUCCAUGUCGCGCUCCUCGUGUUGCUGAGUUUCCCGGCCCAACUGCCAAACCCGUGUGUCGCGAUGAACGCACGUUCACCUCACGUCCUACCUCCAAGCAUUCCAUCCCGAGUUCGGAUGCCUCCGACAGACAAGCUGUGUUUAGAUUCAGGGGUGAAAAGUUUUGGCAUGUCACAUCGGAUAUACGGAUAUAUAUUUGAAGUAUUAAACGUAGAUUAAUAAUAAAACAAAUUAUAGAUUCCGUCUAUAAACUGCGAGACGAAUUUAUUAAGCCUAAUUAAUCCGUCAUUAGCAAAUGUUUACUGUAACACCAUAUUAUCAAAUCAUGGAGCAAUUAGGUUUAAAAGAUUCGUCUCUCAAUUCACACGCAAUCUGUAUAAUUAGUUAUUUUUUCGUUUAUAUUUAAUACUCCAUGCAUAUGUCCAAACAUUCGAUAUGACAGGGUAAAAAAUUUUGCCGGGGGAUGUAAACAGGGCCAAGAAUUCCUGUCUUUUCGGAGACAUUGCCUGAUUGACUAUGACACAUGUGAGUCGCGAUGCGCCGGUGACAACCUGGCCAAAAACAACAAUAAGGGGAAUGAGAAAGAAGGUGAAACCACAUCUGCACCUGAUAAAAAUAACAGGGGAGAUGAGGUCAUGUCACCCACAUCUACCCAAUUGAUCUCACUAAUGUGCCAAUAAGCCAAUUAUUAAUUAGAAACUUCGCACUCGUGUCGAUUGUAGCUGAAUUGACCAGCUUCGUAGAGUCAAUGUUGCAGCUUUGAAUUUUUUGUCAGGCCGGCAAUGGAGCACCGCCCAGGUUUUUCUUUUUCUUUGGACUUCCCAGUGCCCACCAUUGUUUAAAAUUUUGGAACACAGAUUGAGUUGCAUCACCGGCGGUGCCCAAGGUCUCUUGUUGAAGCGCGUGGUCCGGAAAUGGGGGACAUCGCCGGCGAAGAGCAUCGAGUCCAGAUAGCAGCCAGAGCCAGCUCCGACCGGCAAGACAAGGUCGCGGCGCCGGAAAAAUGGGUGAAUUGCUUCGUUCGCGUGGUGACACUGAUGGAGAGGACGAGCAAUGCACUCGGCACGCUGGCUUUCACUUGGGCUACCGUUGUCCUGCUAGGUGGCUACCCUGUGGUGCUCGACUCGCAUGGCGAUUUUUGGUUCGCGACAGCCAUCGUAUUCCUAGAAGCCGCAAGGUAUAUACAGCUACUUAUGUACUGCCCAUCUACACCUGUUUUUGAUUUUUUGUUCUGCAGUCUAAGUUUUCACUUUUCUUUGAUUACACAGGAUGUUCGGUCGCAACAAUAGAUUUGAUUACCAAUUGUUCUUCCGGACAAGAGGUGCUUUCAGUUUCAGAUCACUUGGCGGGAACGGACUGAUCGCGAUCGUAUACUUUUCUGCUGCUAAGGUGGCCAUUGUUGUUCGGGAGGUGCAGGACGGGGCAUUUAUGUUGAUUAUAAUCAUGGUAUUAGUAGUAAUACUACUUACGGUUGGCCCAUUAGUAUCUCGAGGAGCUCGAAGACCACGCACCUGUAGUCUGCUGCUCCGUGUGAUAUCGCUAUGGAGCCCCGUGGUUGCAAUCCUAUUGAUGGGUUCCUCCAUAUUCCAUAUGUACGGAGACAGUUUUGUCAUGUGGAUAGUGUACAUAGUGCUCCUUGCGGUUGUGCUCUUGGUGACGGUCAGCAGGCUGCGGUUCUCAAUUAUUGUCAACCAAGUGCGUCCUGCUUUGGGCAGUAAACACGUAUUUUGGCGUCGGUUUAUUCUUUUUUUUUUUUUUUUUUUUUUUUUGGCAACCGUCGGUUUAUUCUUAACUCGUGCAUGCUUGCUGCGAUAGUGAUGAUGCUUUUCAUGGUUGAUCCAGUCCUUCAACUGUUCAACACGUGAUGAUCUUGCUCGAUUUAUGUGGUUUUGCCAUACUGUCAUCUGGCAACUUGCAGAUUCCUGCAGCUAUCGUGCGCGAAGAGCUCGCGAGGAUGCGCCUUACGCGACAUGACUACAUCGGUGUUGGUGAGAAGACAAAUCUUGGCCAAUCUCUUACCAUCCUCUACAGCAUGGUGCUUGGCCAAGGCAUACUUUACAUCGUUGCCGGCACGCUGGAGGUCUUCUCGUUCAUCCCACUGAGAUCCCUCGUUUGCCGUGCUGGAUUUACAGGUCAGUGGGGAGUUGAAUCUAUCAAUCUGUACUACGAAUAUGCCUUCGACAAAUACAUGGAAGGAGGUGUGUUUGCUCCAAAGAGGAUCAACCUCAGCAACUUUGCGAUAGAUUCUAUAAACUCUGACUUGUCCAAGAAUCAACUGUACGGGAUCCAGAUGAUGCACACUUUUCUGCAAAGAGAUCCGACAAGAGCACAACUCCUGGAGAAACUCACCACUUCAAUGCAGACGAAGGCCAGGUUGAUCAACAUGUUGGACUGGACUAAUGGAAACCAACAUACAACUAUUAGAUUAUAUGCUGCGAAGGUCAUGGCCGAGUUCGCAAAGAGCCUCCGAAUUGUAACUGUCCCUGAGGCAAUGCAGCUUGUAUCAACGCUUCUGGAUACCGAGGGAAGACCAAAAAGAGGACACCCACUUCUAAAUGCAGAUGAUGAUCAAGAUCCUUUUGUUGAUCCAACAGAAGAAAGACUAGAUGCAGCUGGUGAUCAAGAGCAAAGACAAGAAUUAGUUGCGGACACUGACAACUAGCUGGAAACGCCAACCCAAUCAGCACACAGCAACGACCAAGUAUCCAUACUCAGAAGUUGGCAGAGGAUAUCAGAGUAUUGGUCAAUUCCCAAGGAGCAGCCGCUGACAAAGGACGAUCUUCUCCCAGCAUUGGGCAUGUCAAUUGUCUACAGUCUUGCUAGUUGUGAUCAAAAUAACUGUGUGGAAAUAGACAAAGUAACUGACCUGAUCCCCAAAAUCAUAGGAUUCACAAGCUUCAGAAGUGCAAUGGUGAAUUCCGUAGCACAACAGAAGGUUCUCGUAAAGUCAUCACUGAGGGUGCUGUAGAGGCUCACAAGCAUUGAAGGGGAAAUUGGCAUAGCAUUGCGGUACAAGAUAUCAAAACAUCCCUUCCUGUUGGGAAACCUUGCGGAGAUCUUGGGAGACAACACUAGCAUGCAAGAAUUAAGGAAGCUCGUCGCAGGAAUCCUCAGAAACCUUGCCAUUGACCGAGACACAAGGCAGGAGAUUGGGCAAAUGCAGGUGCUCAUUACCAGGCUGAUGAAGGCGUCCCUCAAUUCUGAUGGACCAUCUAGUACAGAUGGUGAUUGCUUGCUUCCGAAGGUUGCUGGGCAAGCAUUGGCAAUGCUGGCAUCAGAAAAUGUGCAUAACUGCUUGGUUAUGUUGAAGGAACCAGAAUUCAUUAAUAAACUAAAAAAUAUGAUCCUAAUCCAUGAUGGGAAAUGUAUAUAUGUGGCUGCGAGCCUGUUGCGUAAUCUGUACCUGCAUGCUCAAGCUCAACCCGACCUCACAGAAUCAAACCAAAAUGACCUAUCUGAUGCCUUUCAAAAGGUGAGCCCUGCUAAUCCAUACUUCAAGUGUAAUAUUAGAUAUGUAUAGUAUGUUGUAUCAUUUGUACAUUUGUUGUCUAUUAAUGUUUGUCAAGACAUAAUUAUUUUAUAAUCAAAAUGGACAUUUAUUUACCACUAAAUUGUAUAAGUAUAAUUAUAGUUUACAACUAUGUUCAUCAUGCUACAUGACAUUGCUGGUUCCACUACACAGGUCUUGGAAACAAUAACGGAUGUUGAAGGGGCAGAAUUAGAAAUCCUCAUUGGUCUUAGUUCACAGAUAUGCAAAGUCAAACCUGAAGAAUUUGUGCAAGAGCUAGAGCACGGACAGAUUAAGCGAAGAUUCGUGAAGAAGCUAGUGGAUGCACUGAAUGCGAAUAUGAAACCAAGUGUUGAUUACCCUGGGAUCCGGAGGAUGAUACUUGAGCAAACCAUAUAUAUGAUGGAGAGCAGUUCUUGCUAUGCCAAUUGUUUCAAUGAAUUUCAGAUGAUGAAUGCACUGCUGAUGGUAGAAGAGACGCCCUCAAGGGUUGAGAACUACAUGAUUUUCUUGGGUGAUACAGGCUUCAUGGAAUGCAACACACCUCUCUCUGCUCUCGUGGACAGAGCAAAACAAUUGAUUGGACAUUAGUGGCUGCAAGGCAUCAGCAGCGACAAAUAAAUAAAUUGUAAGAGAUGAAUUCCCAUUGACAGUUGCAGUGAAUUAUUGAACUGUUAUUGCAGUUGAAAUGCUAUGAAUUUAUAAUUUACGCAUGUUGUGGCGAUGACAUAAGGAACAGAGAAAAAAAAUGGUGGCAUUAGAAUCAGAAUACCAUUCAUAUUGUUACUUGUUUUUUUUUUUUUGCCGGAAUGACCGAAGGAGGUCAUUCAAUGCAAUUAAGAUAGGAAGAAAAUAUUACAAGAAAAGUUUUACAUCGACAGCUGGCUGUCGAGGAAGGAUGUGCACUAGAGCACACGCCCCGAACCAUGUGCCAACCGUCCAAACACACGCUACAGAGAGGGAAGCCAAGCACCGAACCGGCCAUCGCUAUGCGAGACCGAUCGCCACCGGGCCAACAACACCAUUAUGACACGAAGACUCUAAAACGACGCCCUCACAAGGGUCGCGACGCCGAAAGACGCCGUCGUCAUCCGUCCAAAAACUGGACAAGGUUUUCACCCAGAGUUCCUUGCCGAGGGAGGAGGGGUAUCUCAACAAUGCCCUCAGGAUGGUUACCAUGCCUGAAGGCGUAGUCACCGUUGGCCCAAAGAAAUUAGGCUAAGCUUUCGCUCGAAACCCCUUACCGCCGUGGUCCAUCGCCCAAUCCGAAUCCACCAUCUAAACAUCGGCGGCACAUGGCUUCCACCACACCCGACCGAUGCCCCUCCGCGAUUAGCUUCCAGUCCUGCCAACGACAAGACUGCCACCACACCGCACCGACGCCCCACCGUCGGCCGACUUCAUCGAACCACCAUCCCUGAGAGCUGGCCUAGGACCCCUCCAUGCCACCACCCGCCGGCCUCCUCGCCAGAUCUGGCUGAAGGAGAACCUGGGACUGGGUGGCAUUGCUUCGGCAUCCUGAGCUUCCCCCGCUGACAAGUGACAACCUGCCGUCUCAAUCCAACCUAGAAACUCCCUGCAAAGAAGGGGGGAGCUCCAGAAAGGGCGAGGGUGCCGACCAGCAACGAAGAAGACGACCCACAGCCGCCAGCUCCCUUUGCACUACCAUCUGAGCCUACGCCGAUGCCGGAAAUGCUGCCGCUCCGGCUUCGGAGCCCCCCCACGGUCGCCGCGUCUUGGGCUGCCGGCCACUAGGCGGCCAAGCCGAGCGGCCGUCGCCGAGCCGCCGCUGCCGCACCUCCGCACCGACCUCCGUGCUGCACUUCGGCCACCGCGCCGACGCAGGCUCUACUCCGGCCGAUGCGUCGACAUCGUGCCACCGACACAGCCGGCGCGCCACCACCACUGGCCGCCGCGCCACCAGCCACCACAUGGGCGCAAGCGACACUCCGGCUGCCGCGUCACCGACGUAGCCGGCGCGCUGACAGCCCGAGCCGCCGCCACGCCGGAGCCAGACCGACGCCCAGCCACCGCGUUGCCACCACGGGCCACCGCGCCGCCGCAGUGGCCCUGCCACGGUCGCCACGCCGUCGCUCGAGCUCGCGCCGUCGCCGCACCGACCAGAUUCGGGGGUGGGAGGGCCGGAUCUACCGCCUCCACACGAUGCCCUGCCAUCUUCGCCUCCAACCGCUGAGGUUGACGCUGUCGGCUUUGCCCCAACCUCCUCGCGCCAAGGAGGACGCCGCCGAGCUCAACUGGCCUCGCCGCCGCCUUCCCAGCUCGCCGGCGGCACGCCGGCAAGCUCCGGCGGUGGCGAGGUGGAGGAGAGGGCCGGGAUGCGGCGGCGCGGGCGGCUAGGGUUUCGCCUCCCGAGCCGCCCACCCGUGUUACUUGUUAGCACGGGGUAAAAAACUGGAAUGUGCAUAUGGCUUUAGAAAGAAACAUGAUUUUCGUUCGAGAUGAGCAAACGUUAUUUGUAAUUUUACCUCAUUAGUACUGUUUGUCUGCUUUUCUACUGAUGAUUUGUCCAAAUAUCAUCUCUUAAGAGUGACCAAUUAAUGCAUAAUAAUUGGUUAGAUAUAGGUGUUUAAGGUGAUUGCAGUUCCUAUGCCAAGUUCUAGUGCGUCCCGCUUUUGGCAUCAAAUUUUUUGGUAAAAUCUUUGGGUUAUUUUUUAUACCUGGAAAUUAUUUGCUAUCAAUUAAUGUGAACUCAACUGAACAUCCAUGAAAUAUACAAAUCAUGCGCCCAUGUCAACCGUGCAUGCCAUGACAUCUGACUCUAGUUUAGUACAGGGCCACUAAAGUCAUGUACAUGGCCCUAUUGAGACCAAAACUAUGCUGUACUGGAGCUUUCUACUAACUCAGCAUUGCGAUUGACCUAGUAGUAAACUAGCAACCCAAGAGCACUCCCAAGAUUCCAAAUCCCUAAGCAGAGCAGUCGAUUUCAGUAUAACCAUCACUCUGUUCUUUCUGUAAGACUAAGAGUGUAAACAUCAGUUACCUUGCCAAGAGGAGAGGGGGCACGGAGGAAGAGAUGAGGCAAAAGGGUGAUCGGAUCGGGACCUGUUUGAGGAAUGGCCUGGAGGGGAUUCGCCGGCUCGCCCUCGCCACGUAUGUCGGCUGCUCGUCUCCACCGAAGAUCCUCGCCCGCCGCCCCCGCCUGGUGCCGUCGCGCCUAGCUGGUCGCCUUGUCGGCUGCUUUGGUUGCCCGCCGGAGAUCGUCGCCCAGCCAGCACCGUCGCGCCUAGCAGCCUGGCAGGUUGCCGGCCGCCUCGCGUUAGUCGAUCGAGGCAGCCAGGCCAUUGCCGGAUCGUGCGUCUGUCGGUGGGAUGGACAAUGAGGGCUGCUAGAGAACGGUAUACCGUUCAACGGUAUAUCCAUUACCUCUCCCCUAGACGAGAUGCGUGUGUAUCCACUCGACAGGACGUGCCCCCUAGACACACUAUAGGGUCUAGUAGCUUGCCUGCCGGCUGGUAUGGAGUUGUGCUAUGUGUCAAUCGCUAGCUAGCUACGGAGUAGAAGCUAUGCAUAUGCGUCAGUAUGGGACAGUGUUCCCUGGCUGUAGUCUGCACUAAAAUUAAUUACUCUUGUAUAAUGAGUUUGCUUAUGGUAAAAUAGUUGUUCCGUUAUUUUUAUUAUUAAAUAAUUUAGAUUUUUAAGCCAACCAUGCACAAUUAUUAGUUGGCUAAUUGGGCCAACUAAUGAUUGCUCAUUUAAUUUAGUUGGAUCAUAUUAGACGAAUUGUCAAUAUUAUAUCUGGUACCCAUAGGUAGGUACCAUAGGUACCGGAGCAAAGCUAAUAUCACGGGUACCAGGUACUUGGUAUCUGGUACCCGUGAUACCUGGUAGCCUGGACGAGGAGGAGAAGAGAGAGGAUAAGGCAGCCGCGUGGUGGAGCAUGGAGGCAAGACGACGGUAGCGCGGCACCUGGACCACACGUUUGAGAAAGCUCGCGUCAGCGCACUUCGUAAUGUAGUUGUUGGUGGUGAUACCUUCUAUGCUCGGGCGAUGAUACUUGUAGGCACUUAUGAUGAUAUAUGUCUAGUUAAAAGGGAUGAUAGUGAUGAUACGUAUCAAUGUAUAGUUAUAUAUACAUGUACUAGUGUACAUAUCCAUAUGACUGAUUUGACUGCUGCAUAGGCCUCACGAUCAUGCAUGCAUGACUGGUUCACCAGCUAUCACCUGCACACAUGGACCCCACCCAUGUAAGCCUACUUCUACCAUGCAGUAGGUGUCACGCCCUAAAAAUCCUAAUUAUAUAAAUUGUUGUUUAAUUGGAAUUUUUAGAAAUUUAAAUUAAAAGCCUACAAGCUAAACCCUAAUAAUCUAGGAAAAUUUUCAACAUAAAAAUGAGCUAGAUAAAAUUUUAUUAAAUACUACACUUGCUCCUCUAUUUUCUAGAUUUUUCUGGGAAUUAUUUGAGCAAGGGAAGUAUUUUUAAUAAAUGAAACAACAUUUCACAAAUUUUUUUUAAUUAAAAAGUUCCAAAACUCCUCCUUUAAGCCGUUGGGCUGAGUUUGGCCCAACAUGCCCCCUCCCCGCCCGAGCGGCCGAGCCGGCCCAUUCGGCCCAGCCGACACCGCCCGCCCUCCCUCACGUGGGACACCGACAUGUGGGGCCCACAUGUCGGGCCCUUCUCCUACCUCCGGCCGGCCGGCCAUGCCAAGCCCGAGCCGCCGCCUUGCGCCCUCAAAUCCGCCCCAAUCCAGCCGCCCCGAGUCCGAUUGUUAGGGGGGUUUUUAUCCUCUCAUCCUCCUCUAUCUUUACCCCCAAAAAUCGAAGCAAAUCGUUGAGUAUCUUGCCCGAAUCGAACUCGUUUUCGAGUUUAUCUCCAAAACCGAGUUUUGUUUUUCUCGGAUCGAUUUCUUGCGGGAGGAGUCCGAUCUCUUCAAUCCAAGGCUUUAUAUAGGACCCCCUAGUCCUUCUCUUUCGUUUGCCCCAUCUCCCGUGCUUUCCCGUGCCUUGUAGCGCCGCCGCCACACCACCCAACCCGCCGCCGCCGCCGGCCAUCCUCCGGCCACGCCGCACCGCCGCGUCCGCCGUCGUUGCCGCCUCUCGUUGCCGCCGUUAGGUGCGCACGGGAGCGAGGAAGCUCGGCCGCCCCCUCUCCGCCGUCGCCGGCCGUCGUAGCGCCAUCACCGCCGUUCAACCGAGCCGCCGCCGCCUCUUGCGUUGUCGCCGGCCGCCGUCCCUCGUUGUUGGACGCAUUGGUGAGUACCAUCGGGUUCGCGCCGACGUCCUCUACGCGUAGGUGUCCUCCAAAAUCCCGGCCGACCACCCUAGCUCCGGCGAGGUUGCCAUCCGAGCCGGCCACCAUUGAUGACGUCAUCAUGACAUCAUCAUCUUAUCCUUUUCGUUUUUUCUAAUAGAUUAAAUCUUCAGAAAAUCGUAACUAAAUAACCGUAGAUCCGUUUCAGGUGGUUCAAGUUGCUAAAUUUUUCUAAAAUCAAGAUCUACAUGUUAAAAAUAUUCACAUGUACUGUUUAUGCUUGUUUUUGUACUGUUUUGUUGAUUUUUUGUUUAAUUGCUUUAGUUUCCGACGUUCCGGAGGAGUGCGUUUCCGUUGAGGAAGGUUCCGAAGAGUUUGCGGAAGCCCAAGACAAGUCACACAGAUCCCAAACAACCCUUUGAGCAUGUUGAACCCGUUUAAAGCUAUUAUUUAAUUUCAACUAUGCAUUAUUUUCGAAUGUCAUCGGGUGGUGAACCUUUCCCAAUUAAUUAAUGGCCGAAGAUGAUCUUAUUUUCCUAUGGGUUAUAAUUUGAUUAGCAUGAACCUUAUAUGUUGGAUUGGUUCAGCUAAAUGCUAUAUGUAAGUUUGCUUAGCCAUGUUUAGAAACAUUAGCUAACUAAAGGGAUUAAUUAUAAAUUAUGUUACUUUAUUGUUUUAAUUAUGGUUACAUUAAAUGGUAGCUCACGAUGGUUAAUCGUGUGAUGUUAAUUGAUUGAUAAUUAAAACCUGGUUAAGGUGGGUUGUGAGCAUAUGGUUUUGAUGGUUGUGCUCAUGACAAUUAAGGACCGGUUCGCGAGCUACUGUUGUGAAACAUUUAUCGUGCCAACCACAAGCCAGCGUGGGCAACGGCUUUAUCUUUUGUAUAGCAUGAUUCAUUAUAGUGCGCCAGACUGAGAAGCGGCGAGAAGUCCACGGGGGUCGCUGGGGAGUCCAUGCCUUGUUUAUAAGGGGGUGAUUAUGAUCCAGGAAAGGUGCGCUGUAAUGGAUUAUGUUGUGCAAGGGGUAUUGUCACAACUCCUUUCCGAGGUACCGUGGUGGUAUUGAGGCACAUGGUGACAUGAUGUGGGGUUGUGUCUUGUGGGUACAGUGGUACACCUCUGAUCAGAGUAAAACUAUUCGAAUAGCCGUACCCGCGGUUAUGGGUGAGUUGAGCAAUGUUUUUCGUGAUUAGUUUCACACUACUCAUCAAUGUUAAUAAUGUGAUAAUUAAUUUGACUCCUGGUUUGGAAUGGAUAAUUCCUGGUUUGGAGGUUUGAUCUGUACGACCGGGGUUGGUUGUUCAGGUUUGGUUGGGCCUGAGUGGCAUGGGUGUGCUGUUCAGUGUUGAUUAAUAUUGAUGAUUAAUUACUCUAUUGUUUUACUACUCUUAAAUCUUUGCUAAAUGCUGUUUUUGCAAAUGAGCCUAUAUUAUGCCAUCCUUUGGUAUCCUUGUGCACUUGCAUACUUGCUGUGUAGCUUGUUGAGUAUGUCAUAUGCUCAUUCUUGCAAUAUUCAAUCAUCAGAAGAGGAGUAUUUCAGCGAAGGUGAUGAUCUGUGUCGCGACCGGGAAAAUUGCCUUUUCCCGAACGCUAGUGUAUUAAUCCCCGUCCCAGGAAAAGCCGGGGUACACCACACAAACAUGAUAUAAAAGACACAUCUUUAUUAUAUCGAUAAUAUUUACAUUAUUACAAAGGCACUUCAGGCCUGACAAGCAAAAAUAAACAGCAGCGGACUAGCGGCCUACGGCUCCAUCUUCACAGGCGCUCAACUGGGGUAUAAGCCAAGACUCCACCUAAGACUUCUUCUCCAAAGCUUCUCUUACUGAAGGGGGGAGAAAGAUAGAGCAAGAAUGAGUACAACCACAGUACUCAGCAAGCCACACCGGAGGUGCAUGAUUAAUGCAAGGGAAGUACAAGGGAAUAAUAAUAUAGGGAUUAAGUUUUGCAGUAAACCGCAUUUAAAAAUCACUUAGUUGCCCAAAGCCAUUUUGUAAAGACGAUCCUAGAGCUACACAGUGUUAUUAAACAAGGCCGUGAACCCUCACGAACCUGCCUUAACCCAAGGCCUACGAUGAUUUGGACCGAACUGGCAACCCGACCCUGGGUCCCAGCUCGUCCCAAGCCAACCCAGGCCAACCAUUCCAUAUUUUAGUUGUUGAGCAAAUUUUAAGAAUUAAAACACUGACUUGGGUACAUUGCUCGGCUUGCCCAUAUCCGAGGGCUCGGCUAUUCGAAUAGAUUUACUCUGAUCAGAGGUGUACAUCUUUACCCACAAGACACAUCUUUACUCCGCAUUCCAUGGCCUUGGAACCCGUCGUAAAGAUGUGACAUAGUUUCCAACCCAUCCUAGCCUUAGACAAGAGUACCGACCCAAUCCUACCUACGGCCGGGAUACCCGGGACAGGCAGGCAGAACUGAGCCCCUAGCAUUGGGCACCAACCCUCCGCCGUAUGACAUCUCGACUACCGGGCCGCAGCUCGUGUAGCCUUCAUUUGCCCUGGAGAAUGUCCAUCGACGCCCGACUUCAUCCAUCUCCAAUCCGUGUACUUUUGUUUAUGACUAGACUGAGCCACAAACUAAGCCUUACCCAUUAGACAUGUGGAAGUACGGUAGUGCUUUGCAACAGAGGCCCGAGCUUUAGUCCUUAUAGUGGCCGGGGUGCUACUUCCCCUAACUGGCAUGCACCCAAACCCCACCGAAAACAGGUUUUAGGGGUUUUGAAAGAGAAAGAGAGGUGUAUGUCCAAUUCCACCAUAAUCCAACAAUUCCAUAGUGUCCAAAUGAUAUGAGAAUUCCCAAAGUCUAAAAUUAUAAAACCACCUAAUGUUGCCUAAUUAAACAGCGAAGCAUCUACCUAAAUUUAUACUAGUGGAACCAUGAAUAGAGUACCCACUAGUUAGGGUUUUAUUUAUUCUAGGGUGAACAAGGUAAUAAUAAUAACAAUAACAAUAAUAAGGUCAUAACAAAGGUAAUUGGGCAUGGCUAGAUAAAACAGUGAUAACGCGGGAAUUUAAAUAAAGCGGUAAUGCAAUAAUUUAAAUCAACAUAAUUUUACAAACUGGGAUUCAAUAUGUUCAAGGAUGAUGUGACUUGCCUUGCUCAGAGAGAACGGCUUUCCGAACCUUCGGCGACGACCACGAACCACGCUUCGGGAACCUCCGGAACGACGAAAGCUACGCGAAGCACACAAGCAAAGCUACAAGCCUAUAAAGAAGCAAUAACAACACAUAAAAAGAAAGCACAGGGUUCUUUAGGUUAUAACAAACAUUAGGAGACUUGAACGGGUCGAUUCAGAGUUCGUAUGACCAAGAUAUGAUCAUCCGAAGUUUAAUGCUGUUAUAUGGAGAUUUGCGGAUUAUUGUAAUUAGGUUUUGCAACUAUAAAACAUGUGUAAGCGCUAGCCUGGAAAAGACAGGAAGGCUGCGCCGUUGACAUGCGGACCCCACAUGUCAACCUAAAGGACCGCGGUAGACCGAGUGCACAGAGACGGUCCACGGGUCGACGGAAGCGGAUCCCGUGUGUCAACCGAGGCGAGUGGCCAACAAACGGACUCCACUAGACACCACACGGCCUGCACACGUGGAAACCACGCGGCUACCGAGCGGGCACACUAACACGGACACUACACGGUCACCACCCGCACACGUGAACGACUACCGACACCGGUACACGGGUACCGGGGCCGACAACCGCACAACGGGCACGGGCGACACCGAAAGGACGAGGACGGGGCAGCGAGGGAGAGGGAACCUUACCACCACGCGACGAGGCGUGGGAACGACAACGACGAACGGGCGCGGCGGAGACAGACGGGCACAACGGAGACGAACGGCGAGGGGACGGCUUCGGCGGCGAUCCUUGGGCGAAGGCGAGCUGCGGCCGGCACGAGGCUUGACGACGCGGAGCCGAGGACGAACACGAGGACGGGGCUGCAGCGGCUCGCUUGACGAACGCGGACGACGGACGAGAACGGCUCGACGGAGGGACGAACGCCACGACGACCGGGAACGACGAGAGGACGACGACGACGACGACGACCGGGACCGGCGAGGAGGCGACGAGGACAGCCGGCAGCGGCUGCACGGGGACGAGGACGACGAGGACCACGCCGCUACGAUGCCGACGACGGAGGCGGCGCCGCGAGACGACGAGCCGGGCGAGAGGGAACGGGAUGAUGACGACGAACACCGGCGGGGUUCGGUCGAAGGGGAGGCGAGGCCGAGGACGACGUCGCGACUGCGAUGCCGAAGAUGGUGGUGGAGGUGGCCGACCGGUACACGGCGAGGAGGGACGGGCGGCCGAACAACUCCGGCGAGGCGGACGGAGAGGUUCGCGGCGACGUUCCGGCGAAACCGAGGGCAGGCCGGGGUGGAGGGCGAUGCGGCGUCGCCGAGGGAGGAGACGGCGACGUCGGCCGACGCUCUGGCGCGGCGACCGGGGCAGCCGGAGGAGAUGUCGACGAGGAGGAAGGUGAGGCCGGCGCGGGCGACGGCGUUCCGGCGAAAUUCGGGCGAGGAGGAGGUGAUGCCGGGGAAGAAGGCGAUGCCGCGGUGUCGAAGGAGGAGACGGCGGCGUCGAUCGGCGCACCGGCGAUGAACAGCAGCCGGCUGGAGGGAGUACAGUGGCACCAAUGCCACUGGUUGCCGGCGGGGGCACCGUUCCGGCGAGUUUCCGGCGAGGAGACGGUAAGGCCGGUGAAGGGGACGGUGUUGCAGAGCCGAGGGAGGCGACGGCACGGCCGGACGAUGCUCCGGUGAGGAGGGAGAGGUGGCUGGAGGCCGGCCGGCGUCGGAGAGGGAGAAGGAGAAGGCGGGGAGAGGUGAUACGACCACGGGGAGGCUCGGGAAGGGGCUAAAACGAUAGAACGAAGGAUGAGGAUCCCAUUUUAUAGGAUGGGGGAGAGAGCCGGCCACGGGAGGAGCGGGAACGGCGACGGGAAUGGCGGCCGGCGGCAAAGGAAGGCGGCCGGACUUGGCGCGGCCGUUCCCGGCGAUUGGGGGCACCAUUCAAGGGGAAAUUAAGGGGGAAUUGAAGAGGAGGGAAAGGGGAUUAAUUCCCCCUAAUUAAUUUUGGAAUUAACCGAGUGAAUCAAGCGGAUUUGAGGGAGGAUUGGCGCUAGGGUUCGCACGGGGAGAGGGAAGCCGGGCGGCGGCUGGAGGAAGAAGGCGACGGCGGCCUGACGCGUGGGCCCCACGCGGGGCGCGCGGUCAGCGCGCGCACGUGCGCGCUCGGGCGGGAGGGCGCCGCUCGAGUUGGGCCGGGCGGCCGGCCCAGGAGGGGGGGGGGAGGGGUAGGCGGCUUGGGCUGGGCGGCUGGGCCGAGGCAGGCCGGGAGGAAGGAGGGGGGGAAGGGAGCUGGGCCGAGAGGGGAGGAGGCCCAAGAGGAGGGAGAGAAGGAGAGGGAGAGAAAGAGAGGGAGGAGGGAAGGACUUCGGGCUGGGCUUGGCCCAAAGGAGGAAGAGGAGGGAUUUUUAGUUUUUCUUUUUAAUAAACUUUGAUCAAGGUUGUUGUUGCUUAAUAAUUAUUUCCGGUGCUCUGAAAAUUCAAGUAAAAUUUGAGGGCUCUUUUUAGACCAAGGAGAAUUUAACAAAAAUUCUCCGGGCCACAUUGGAAUUUUUCUUGCACGUAUUUUAGUGUUUGCCAAUUUCUUUUCGAAUUUUAAUUAAUUCUAUUAUUCCUUUUAGCGAAUGAAUUUUAUUUCGGGAUGAAUUUAUCAGGACGUGACAAAUCCACCCCCCUUACAAGAAUCUCGUCCCCGAGAUUCGAGGAGGCUAGCAAGAAGAUAGGUUGGGCGGUCUUCUCUUCUUGUCUGACUUCUUCCGCUCCGUCUUCUAUAACAAACUUGCCUAGCAAAACUUCUCCACUCUGGACUGCUUGGCUCAAUCUCCUGUUGCAGAUGGAAUCUUCUCUUCACCUGACUUUUCCCUGGUUGUACCUCUAGUUGACUUCGACUGGAUUAUGGCACUUGAAGAUGGGACUUUCGUUCCAGAACUUCUCAUAAUUCAUAUCUUUGGCGUCAACCUCAUACAAGUUACCCACUUCAUGUCAUGCGUCGAGAUCAGCUCGUCAUUACUAAGAUACCAUGCUUGUCAUCAUUUAGCAUUCAAAGUAUUCCUUUACACAUUCAGCCCUGACGUAUUCUUUUUAGAUUUCUCUUAUCAAUCACCUUUCGACCUACUUCUUGGUUCGAUAAUAAACACCUUUGCUGGUAUCUUCUAUCAAUCACCUCUUAAACUUUGUCCACCAGGUACUCUUCACUCCGAGAGUUGUGGAUGCUUCUGGUGACGAUGAGGUCCUUUGGCUUGCUGCCUUUCAGUGAAACCUUGAAGUGUUUUGCCGAAAGCUAUACUAACUGUCGUUGCCUUUGAUCCGAAAAGGACUCAUCUGUAACCCUUAGUCCAAACAAAUGUCUCUUUGGUUAAUCACUUGAUUUUUCUUUUCCAUCCUCAGGUUGGUUAUUAGCUCGAGGUUAGAAUAUAGUUCCUCUGGCGCGAUACCCUAGGUCUCCUUUGUCAGUAAACAAUUAUACACAUGAUCACAUAUCCGCAUCUUCCAAAAGAAUCCUCUUAGAACUUGUUUUUAUUACCAAUUUCUCCCAUAUUACAUGAAUACAAGGCACUGUCUUAAACAAAAAGGGAAGGUGCUUAACAUCGGUACAUUGUUUCCUCUAUGGGUUAGAAUUAAUAUGAGGCCUCACAGGUACGGCGUUUGCUCCAGUGACCACAAGACGAGUGACCUGUCUUCUUCUUGCAUAAUGGCCGGAGUGAUGGCGCAGGUUACGCUUCGGCUGUGGACAAUCUCUAGAGAAAUGACCUGGUUCUUUGCAGUUGUAACAAAUCAACGUCUUCUUUGCUGAGUUGUCCGUCUGGGAACGAUCGUUCUGAUUAGGAGUUGGAAUUGGUGGUUGGAAAUCCUUGCUAACAUCGGCAUCAGUGGUGCCAUUAUUGCUAUCACCAUUGGAGUCUUUCUCAGUGUCGAAAUUGCUAAGGUUGUCAUUCUGGGUGCCUUCAUUGAUACUAUCGUCGAUAUCUUGGUGAAUGAUGUUGACAUUGUACGCUUGAUCUAAGUGGUCAUGAAUGGGGCAAGAACCAUGGUUGUUGGUGGUAUCAUCAGCAUUAGUAUUGCUAUUGUUGUUGUCUGCAUUGCGUUCAUCUUCUUGGGGCAGGAACUCUGGAUACACAACAGAAGAUCCGGUGAUCUGAAGUGGCUCAGUGCGCUGUCUUUGGUUACCACCUGGAAAUACUGGGUUGUUAACCAUCCUUCUCUUGCAAUUCGUCAUCCGAUUAUGCUCACUUUCGAGUUGCAUGGCUUUGUCCACAAGUUUCUCAAAAUCUUCAUAAUCCUCUAGAAGUAGUUGCACUGCGAGCUCAUCUUUUAACCCCUGGAGAAACUUCUCUUGUUUGUCUUCGCCCGUUUCCACAUCUUCUGGUGCAUAGUGAGCCAAACGAUAGAACCCGUGCAGGUACUCUGCGACGGUCAAAUCUCCUUGCUUCAGGUAGCGAAACUCUCGUUUUCUUAGUGUGAUCAUUCCCGAGGGAACAUGUGAUCUCCUGAAUACAGAUGAAAACUCGUUCCAGGUGGUGGUAUGUCCUUCUGGCUGUGAUGCUUCGUAGUUAUCCCACCACUCUGAAGCCGGUCCAACCAGCUGAUGAGUUGCGAAGCCAACCCGCUCCUGGUCGGUGCACUGAAUCAACCCUAGCUUCUUCUCGAUGGUGCGCAACCACUCACUGGCUUCCAUAGGAUCGACGGCAAUGGCAAAGGUUGGAGGCUCAGUUUUGAGAAAUUCUGAUAACUUGCACUGUUGCUGGACUGUAGGCACUUGAACGUUGGUUGCCCCUGCUGGGUUGUUCCAAUUCUGUAAUAGUUGAAAGGCUGUUGCCAACAUGUUGGUUUGGUUAACCACAACUUGGAUUAGCUCUGGUGAGGUUGCGUUGGUGCUUCUCUCAUUCCCAUUGGCUUGGGUUCUUGAGUCAUCGGAUCCAUCAUUCCCAUAGCCUUGGUUACCAGGAUUAUCCAUCUGUCACAAGGUAGAGGUUGAGAGGGGAAGCAUACAAGGAAAGAAUAGACCAGAACUAGGGACAAGACCUUAAAGGAACUAACUCUUUUCAAUGAUGUGUUGUUUGUUUCACUUAUUCUGCAAGUUGAUUAAGCAAACAACCUAGCAUGGUUACAUCACAACCCACUGAUGCAAACCACGCGCUACACACACAAGCAAGGAAACACACGACAAACGAAACACUAGAGGGUGGCUUAGGUUCUGCGACGGGUUCUCGAAGAUCUUCACUCCUGCUUCACAUCUGGCUUCACUGCUUCCUCCACUUCGCUAGCGGAUCCUGCAGUCUUCCGGAGCUUCGGCAAACAACUGGCGAUGUCCUCUUCUUCACUGACCUGACCAUCUAGUACUAGUUGAAAUCCGAAGAAGGAAGAAGGGAGUAAACCUUUUGCAAAUAGCAUUAGGGGAAGGAGAAAAAGGAACUUUCGCAAAUAAUUUUUAUUUAUAAAAUAUGUCCUUGGGUUUUAUCCACUUGGCUUAUCCUACAGUCGAGAUGGCUCUGAUACCAGCUUGUCGCGACCGGGAAAAUUGCCUUUUCCCGAACGCUAGUGUAUUAAUCCCCGUCCCAGGAAAAGCCGGGGUACACCACACAAACAUGAUAUAAAAGACACAUCUUUAUUAUAUCGAUAAUAUUUACAUUAUUACAAAGGCACUUCAGGCCUGACAAGCAAAAAUAAACAGCAGCGGACUAGCGGCCUACGGCUCCAUCUUCACAGGCGCUCAACUGGGGUAUAAGCCAAGACUCCACCUAAGACUUCUUCUCCAAAGCUUCUCUUACUGAAGGGGGGAGAAAGAUAGAGCAAGAAUGAGUACAACCACAGUACUCAGCAAGCCACACCGGAGGUGCAUGAUUAAUGCAAGGGAAGUACAAGGGAAUAAUAAUAUAGGGAUUAAGUUUUGCAGUAAACCGCAUUUAAAAAUCACUUAGUUGCCCAAAGCCAUUUUGUAAAGACGAUCCUAGAGCUACACAGUGUUAUUAAACAAGGCCGUGAACCCUCACGAACCUGCCUUAACCCAAGGCCUACGAUGAUUUGGACCGAACUGGCAACCCGACCCUGGGUCCCAGCUCGUCCCAAGCCAACCCAGGCCAACCAUUCCAUAUUUUAGUUGUUGAGCAAAUUUUAAGAAUUAAAACACUGACUUGGGUACAUUGCUCGGCUUGCCCAUAUCCGAGGGCUCGGCUAUUCGAAUAGAUUUACUCUGAUCAGAGGUGUACAUCUUUACCCACAAGACACAUCUUUACUCCGCAUUCCAUGGCCUUGGAACCCGUCGUAAAGAUGUGACAUAGUUUCCAACCCAUCCUAGCCUUAGACAAGAGUACCGACCCAAUCCUACCUACGGCCGGGAUACCCGGGACAGGCAGGCAGAACUGAGCCCCUAGCAUUGGGCACCAACCCUCCGCCGUAUGACAUCUCGACUACCGGGCCGCAGCUCGUGUAGCCUUCAUUUGCCCUGGAGAAUGUCCAUCGACGCCCGACUUCAUCCAUCUCCAAUCCGUGUACUUUUGUUUAUGACUAGACUGAGCCACAAACUAAGCCUUACCCAUUAGACAUGUGGAAGUACGGUAGUGCUUUGCAACAGAGGCCCGAGCUUUAGUCCUUAUAGUGGCCGGGGUGCUACUUCCCCUAACUGGCAUGCACCCAAACCCCACCGAAAACAGGUUUUAGGGGUUUUGAAAGAGAAAGAGAGGUGUAUGUCCAAUUCCACCAUAAUCCAACAAUUCCAUAGUGUCCAAAUGAUAUGAGAAUUCCCAAAGUCUAAAAUUAUAAAACCACCUAAUGUUGCCUAAUUAAACAGCGAAGCAUCUACCUAAAUUUAUACUAGUGGAACCAUGAAUAGAGUACCCACUAGUUAGGGUUUUAUUUAUUCUAGGGUGAACAAGGUAAUAAUAAUAACAAUAACAAUAAUAAGGUCAUAACAAAGGUAAUUGGGCAUGGCUAGAUAAAACAGUGAUAACGCGGGAAUUUAAAUAAAGCGGUAAUGCAAUAAUUUAAAUCAACAUAAUUUUACAAACUGGGAUUCAAUAUGUUCAAGGAUGAUGUGACUUGCCUUGCUCAGAGAGAACGGCUUUCCGAACCUUCGGCGACGACCACGAACCACGCUUCGGGAACCUCCGGAACGACGAAAGCUACGCGAAGCACACAAGCAAAGCUACAAGCCUAUAAAGAAGCAAUAACAACACAUAAAAAGAAAGCACAGGGUUCUUUAGGUUAUAACAAACAUUAGGAGACUUGAACGGGUCGAUUCAGAGUUCGUAUGACCAAGAUAUGAUCAUCCGAAGUUUAAUGCUGUUAUAUGGAGAUUUGCGGAUUAUUGUAAUUAGGUUUUGCAACUAUAAAACAUGUGUAAGCGCUAGCCUGGAAAAGACAGGAAGGCUGCGCCGUUGACAUGCGGACCCCACAUGUCAACCUAAAGGACCGCGGUAGACCGAGUGCACAGAGACGGUCCACGGGUCGACGGAAGCGGAUCCCGUGUGUCAACCGAGGCGAGUGGCCAACAAACGGACUCCACUAGACACCACACGGCCUGCACACGUGGAAACCACGCGGCUACCGAGCGGGCACACUAACACGGACACUACACGGUCACCACCCGCACACGUGAACGACUACCGACACCGGUACACGGGUACCGGGGCCGACAACCGCACAACGGGCACGGGCGACACCGAAAGGACGAGGACGGGGCAGCGAGGGAGAGGGAACCUUACCACCACGCGACGAGGCGUGGGAACGACAACGACGAACGGGCGCGGCGGAGACAGACGGGCACAACGGAGACGAACGGCGAGGGGACGGCUUCGGCGGCGAUCCUUGGGCGAAGGCGAGCUGCGGCCGGCACGAGGCUUGACGACGCGGAGCCGAGGACGAACACGAGGACGGGGCUGCAGCGGCUCGCUUGACGAACGCGGACGACGGACGAGAACGGCUCGACGGAGGGACGAACGCCACGACGACCGGGAACGACGAGAGGACGACGACGACGACGACGACCGGGACCGGCGAGGAGGCGACGAGGACAGCCGGCAGCGGCUGCACGGGGACGAGGACGACGAGGACCACGCCGCUACGAUGCCGACGACGGAGGCGGCGCCGCGAGACGACGAGCCGGGCGAGAGGGAACGGGAUGAUGACGACGAACACCGGCGGGGUUCGGUCGAAGGGGAGGCGAGGCCGAGGACGACGUCGCGACUGCGAUGCCGAAGAUGGUGGUGGAGGUGGCCGACCGGUACACGGCGAGGAGGGACGGGCGGCCGAACAACUCCGGCGAGGCGGACGGAGAGGUUCGCGGCGACGUUCCGGCGAAACCGAGGGCAGGCCGGGGUGGAGGGCGAUGCGGCGUCGCCGAGGGAGGAGACGGCGACGUCGGCCGACGCUCUGGCGCGGCGACCGGGGCAGCCGGAGGAGAUGUCGACGAGGAGGAAGGUGAGGCCGGCGCGGGCGACGGCGUUCCGGCGAAAUUCGGGCGAGGAGGAGGUGAUGCCGGGGAAGAAGGCGAUGCCGCGGUGUCGAAGGAGGAGACGGCGGCGUCGAUCGGCGCACCGGCGAUGAACAGCAGCCGGCUGGAGGGAGUACAGUGGCACCAAUGCCACUGGUUGCCGGCGGGGGCACCGUUCCGGCGAGUUUCCGGCGAGGAGACGGUAAGGCCGGUGAAGGGGACGGUGUUGCAGAGCCGAGGGAGGCGACGGCACGGCCGGACGAUGCUCCGGUGAGGAGGGAGAGGUGGCUGGAGGCCGGCCGGCGUCGGAGAGGGAGAAGGAGAAGGCGGGGAGAGGUGAUACGACCACGGGGAGGCUCGGGAAGGGGCUAAAACGAUAGAACGAAGGAUGAGGAUCCCAUUUUAUAGGAUGGGGGAGAGAGCCGGCCACGGGAGGAGCGGGAACGGCGACGGGAAUGGCGGCCGGCGGCAAAGGAAGGCGGCCGGACUUGGCGCGGCCGUUCCCGGCGAUUGGGGGCACCAUUCAAGGGGAAAUUAAGGGGGAAUUGAAGAGGAGGGAAAGGGGAUUAAUUCCCCCUAAUUAAUUUUGGAAUUAACCGAGUGAAUCAAGCGGAUUUGAGGGAGGAUUGGCGCUAGGGUUCGCACGGGGAGAGGGAAGCCGGGCGGCGGCUGGAGGAAGAAGGCGACGGCGGCCUGACGCGUGGGCCCCACGCGGGGCGCGCGGUCAGCGCGCGCACGUGCGCGCUCGGGCGGGAGGGCGCCGCUCGAGUUGGGCCGGGCGGCCGGCCCAGGAGGGGGGGGGGAGGGGUAGGCGGCUUGGGCUGGGCGGCUGGGCCGAGGCAGGCCGGGAGGAAGGAGGGGGGGAAGGGAGCUGGGCCGAGAGGGGAGGAGGCCCAAGAGGAGGGAGAGAAGGAGAGGGAGAGAAAGAGAGGGAGGAGGGAAGGACUUCGGGCUGGGCUUGGCCCAAAGGAGGAAGAGGAGGGAUUUUUAGUUUUUCUUUUUAAUAAACUUUGAUCAAGGUUGUUGUUGCUUAAUAAUUAUUUCCGGUGCUCUGAAAAUUCAAGUAAAAUUUGAGGGCUCUUUUUAGACCAAGGAGAAUUUAACAAAAAUUCUCCGGGCCACAUUGGAAUUUUUCUUGCACGUAUUUUAGUGUUUGCCAAUUUCUUUUCGAAUUUUAAUUAAUUCUAUUAUUCCUUUUAGCGAAUGAAUUUUAUUUCGGGAUGAAUUUAUCAGGACGUGACAAUCUGAAGGAUUGAGCUUGUUCUGGUUAAGAUGCCUGUGGAGUGGAGUCGCCAUAGCUGUUCCGUAGUUUGUUAUAGUUUUAUUUUUUUUUCCGCUGCGUAGAAGGUUAUUCUUUGAGAGGAACUAUCUACCUCUGUAAUAAUUUGUUUGCAAAUAUUAAAUAGUUAUUUAUUUGUACUCUAUUAUCAAUUUGUUAUUGUGUGCCUCGGUUGAUUCCUGGACGAGGGUUUAACACACAUGUAAGCGCUUGGAAUUUUGGAUAGAAAUUCCGGGCGUGACAAGUUGGUAUCAGAGCCACCUUGACCUUAGGAUAAGCCAAAUGGUAAACCUUAAGUAGCCUUCAAAAUAUUUUGAAAAAAAUAGAACUGUUCUUCUCUAUUCUCUUAUAAAUUAAUUAAGUUGGCAGCACAUGCAAGGUUAUGCACAAAAUUAAUUUAAUUCAUUUUCUUUUCUUUUAAAAGCAAAAAGUUGUUCUUUUCAAAAUGUUUCUUAUUUCACUUUAUUAAAUUUCGUUGAUUAGUCGGCACUGUACAUCUAUUAUGGUAUUGAUACAAUCAUGAUAGCACUAGUACUACUCAUCCUUUUUAUGGUGACACUGUACCGUGCUUAUAAUAGAUCAUAAGUAUUUUAGUUUUACUUUAGUUAUUUGUCAAAAAAAAAAUUAUUUGUCUCUGUCCAAAAAGUUAAAUGCUAAAAAUAUAUUUAUAUAAUGGCUUAGUACGUGUCUUUUCUUUUAUUUUUCUUCCUCUUUGGUCAAAUCAGUUAAGUCUAGAUGGUGCAGCUAACUUAAAAAAAAAUAUGCAUUAAUUCCUCUCUUCUAUGUUUCUUUAGAUGCCGCCCCAUUCACCGAGAAAUUUGAUCAAGGUGUUAGGAUUCGUCAGGGAGCUGAGGUUGAUGGCUUUUGAGGUAGGCUAUGAAGUUGCUCCUGAGUAUCGCCGGAUUUCCCAUGACCCCAACGAGGAGAAGUGUCGUGUUCGUGUGACGUUGGCUAGUGAUCGUGAAGACCUUCCGUCCAUUAAGUUCGAAGCUGGAGGAAGAUCGUACAGCCAUGCUUGUCAAGAAGCAGCUUUGGUGGCCAUUGGAGAGUUGCGUCAACGUUUUGAAGAAGAGUUGGAUUCAUCAGCUUUCUAGUAUCAUCCUCACAAGCCUCAUGGUCAAGACUAUGGAACCUAUACCUGUCCUGAUGGUGAAGAGAGUGCCACUCUGAUGCAUGCGGUGCAUAUGCUUAGUGCUAUGGAUGCAGUAAGUGUGGAGCGAGACAAAGCAGCUCAUGACAGGGAAAACUGGAAUCGAGGCAAGAUUUGCAAGUUGGAGAGCAAGGUGUACCGUCUCCAGAAGGAAUUAGCUGAACUUAAAGGAGAAACGCCGCCGCCAACCCCCAAGCUUCGCCUCACCGCAAGAAAGAGAACCUGUCCGCCACCUCGUCUCUAGUUAGCUUCGAAGAUUCGCGUGAUGGGUGAAGUUGUGCCCGAUCGUGCUGAACCUGUCAUCGACAUCGUAAGUGAUGAGGAAGAAGAGGAAGACCCUGAAGAAAGAGAGCCAGCUACUCCAGAGGAAGAAGAUCCAUCGCUUCGUUCCGACGCAAGGCGGGAUUAGUCGCUUAGUUAGGUCGUUGCCGUAGUUCGCUGUGUUAGAUUGCUUGUUUAAGUUUGCUUGUGAGUGUGUGGGUUUUAGUUGUUGCUUACAUCAUUGGUGGGAUGUAACAGCAUGAGUCUAGUUCUUUUGCUUGUCAGAGUGUAAGAUAGUUGGUGAGAUAGUGUUAAUGCAACUUAAAUGUAAGCAUACACAGUUAAGAGCAAUAUAAAAUUUAAAUUAAUUAAAUAACUCCGUUCUGAGGGUGUCUCUCUGUCGUUCUUUCCUGUUGUCUCUGCUUAUCGUCAGAUGGUGAACACGCGCACCGGAAGUGGAAGUGGAGCUGCUAACAAUGGAGGAGAUCCCACGCUAGCUCAGAUUCUGGCCCAACAAACACAACUGAUCAAUCUGUUAGUGCAGCAGGCACAGAAUCAGCAGGCAAACAAUCAGAACCAGAAUCCACCCCCACCUCCCCAAAACAAGCUGGCAGAUUUCUUACGUGUGAGACCCCCUACCUUUUCAAGCACCACCAAUCCAGUAGAAGCAGGAGAUUGGCUGCAUGCGGUGGAGAAGAAGUUGGAUUUGAUCCAGUGUACUGAGCAGGAGAAAGUUUCUUUUGCUUCGCAUCAAUUGCAUGGUCCUGCUGCUGAAUGGUGGGAUCAUUUUCGCCAAGGCAGGGCUGAAGGAGAGCCUAUUACUUGGCAGGAAUUCACGGCCGCUUUCAAGAAGACACACAUACCAACGGGUGUUGUAGCUCUAAAGAAGAGAGAAUUUAGAGCACUCAACCAGGGAUCUCGUUCGGUCACCGAGUACCUCCACGAUUUCAACCGUUUAGCUCGUUAUGCUCCGGAAGAUAUUCGCACCGAUGAAGAGCGUCAGGAGAAGUUCUUAGAGGGACUAAAUGAUGAGUUGUCUUAUGCCUUGAUGUCUACGGAUUUCCGGGAUUUCCAGCAGCUGGUGGACAAGGCGAUUCGUCAGGAAGACAAGUAUAACCGGAUGGAGCAGAAGAAGCGCAGGGCUGCCCAAUUCAAGGCACAACAGGGCAGUAACCAGAGGCCGCGUCUCGUUACGGGACCUCAAGCUCCAUCGUACCCUCAAGGAGGAUCUUCAUCAGUUGUCCGCCCCCAACGCCAGUUCUACGACAACAAUACUGGUAAUCGUGGCAAUGACAACCGCAACAUGGUUGCUCGUCCUGCAGCAACUCCAGCUCAGAACCAGCCCGUCAGGAAGGAACAGGGAAGCAAGCCAGGGGUGUGCUUCAAUUAUGGUGAUCCAGGACAUUAUGCUGAUAAGUGUCCUAAGCCUCGGCGCGUGAAGAACGCUCCAGCCCCGAACAACUCCAAUGCUCCAGCACCGAAGGCACGUGUUAAUCAUGUUGCAGCAGCAGAAGCUCAGAAUGCACCAGAUGUGGUUUUGGGUACGUUUCCUGUUAACUCUAUACCCGCAUCUGUGCUUUUUGAUUCCGGUGCUACACAUUCCUUUUUGUCUAAAAGUUUUGCGAGCAAUCAUGGGAUGGAAGUUAUUAGUCUUGGGAGACCUUUACUAGUUAAUACCCCAGGCAAUCAAGUAUCUUCGACACAGUAUUGUCCUUCCGCUACUAUAGAAAUAGAAGAAGUUCCUUUCCCAUCCUCGCUUAUCUUGCUAGAAUCCAAAGAUCUAGAUGUUAUCUUAGGGAUGGACUGGUUAUCUCGUCACAGAGGAGUUAUAGAUUGUGCUAACCGUAAGGUGACUUUAACCAGUAGCAAUGGGGAAACCGUUUCUUUCUUUGUGUCCUCUCCUAAAUAUCAUGGUGUGUUUUUAAACCAAGUUGCUCUACAAGAGAUCCCCAUAGUACAAGACUACCCAGACGUGUUUCCCGAGGAUUUGCUAGGUAUGCCACCUAAGAGAGACAUAGAGUUUCGGAUAGACUUGGUACCUGGAACCAACCCUAUCCAUAAGAGACCAUACAGAAUGGCAGCUAAUGAGUUAGCUGAGGUGAAGAGACAGGUGGAUGAUUUGCUUCAGAAAGGAUACAUCAGACCCAGUACCUCGCCAUGGGGAGCACCAGUCAUCUUUGUGGAGAAGAAAGAUCAUACUCAGAGAAUGUGCGUGGAUUAUCGAGCGUUGAAUGAGGUUACUAUCAAGAAUAAGUACCCUCUACCCAGAAUUGAUGACCUGUUUGAUCAACUGGAAGGUGCUACAGUUUUCUCCAAGAUAGAUCUCCGUUCUGGAUAUCAUCAACUUCGAAUCCGUGAGGAAGAUAUACCAAAGACCGCCUUCACAACUCGGUAUGGUUUGUUCGAAUGUACCGUUAUGUCAUUUGGACUCACUAAUGCCCCAGCCUUUUUCAUGAAUCUGAUGAACAAGGUGUUUAUGGAAUAUCUAGAUAAGUUUGUCGUGGUGUUUAUUGAUGACAUUCUUAUUUACUCCAAGACGAAAGAAGAACAUGAAGAGCAUCUUCGUCUAGCUUUAGAGAAACUACGUGAGCAUCAGCUUUAUGCCAAGUUCAGUAAAUGUGAAUUUUGGUUGUCCGAAGUGAAGUUUCUUGGUCAUGUCAUCUCAUCUGGAGGAGUGGCAGUAGAUCCAAGCAAUGUGGAGUCAGUGUUAAGUUGGAAGCAACCCAAGACGGUUUCAGAAAUUCGUAGUUUCCUUGGACUUGCGGGGUAUUACCGCAGGUUUAUUGAGAACUUUUCAAAGAUCGCCAGACCAAUGACUCGUCUGCUUCAGAAGGAAGUGAAGUACAAGUGGACAGAGGAUUGUGAACAAAGUUUCCAAGAACUGAAGAAAAGGCUAGUGACUGCGCCGGUGUUAAUUUUGCCUGAUUCGAGGAAAGGUUUCCAAGUGUAUUGUGAUGCAUCCCGACUCGGUUUGGGUUGUGUGUUGAUGCAAGAAGGAAAGGUGGUUGCCUAUGCAUCUAGGCAAUUACGUCCUCAUGAGAAUAACUACCCAACGCAUGACCUAGAGUUGGCAGCUGUGGUGCAUGCAUUGAAGAUUUGGCGUCAUUAUCUUUUCGGUAACCGUACAGAGAUGUAUACGGAUCAUAAAAGUUUGAAGUACAUUUUCACUCAACCUGAUUUGAACAUGCGUCAGCGAAGAUGGUUAGAGUUGAUUAAAGAUUAUGAUAUGGAAAUCCACUAUCACCCAGGGAAAGCAAAUGUUGUAGCCGAUGCUCUUAGCAGGAAAAGCUACUGUAAUAUGUCAGAAGGUCGACAUUUACCUUGGGAGUUAUGCCAAGAAUUUGAGAAGUUAAACUUGGAUAUAGUCAGCAAAGGUUUUGUGGCUACUUUAGAAGCUCAACCUACUCUGUUUGAUCAAGUUAGAGAAGCUCAAGUGAAUGAUCCUGAUAUCCAAGAAAUAAAAAAGAACAUGAGAAGAGGAAAAGCCAUCGGUUAUGUAGUAGAUGAGCAAGGAACUGUGUGGUUAGGAGAAAGAAUUUGCGUCCCAGAUAAUAAGGAGUUGAAGGAUACUAUCAUGAAAGAAGCUCAUGAAACUUUGUAUUCCAUUCACCCUGGAAGCACUAAGAUGUACCAAGACCUAAAGCAACAAUUCUGGUGGGCCAGUAUGCGACGUGAGAUAGCAGAAUAUGUGGCUCUAUGUGAUGUAUGUCAGCGGGUCAAGGCAGAACAUCAGAAGCCAGCCGGUCUGUUACAACCGUUGAAGAUUCCAGAGUGGAAGUGGGAAGAAAUAGGAAUGGAUUUUAUAACCGGUCUACCCAGAACGUCGGCAGGACAUGAUUCUAUUUGGGUAGUAGUUGAUAGGUUGACAAAAGUCGCUCACUUCAUACCGGUCAAAACAACCUACACGGGGAAUAAGCUUGCAGAGUUAUACAUGGCCAGAGUGGUAUGUUUGCAUGGCGUUCCUAAGAAGAUAGUGUCAGAUAGAGGUAGCCAGUUUACUUCGAAGUUUUGGCAGAAAUUACAAGUAGAGAUGGGUACCCGUUUGAAUUUCAGUACCGCUUAUCACCCUCAAACAGAUUGUCACGCCCGGAAAUUCACUAGUAAUUUCCGAACUUAUUUGUGCAUAAAAUCCUCGUCUAGGAAUCAGCCGAGGUACACAAACUGACAAUUUAAUAUACAGAUUCAUCAAAUUAACUAAAACGAUAAAUACUUACUUAUGAGGCACUUAGUCCUCAUCAUGAAGAAAACUGCAGCGGAAAAUAAAAUCUAGCGAAGCUCCGGCUCCACUCCCACAGGCAGCUCAACUGGGGUAUAAGCCAAACGUCUUCUCCUUCGAGAUCCUUUUUCUUCAACUGAGGUUGAUUGAUUAUUGCAAGGUGAGCAUAUGACAUACUCAGCAAGCCACACAGCAAAUAUGCAAGUGCACAAGGAUACCAAAGGAUGGCAUAAUAUCGGCUCAUUUGCAAAAGCAGCAUUUAGCAAAACAUUUAAGGGAAGUAAAACAGUGGAGUAAUUAAUCAGAAAUUUUAACCAACACUGAACAGCACACCCAUGCUGCACAGGCCCAACCAUUCUGAACAACCAUACCCGGCUGAACAGAUCUAACUCCAAACCAGGAGCUAAGCAAAUUAUUACCAGUUAUAACAUCUAAAAUUAUGGUGAGAGGUGUGGGACUAAUCACGAAAAACAUUGCUCAACUCGCCCAUAACCGCGGGCACGGCUAUUCGAAUAGUUUUACUCUGGCCAGAGGUGUACCACUGUACCCACAAGACACAGCCCCACAUCAUGUCACCAUGUGCCUCAGUACCACCACGGUACCUCGGAAAGGGGCUGUGACAGUACCCCUUGCAUAACACAAUCCACCGCAGCGCACCAUUCCUGGAUCAUAAUCACCCCCUUAUAAAACAAGGCAUGGACUCCCCAGCGACCCCCGUGGGCUUAUCUCCGCCACUUCUCAGUCUGGUGCCCCGCAAUGAACCAUGCUAUACAAAAGAUAAAGCCGUUGCCCACGCUGGCUUGUGGUUGGCACGGUUAAUGUUUCACAACAGUAGCUCGCGAACCGGUCCUUAAUUGUCAUGAGCACGACUCUCAAAACCAUGUGCUCACAACCCACCAUUAUCAAGUUUUAGUUGGCAAGUAAUUAAUUAACCAAUCACGAUUGACCAUCGUGAGCUACCAUUAAAUAUAACCAUAAGUGAUAGUGAAACAUUAGUUAUCCCAAAUGUGUGCUAAUGUUUCUAAGCAUGGCUAAGCAAUCAUAUCUAAUAUCUAGUUGAACCAAUAUAUAUAUAAAGCUCAACUAGUCCAAUUAUAAUAACCCAAGGUAUCAAGGAAUAAAGUAAUCAAGAACAAAAGGGCCAUAACAAAGAAUAGGUUAAUUCCACCCAAUGACAUUCGAAAAUAAAUGCACAGUUGAAAUAAAUAGAGAAUUUAAAUAUAGGAUCAACAUGCUCAAAGGAUUGUGUUUAGGAUCUGUGUGACUUGCCUUGCAAUAAUCGGUCUUCAAUUAAUCUUCUUGAAUACUUCCGGCGCACUCGCGAACCUUCGCAACGACGGAAACGACAAACUAUCACGCAAAACGAGGAAAAAGACUAAUAAAAACCAAAUAAACAAUACAUAAAAAGUAAACAAACAUGUAGAUCAUGAUUUUAGAUGAAUUUAGAGACUUGAACGGCCUCAUUCUGAUUUCAUAUGAAUUUAUUAUGAAUUUUACAAGAUUAAAUCUAUUUAAAGCCCAUUUAAAAAGAAUUAAAUAAAUUUAAUUCAAUUUAUGGACAAUUUUAAUAUGUAGAUCUUUAUUUUAUACAACUUUUGCAACUUGAACCACAUUAAACUGAGUUAAGAUGAAUUAGUUAUGAAUUUUUAAAGAUUAAAUCAGAUUAAAACCUUUAUAUGGAUUUUAAUUGAAUUAUGACGCAAUAAUGAAUUAUUUUUGAAAAGGAAAAGAAGGAUUAUUGCGUCAGCGGCUAGGGUUUCGGUGGACCGGGCGCACGGGCGGCGGUUCACGCGAACGGACGACCGAGAUCAACCCUAUCCAAAACGGACGGCCGAGAUUGAUCGGUCCACGACCGGCUCACGGCGGACGACCCCGAUGACGUCAGCGAUGACGUCACCCCGGCGGCGGCGGCUCGGCGACUCGGGCUCACAUGCUCGCCGGCGAACGGCGGCGCGACGACGCGAACGGAGGGCACCAACGGGUAGAGGGCGACGCGGCGAACUCACCGGUGACCAAAGGAACGGCGGAAGACCAACGGACGGCGGCAGCGACGAGGAGGAAGCGGCGAAGCUCUUCGGGUCGACAACGGCGACGGCGCUCCGGCGGUCUUCGGCGGCGGCGAAGCGGCGGACGGGGACGGCGGCGACUUGGCGAUCCCGACGGUGGCCUUCCCGAGUGACGACGACGACCGUAGCGACGGCGGCGCAUGGCUGGACGAACGGCAGCGACGGCGGCGCAAAAGCUCCCGAGGCUAGGGCGCUACACACGACGGCGGGCGAAGGCGAGGGAGGCGACGGGUAGAGGAGAGCUUGGGGGUCCUUAUAAAGGGGCUAGCGAGCGGCGACGGAGGCCCACGGCGACCGGCGGCGAGAAGGAAACUUUAGGGUUUGGGAGAGAGAGGAAUCCGAUUCGAUCUCGAUUCCAUCGAGUUUCCAAACCGAAUUGACCGGAGAUUCCAAAAGAGAAAAGGAAGAGGAGAUCGAGAAGAUCAUUUCCCCUCUAAAGAUUUCACCGGAGAAGGAAAGAAUCGAGCGGAUUUGGAAGGAGAAGGCGGCGGCGGCGCACUAGGGUUUGCGGGCGGCGGCGGCCGAAGGAGGAAGACGAAACCGACAAGUGGGGCCCACCUGUCAGCGGCUGAGAGAGAGAGGAGAGCGGCGGCUCGGCGAACUGGGCCGGCUGGGCCGAGGGAAAGAGAGAGAGAGGGGUUUUGGGCCGGCUUUCGGCCCAAAGCCAAAAGAAGACUUUUUAAAACCUUUUUCAAUUAAAUUAUUUCUUAAAUGCAAUUCCAUUUAUUAAAAAUACUUCCUUAGCUCAAAUAAAUCCCAGAAAAAUCUAGGAAUUAUAGAAUUGAGCAAAGUAUUUAAUGAAAUUUUAUCUGGCCCCUUUUUAUAUUGAGAUUUUGCAAAUUAAAAUUAGAUCUUCUCUUUUAGACUUUUAAAAUCAUUUCUAAUAAUUCCUUUUAAACAACAAUUUAUAAUUUAAGGAUUUUUAAACAAGAAAAGCUCUUAACAAUUAUACUUAGAUCAUUAAUGAUCAAAUAAUUACUGAACUGUUCUUUGUAUUAUUUAAGAAUUGAGCUCUGAAAAAUCCGAGAAAAUUUCAGAGAGUUGACUUAACCAUGGAGAAUUUAACCAAAAUUAAAUCCAUCCAUGCUUUAGAUUUAAGAAAUUUUAUUUCCCACAUUUAACUUCACUUGUAAAUUAAAGAACAUUUAAUAUAAAUUCUAUUAAUAAUUUAUUAAAUAAUUUAUAAAUCCUGAAACGAAAAUCAGGAUGUGACAAACUACCCCCCUUACAAAGAAUCUCGUCCCGAGAUUCGGAACGGCUAGAAAGAAAAAGGGAAUAGGUAAACUGCAGUCUAUCUUAUUCCAUAACUCCGAUAAUUAUUCUAAGGCUUUGAAGAAAACUACUGCUGCCUUGAAACUGGUGGCUGAGUUGUAACACUUGAAGACACAACUCUUGAAGACGCAACUGGCACUGCAUUGGCUCCUGUGACAACAAUGUUGUUGACCUGACCUUGCGGCUGCUGAUGCUUUGGCUUCGGACACUCUCUAGCAAAGUGGCCUGGCUUGUAACAGUUGAAACAUACCUGCUGCUUCCUUCCACUACUGUUAUUCUCCUGAGACUGAUCCUGCUGAACUGGCACCGGCUGAUUAGCUUGCUCGAUGUUAACUUCAUUGCUUUCAUUAGUCUCUGAUUUGAUCUCACCACCGAUGUUCAACUGUUGCGACUGUCCUUGACCAGCGGAAGAAGAUUCACCAAUUUGGAGUGGCUUGAUACACUGCCUCUGGCUACUACCUUGUGCCUCCUGGAAUACAGUCAUUCUCCUUUUACGGUUAUCCAUCCUGUUCUUCUUGUCUUCAAGUCGAAUUGCUUUGUCAACCAACUCCUGAAAAUCCUCAUAGUCAUGAGAGAUCAACAUAACUGAUAGCUCAUCCUUUAAGCCUUCCAAAAACUUCUCCUGCCUUUCCUCGUCAGUACGCACAUCUUCUGGAGCAUAGCGAGCUAGACGAUUGAACUCAUGAAGAUAUUCCGUCACGGUACGAUCCUUUUGCUUAAGUGCCCGGAACUCACGCUUCUUCAAAGCAACAACACCUGCAGGUAUGUGUGUCUUCUUGAAUGCUUCCGUGAACUCCGCCCAAGUGAUUGGUUGUCCUUCUGCUUUGUUCAUCCGGAAAUGAUCCCACCAUUCUGAUGCAGGUCCUUGCAACUGAUGUGAAGCGAAAACAACUUUCUCCUGAUCCGUGCACUGGAGCAGUUCCAACUUCUUCUCAAUAGUGUGCAACCAAUCACCUGCUUCCACUGGGUUGGUAGUGCUAGAAAAGGUAGGUGGCCUCACACGAAGAAAAUCAGUUAACUUGUUCUGCGGCGGUGGAGCAUUGUUGUUCCCUUGGUUGAGCUGGUUCUGCAUCUGCUGUAUCAUCAUGUUCAUUAACUGAGUCUGUUGAGCCAGAACUUGAGCAAGAGUUGGGUUCCCUUCAUUGUUAUUGUUUCCACUUCCAUUAGCACGAGUGUUCACCAUCUGUUGCAGAUUAGAGAAGAUAGGAGGAGAGGGGUUACGCUAAAGUUAAGACCUUAACCAGGUUAACACUGAUCUGAUGUGUGUAGACCAUUAUAUUGUUCAAGUUGAUUAAGCAAGCAACCUAGUAUAGUUACACACUCAUCAUUGAACCACACCAAUGACGGGAAUGCAACCAUACCUACACACAAGCAAACAACAAACGUUCUAUCCUACUAACUAUUCUUCAAAGACACUUUGGCGGCAUAGGUUCUAAGGUAGGAUCCAAACUUCAUUCCAUCUUGACCACUUGGCCCUUCAGAUCGACCAUCACCUUCUUAUUUAUCGAUCCACUUGACUUAACCUCCAUAAGUUGACCACAUUGGCGUCUUCAAGUUUCAACAACUAGUUUCAGAACCACUUAAGUUGAAAGAGAGAGGGGAGUAGACAAUGAAACAAUUUGCAAAGAAUUCUAGAUAAGGAAGAAAGGAGAAAUUUUCACAAAUCAUGUUUUCGGAAAAUUAGUCCUUAAGGUUUGACCAUUUGGCUUAUCCUACAGUCGAGAUGGCUCUGAUACCAACUUGUCACGCCCGGAAAUUCACUAGUAAUUUCCGAACUUAUUUGUGCAUAAAAUCCUCGUCCAGGAAUCAGCCGAGGUACACAAACUGACAAUUUAAUAUACAGAUUCAUCAAAUUAACUAAAACGAUAAAUACUUACUUAUGAGGCACUUAGUCCUCAUCAUGAAGAAAACUGCAGCGGAAAAUAAAAUCUAGCGAAGCUCCGGCUCCACUCCCACAGGCAGCUCAACUGGGGUAUAAGCCAAACGUCUUCUCCUUCGAGAUCCUUUUUCUUCAACUGAGGUUGAUUGAUUAUUGCAAGGUGAGCAUAUGACAUACUCAGCAAGCCACACAGCAAAUAUGCAAGUGCACAAGGAUACCAAAGGAUGGCAUAAUAUCGGCUCAUUUGCAAAAGCAGCAUUUAGCAAAACAUUUAAGGGAAGUAAAACAGUGGAGUAAUUAAUCAGAAAUUUUAACCAACACUGAACAGCACACCCAUGCUGCACAGGCCCAACCAUUCUGAACAACCAUACCCGGCUGAACAGAUCUAACUCCAAACCAGGAGCUAAGCAAAUUAUUACCAGUUAUAACAUCUAAAAUUAUGGUGAGAGGUGUGGGACUAAUCACGAAAAACAUUGCUCAACUCGCCCAUAACCGCGGGCACGGCUAUUCGAAUAGUUUUACUCUGGCCAGAGGUGUACCACUGUACCCACAAGACACAGCCCCACAUCAUGUCACCAUGUGCCUCAGUACCACCACGGUACCUCGGAAAGGGGCUGUGACAGUACCCCUUGCAUAACACAAUCCACCGCAGCGCACCAUUCCUGGAUCAUAAUCACCCCCUUAUAAAACAAGGCAUGGACUCCCCAGCGACCCCCGUGGGCUUAUCUCCGCCACUUCUCAGUCUGGUGCCCCGCAAUGAACCAUGCUAUACAAAAGAUAAAGCCGUUGCCCACGCUGGCUUGUGGUUGGCACGGUUAAUGUUUCACAACAGUAGCUCGCGAACCGGUCCUUAAUUGUCAUGAGCACGACUCUCAAAACCAUGUGCUCACAACCCACCAUUAUCAAGUUUUAGUUGGCAAGUAAUUAAUUAACCAAUCACGAUUGACCAUCGUGAGCUACCAUUAAAUAUAACCAUAAGUGAUAGUGAAACAUUAGUUAUCCCAAAUGUGUGCUAAUGUUUCUAAGCAUGGCUAAGCAAUCAUAUCUAAUAUCUAGUUGAACCAAUAUAUAUAUAAAGCUCAACUAGUCCAAUUAUAAUAACCCAAGGUAUCAAGGAAUAAAGUAAUCAAGAACAAAAGGGCCAUAACAAAGAAUAGGUUAAUUCCACCCAAUGACAUUCGAAAAUAAAUGCACAGUUGAAAUAAAUAGAGAAUUUAAAUAUAGGAUCAACAUGCUCAAAGGAUUGUGUUUAGGAUCUGUGUGACUUGCCUUGCAAUAAUCGGUCUUCAAUUAAUCUUCUUGAAUACUUCCGGCGCACUCGCGAACCUUCGCAACGACGGAAACGACAAACUAUCACGCAAAACAAGGAAAAAGACUAAUAAAAACCAAAUAAACAAUACAUAAAAAGUAAACAAACAUGUAGAUCAUGAUUUUAGAUGAAUUUAGAGACUUGAACGGCCUCAUUCUGAUUUCAUAUGAAUUUAUUAUGAAUUUUACAAGAUUAAAUCUAUUUAAAGCCCAUUUAAAAAGAAUUAAAUAAAUUUAAUUCAAUUUAUGGACAAUUUUAAUAUGUAGAUCUUUAUUUUAUACAACUUUUGCAACUUGAACCACAUUAAACUGAGUUAAGAUGAAUUAGUUAUGAAUUUUUAAAGAUUAAAUCAGAUUAAAACCUUUAUAUGGAUUUUAAUCGAAUUAUGACGCAAUAAUGAAUUAUUUUUGAAAAGGAAAAGAAGGAUUAUUGCGUCAGCGGCUAGGGUUUCGGUGGACCGGGCGCACGGGCGGCGGUUCACGCGAACGGACGACCGAGAUCAACCCUAUCCAAAACGGACGGCCGAGAUUGAUCGGUCCACGACCGGCUCACGGCGGACGACCCCGAUGACGUCAGCGAUGACGUCACCCCGGCGGCGGCGGCUCGGCGACUCGGGCUCACAUGCUCGCCGGCGAACGGCGGCGCGACGACGCGAACGGAGGGCACCAAUGGGUAGAGGGCGACGCGGCGAACUCACCGGUGACCAAAGGAACGGCGGAAGACCAACGGACGGCGGCAGCGACGAGGAGGAAGCGGCGAAGCUCUUCGGGUCGACGACGGCGACGGCGCUCCGGCGGUCUUCGGCGGCGGCGAAGCGGCGGACGGGGACGGCGGCGACUUGGCGAUCCCGACGGUGGCCUUCCCGAGUGACGACGACGACCGUAGCGACGGCGGCGCACGGCUGGACGAACGGCAGCGACGGCGGCGCAAAAGCUCCCGAGGCUAGGGCGCUACACACGACGGCGGGCGAAGGCGAGGGAGGCGACGGGUAGAGGAGAGCUUGGGGGUCCUUAUAAAGGGGCUAGCGAGCGGCGACGGAGGCCCACGGCGACCGGCGGCGAGAAGGAAACUUUAGGGUUUGGGAGAGAGAGGAAUCCGAUUCGAUCUCGAUUCCAUCGAGUUUCCAAACCGAAUUGACCGGAGAUUCCAAAAGAGAAAAGGAAGAGGAGAUCGAGAAGAUCAUUUCCCCUCUAAAGAUUUCACCGGAGAAGGAAAGAAUCGAGCGGAUUUGGAAGGAGAAGGCGGCGGCGGCGCGCUAGGGUUUGCGGGCGGCGGCGGCCGAAGGAGGAAGACGAAACCGACAAGUGGGGCCCACCUGUCAGCGGCUGAGAGAGAGAGGAGAGCGGCGGCUCGGCGAACUGGGCCGGCUGGGCCGAGGGAAAGAGAGAGAGAGGGGUUUUGGGCCGGCUUUCGGCCCAAAGCCAAAAGAAGACUUUUUAAAACCUUUUUCAAUUAAAUUAUUUCUUAAAUGCAAUUCCAUUUAUUAAAAAUACUUCCUUAGCUCAAAUAAAUCCCAGAAAAAUCUAGGAAUUAUAGAAUUGAGCAAAGUAUUUAAUGAAAUUUUAUCAGGCCCCUUUUUAUAUUGAGAUUUUGCAAAUUAAAAUUAGAUCUUCUCUUUUAGACUUUUAAAAUCAUUUCUAAUAAUUCCUUUUAAACAACAAUUUAUAAUUUAAGGAUUUUUAAACAAGAAAAGCUCUUAACAAUUAUACUUAGAUCAUUAAUGAUCAAAUAAUUACUGAACUGUUCUUUGUAUUAUUUAAGAAUUGAGCUCUGAAAAAUCCGAGAAAAUUUCAGAGAGUUGACUUAACCAUGGAGAAUUUAACCAAAAUUAAAUCCAUCCAUGCUUUAGAUUUAAGAAAUUUUAUUUCCCACAUUUAACUUCACUUGUAAAUUAAAGAACAUUUAAUAUAAAUUCUAUUAAUAAUUUAUUAAAUAAUUUAUAAAUCCUGAAACGAAAAUCAGGAUGUGACACAGAUGGUCAGACGGAAAGAGUAAACCAAAUUUUAGAAGAUAUGUUGAGAGCCUGUGUUCUAGAUUUUGGUGGAAGUUGGGAUAAGAAUUUGCCGUACGCGGAAUUCUCAUAUAACAACAGUUAUCAAGCUAGUUUGCAAAUGGCUCCGUAUGAAGCAUUAUAUGGCCGAAAGUGCCGUACGCCGCUCCUUUGGGAUCAAACCGGUGAACGUCAAGUUUUUGGGACAGACAUACUGCGAGAGGCAGAAGAAAAAGUGAAGAUUAUCCAAGAAAGGUUGCGCGUUGCUCAGUCACGUCAGAAGAGCUAUGCCGACAAUCGUCGCAGAGAUUUGGCUUUCGAAGAAGGAGAUUAUGUAUACCUUCGGGUUACGCCGUUACGAGGUGUUCAUCGUUUUCAAACCAAAGGGAAAUUGGCACCGCGUUUCGUGGGACCUUUUAAGAUUGUGAGUCGAAGAGGUGAGGUAGCUUAUCAGUUAGAGUUGUCUCCGUCAAUGGCGGGAAUACAUGACGUGUUCCACGUGUCUCAGUUGAAGAAGUGUUUACGUGUACCUACGGAGGAAGCAGAUCCUGAUCGUAUAGAGCUUCAAGAAGAUUUAACUUAUGUUGAGAAGCCAGUCAGAAUCUUGGAAGUAAGCGAGAGGAAUACCAGGAAUCGCGUUAUACGGUUCUGCAAGGUUCAGUGGAGCAAUCAUUCAGAAGAAGAAUCAACUUGGGAACGAGAAGAUGAAUUGAAGUCAGCUCAUCCGCAUCUCUUUGCCAGUUCUUCUGAAUCUCGAGGACGAGAUUCCGUUUAAGGGGGGUAGGUUUGUCACGCCCUAAAAAUCCUAAUUAUAUAAAUUGUUGUUUAAUUGGAAUUUUUAGAAAUUUAAAUUAAAAGCCGACAAGCUAAACCCUAAUAAUCUAGGAAAAUUUUCAACAUAAAAAUGAGCUAGAUAAAAUUUUAUUAAAUACUACACUUGCUCCUCUAUUUUCUAGAUUUUUCUGGGAAUUAUUUGAGCAAGGGAAGUAUUUUUAAUAAAUUAAACAACAUUUCACAAAUUUUUUUUAAUUAAAAAGUUCCAAAACUCCUCCUUUAAGCCGUUGGGCCGAGUUUGGCCCAACAUGCCCCCUCCCCGCCCAAGCGGCCGAGCCGGCCCAUUCGGCCCAGCCGACACCGCCCGCCCUCCCUCACGUGGGACACCGACAUGUGGGGCCCACAUGUCGGGCCCUUCUCCUACCUCCGGCCGGCCGGCCAUGCCAAGCCCGAGCCGCCGCCUUGCGCCCUCAAAUCCGCCCCAAUCCAGCCGCCCCGAGUCCGAUUGUUAGGGGGGUUUUUAUCCUCUCAUCCUCCUCUAUCUUUACCCCCAAAAAUCGGAGCAAAUCGUUGAGUAUCUUGCCCGAAUCGAACUCGUUUUCGAGUUUAUCUCCAAAACCGAGUUUUGUUUUUCUCGGAUCGAUUUCUUGCGGGAGGAGUCCGAUCUCUUCAAUCCAAGGCUUUAUAUAGGACCCCCUAGUCCUUCUCUUUCGUUUGCCCCCUCUCCCGUGCUUUCCCGUGCCUUGUAGCGCCGCCGCCACACCACCCAACCCGCCGCCGCCGCCGGCCAUCCUCUGGCCACGCCGCGCCGCCGCGUCCGCCGUCGUUGCCGCCUCUCGUUGCCGCCGUUAGGUGCGCACGGGAGCGAGGAAGCUCGGCCGCCCCCUCUCCGCCGUCGCCGGCCGUCGUAGCGCCAUCACCGCCGUUCAACCGAGCCGCCGCCGUCUCUUGCGUUGUCGCCGGCCGCCGUCCCUCGUUGUUGGACGCAUUGGUGAGUACCAUCGGGUUCGCCCCGACGUCCUCUACGCGUAGGUGUCCUCCAAAAUCCCGGCCGACCACCCUAGCUCCGGCGAGGUUGCCAUCCGAGCCGGCCACCAUUGAUGACGUCAUCAUGACAUCAUCAUCUUAUUCUUUUCCUUUUUUCUAAUAGAUUAAAUCUUCAGAAAAUCGUAACUAAAUAACCGUAGAUCCGUUUCAGGUGGUUCAAGUUGCUAAAUUUUUUUAAAAUCAAGAUCUACAUGUUAAAAAUAUUCACAUGUACUGUUUAUGCUUGUUUUUGUACUGUUUUGUUGAUUUUUUGUUUAAUUGCUUUAGUUUCCGACGUUCCGGAGGAGAGCGUUUCCGUUGAGGAAGGUUCCGAAGAGUUUGCGGAAGCCCAAGGCAAGUCACACAGAUCCCAAACAACCCUUUGAGCAUGUUGAACCCGUUUAAAGCUAUUAUUUAAUUUCAACUAUGCAUUAUUUUCGAAUGUCAUCGGGUGGUGAACCUUUCCCAAUUAAUUAAUGGCCGAAGAUGAUCUUAUUUUCCUAUGGGUUAUAAUUUGAUUAGCAUGAACCUUAUAUGUUGGAUUGGUUCAGCUAAAUGCUAUAUGUAAGUUUGCUUAGCCAUGCUUAGAAACAUUAGCUAACUAAAGGGAUUAAUUAUAAACUAUGUUACUUUAUUGUUUUAAUUAUGGUUACAUUAAAUGGUAGCUCACGAUGGUUAAUCGUGUGAUGUUAAUUGAUUGAUAAUUAAAACCUGGUUAAGGUGGGUUGUGAGCAUAUGGUUUUGAUGGUUGUGCUCAUGACAAUUAAGGACCGGUUCGCGAGCUACUGUUGUGAAACAUUUAUCGUGCCAACCACAAGCCAGCGUGGGCAACGGCUUUAUCUUUUGUAUAGCAUGAUUCAUUAUAGUGCGCCAGACUGAGAAGCGGCGAGAAGUCCACGGGGGUCGCUGGGGAGUCCAUGCCUUGUUUAUAAGGGGGUGAUUAUGAUCCAGGAAAGGUGCGCUGUAAUGGAUUAUGUUGUGCAAGAGGUAUUGUCACAACUCCUUUCCGAGGUACCGUGGUGGUAUUGAGGCACAUGGUGACAUGAUGUGGGGUUGUGUCUUGUGGGUACAGUGGUACACCUCUGAUCAGAGUAAAACUAUUCGAAUAGCCGUACCCGCGGUUAUGGGUGAGUUGAGCAAUGUUUUUCGUGAUUAGUUUCACACUACUCAUCAAUGUUAAUAAUGUGAUAAUUAAUUUGACUCCUGGUUUGGAAUGGAUAAUUCCUGGUUUGGAGGUUUGAUCUGUACGACCGGGGUUGGUUGUUCAGGUUUGGUUGGGCCUGAGUGGCAUGGGUGUGCUGUUCAGUGUUGAUUAAUAUUGAUGAUUAAUUACUCUAUUAUUUUACUACUCUUAAAUCUUUGCUAAAUGCUGUUUUUGCAAAUGAGCCUAUAUUAUGCCAUCCCUUGGUAUCCUUGUGCACUUGCAUACUUGCUGUGUGGCUUGUUGAGUAUGUCAUAUGCUCAUUCUUGCAAUAUUUAAUCAUCAGAAGAGGAGUAUUUCAGCGAAGGUGAUGAUCUGAAGGAUUGAGCUUGUUCUGGUUAAGAUGCCUGUGGAGUGGAGUCGCCAUAGCUGUUCCGUAGUUUGUUAUAGUUUUAUUUUUUUUUCCGCUGCGUAGAAGGUUAUUCUUUGAGAGGAACUAUCUACCUCUGUAAUAAUUUGUUUGCGAAUAUUAAAUAGUUAUUUAUUUGUACUCUAUUAUGUAACAUACCCGAAAUUUUAGGACUUAAAAUUUCUUGUCAAAAUAGUUAGAGGUUAACUUCUCCAAUUUUGAGAGCCAAAAUUUCCGUUUUAAUUUAGGUGAUGACCAACUUAAACCAUUGCAUGAUUAAAAUUUGAGAACAAAAUAAAAUCUUUUCAUUCCCAACAUUAGACUAGAAAUGUCACCAAGCAUACAUGUACAUAAUGCAUGCCUAGGCUCGAGUUCUUUGUGCAUUUGGAGUUUUGGUCUUGCAUUCCAUAAUAGAUCCCAUGAGCAUAAUCUAAAAGAAUUACUUCACUAAACAAACCUAUAGUUAAUCUUGAGUGAUAACAUGUGGACUUAAUAUUAAACUCAAAUAUCAUCUUCUCAGUCUAAAACAAGUUUAAUGUAAUCCCUAUAAUAAUAUUAGAUGCAAUUAUGAAGUGGGAACACAUAUACAAACAAAGGUCAACUUAAUUCUCUAAAAUAUUUUGUGCAAGAUAAAAUCAUGGAAAAAUUUAUGUGGACAAUGAUUAGCACAAACUUAUCCUCUGUAAUUUGGUAACAUGUUAACACUCAAGUUGAUAUCUCAAAUUAAUCGGUUGAAGCAGACAACUAAAAGAAAUCAAAUUAAAUUUAAUUGGCUAAAACCAUAUUUCAUCCAAAAGUACAUUGAACUGCACAUAAGUGAACAUGGGAAAUGAUUUAUUCAAACACUAGAUUAGUUAUCAUGAAUAAAUGUAAUUUUUCUAGAAUUUUCCUCCUCUGUUUAAGCCUCCUAAAAAUUCAAUCUAGCUUUCUAAUAGCCCAUCUUUGUUUAAUUUCUGUGAGCAGUCUACCCAUUAUUUUUGAGUGCAACCAAAGAAAAUGGAAUCUAGGUGUAAUCAUUUACCUCCAGUAAAUUCAACACUAGAUAAUUUGGUCCACACAUUAAGUUAUGAAGCUACAAAGUUAGAGGAGAAAAUAAUUCCGAAAAUUAAUCUAAAAAUCAAGUUUACCAGUCUUCUACCCAUAUCUCUCUCCCUGGCCUAGUUUCCAUCGAGUUGGCCCCACUUGUCAGUGCCUUAGGCUAGGUUCAGCCCUGUCCAACACUUCCUCCUUCUACACCUCUCUCUUGCCUAGUGGGACCCCAUUGUCAGCCUCACAUCCCUCUCCACACGGGCCCACGACUCAGACCCCGCGCGCCACGCGUGUGAGCACGCGUUGAGCGCGGAAGAGGGCGAGCUCCUCCUCCCCAUCUCCGCCGGCGACCGUACUUAACCCGACCGGCCGACCAACUCUCACUCUCUCUCGCCCCUGUCUCGUUUCGCGGAAGAACCGAGGUACCCCGCCUCGGAUUCGCCGGGAACGGGGGUGCCAACUCCGGCGCCGGUGAGAGAAGUCCUCGACGCCGUCGCAAUCCGGUGAGCUCCAUUUCCGUUCAAUAAGCAUUCUGUAAUUCCCUCUCAAUGCCGUCUCUAACGCCACCAAGAACGCCUCUUUUAGUGCAGCCAAUCUCCGGGAACGCGACCGCGUCAACUCGGAACACCGUCGCGCUCUGGCCGCCGACGCCAUUCCUUUCUUUCUCCUUCUCUGGUGAGCUUCGGCGCAAUCUUUUUCGCCUAGAGCUACCUUGUGCUGAUCUAAACCGAAGCAUGCACCCUCUAUAUGCAGUAGAAGCCCGGGAGUACACCGUCGACGACGACCGUAGCAGUUGCGCCGUCGCCGAACCAGUACACCGUCGCUAAGACUUCGCCGAGCCGCGUUUGAUUCUUGGUGAGCCUCCUAGUAGUCCCUAGAGUCCUUAUCAUACGCAUGCACGAUUAAAUCGAGCCUCAAAACCCACGUGCAUGUGCAAGCCGAGCUUAGCCACCGCCUCUAACACCCUAACAGCCGCUAUAGAGCACCAAAUCUUGCCAGAAAGCCACCAAUAGGUUCGCACGGUUGUUCUCUACACUUUUUGUUUUGGGAGCUUAAGCUGAAUCGCCGUUGUUCGCCACUGGUGAUGCUGUGAAGCUCGCGGCUGUGCUGCUGCUCUGCUCUGUCCAGAGCAAGGGCAUGGCUUUUGAAAUUUAAAGACUCCCAGGGAUGUAUUAACAACUGGAACAGUCACUUACAAGUAGGACCAGUAAUAAUCUGUAAAUAAACUAAAACUCAAGCAUCGUUUUGCAUACAAACCUAAAACUAGGGGACUGCGGGAUCUAUUUCCCGAGAAACCAGGGGUUUUUGCGAAAAAUGUUAGUAACUGACAUAUGGGCCUAGGACUGCGGGUUGAUUCCUAGAAACCUCAAGGGCCUUUGUGCAUAUUGGUCCCUCACAGCCAUGUGGACCCAUCCUUUAAAAUCUGAAGAAAAAUUAGGAAAAUGCCCAAACAAUUAUAUGUUUAGCAGAAAAAUGCACAAAGUUGUAAAAUCUAUAUAAAAUCAAAUAUAGCUCAUUUUGAAGUGAUUCCAGUUGCUGUAGAUUCUUGAAGUUAUGAAAUUUAUUCCAGGAAUAUAAAACUUGACACUUACUGUACAAAUAAUGUCUCUAAGAUUUAUCUAAGAUAAGUCAUACAUAAAACAUGUACAAACUUAUAAAAUGCAUAGAAAAUUCAUUUCAACUCAUUUUGAAACAAAAUCAAAUUCUACAGAUUCAUCAUCAUACAGUCUCUGAUUAGGUGAAAUAAAAGUAAUUACUUACUUUGCAUCAAAUGCCUCUAAAACUAUAAUCUCUAUAAUGAUUAAUUUUAGAUAAGCUAAACUUUAGAAAUUGAUGUAGAACCCAAUUUAGCUUCAAUUUGAGUAAACUUAAGUUCUGUAGGAUCAUUAAAACAUGUAUUUCCAAGUUAUGAAAUAAUAUUAUAUACUUACUGUGUAGUAAAAGUCUCUAAAUAUUCAUAUAAGGAUUUACUAACAUAGAGCAGCCAUUAAUUUGUAAAAACUUGUAGAAAAUUCAUUUUUAGUCCAAAUGAAAUGAACAAAGUUUCUAUAGAACCAGCAAAUAGUUAUCUUCAACAUAGUAAAAUAAAAUUUGGCACCUUCUGUAGAGAACAUUGAUCAAAACCUUAACUUAGUGAAAUAAGAAUUUAAACACAUAGUGUUGUUUAAGUAAUACAUAAACAUGUAUAAGUAUAUAUAUACACUUUAGGUCUAAUUAAACCUAAAUAAAAACUUGAUUGACCAGUGAAGCCAUAGUUCCAUCCUCAUCCACUAAAAUUAGAAGAACUUAGCUCAUAUAACAAUUUCUAGGUUAAUAUAAUAUAUUGCUAGUUUAGAUUAGAGCAUCUCUAGUUUAUAAAAUAUGAACCAUACUAGUAAAGAUCAUAAACAUGUGAACUAAAAAUGUUUUAGUUAACCAAAUUAUUCCUUUUAUUCAACUUAAACAGGAAGUAGCAUGUUCUGAACCUAUCACUCAAAAGUCAUGAACAUAUAAAACACUAUAUGCCUAAAACAUGUUGUAACUUGUAAAAUCUAUAAGAAAAUCAUUAUAACUCCAAAAAUUGUGAAACCAAAUGUGUUAGUCUUAGAAAACACAACUUCACACUCCUAUGAAGUCUAAUCUAGUAAAAAUCACUUUACAAAAGUAUUUCAUAACACUACCUAAGACUAUACUACUAUAAACCGAUAAAACUUCUAAAAUUCAUAACUCCCAAAUGGAAUAAAAUAAAAUAGGAAUUAUUUCACCUAAAUUCAUUUUAGAUCAGUACCAACCCACUGUGCAUAAAUCAUGCAUUUUAGAGCAUUUUGGAUUUUCAGCUCUUUCGGUGUUUAAUUGCAUAUCGUGUCCUUUAUCUAGAUAAUUGCAUAAUCGGUGAAGAAGUGGAUUAGGUGCUAACAAUUCUCUGAUCAAGGCAAGUUUUCUCCUCCCAUCCUUUGAACACAUUGAAUCCCAUGAUUUGAGGAAUGAAAAUAUUUGUUUGCAAAGUUGCAUGUGAACUUAGACUAUAUCGGUAUUUGAAAUUGGGUUAAGGUAGUUAUGACUUAUUUGCUGCAUAUUCCACCUUGAAUAAUUGAUCCUCUUGCUGUUUGAACCCCUAGAAAUGGUUAGAGUACACUCUUUGUGCUCAAAUGGGUUUAUAUAUGCUCUAUGUGCAACUACUUGCUCAGCCAUGCUUAGAAAUAUGCAAAUGCUCAUUCCAUCUAUAAUUAAAAUGUGAAUUUUUAUACAUGAACCCUUGCUGGAAUAAAAUGAAUAUGAUGGGUAUUUACGAACUAAAAUGUGUAAAAUGUGAUUUUAUACUUGGGCGGCAAGUGGUGUGCAUAUGGUAUUAGUUGCAUACCGAUAGGGGAAGUGUUUGCCCAAGUCCAUAAGGACCGAACUUGUGUCACCCAUUUAAAGUUAUCCGUACAUCCACAUGUGCUAGUAUGGGAUGGCCUAAGCUGAUUAAUCUAUUUAGGACUAGCCUUGCAUUCUGGUAGGCCGGUGUGUAUGAGUUAGUCGAUAAUUCUGAGGAAUUAGUCGAUGAUUCAGAGGAACUUCCUAUUUGCCCCGACGUGGUAGUUUAGGUGACUAAGUCUGUCCAAUACAACGGUAUUGUGCCACGUGGUGGGUUCCCGUCGUGUCCGCCACCACGGCGUUAAGUUUAAGGCGUGGGCCCGCCACUUAACGGUUCUAGGUAUAUUCCAAGUAUGCCUAGGAUGGAGGAACACGUAUCGUGCUGGUGCAAGGCUAGAUUCUAAGUAGUGUAAAGGCUUCGUUAUGACCUCUAGAUCACAUUCAACAUGAAGAGUGUGAUGGAGUCUUGCAAACUCAAAACAAACUAGAGAGUUCAUAUCAUGUGGGUAAAGCUGUACAAACUCUGCAGAGUUCUUUAAACUAAUCGAUUAGCCGUGCUCACGGUCAUGAGAGCUUUGGUGAUGUGUCAUGAGUAUAGACUAUGUUUUAAAAAUGUGAUCUUGUGACAUUGGUUUGAAAUUGAUAAAUGUGUUGAGUUGUGUAUGUGGUGAUACAUUAUGACUUAUUGUUAAGUAUGGCAAUAAGAGAUUGUUUAUGAUGGAAUUAUGAAGAAGUUAAUAAUGAAACUUAAAACUUGUCUUUGUUAAUUGAAGCAUCAACUCUUUUACAAAAGAAUUGCGAAACAAAACUUGCUUUAUGCUGAAAAUGAACUACAUAUUGCCUUCCUUUGAAUAUAUGCCUUACAUGUAGUAUGGUAGGAUUGACUUGUGCUUGCCAGUACAUUAACUUGUUUAAUGUACUGACUCUUGCUGUUGAUAUAACCCUUUGUUUGCAGGUUUAGUCUUAGUCUUUGAGUGAUGCGGGUUCCGAUUGCUUCUUCUAGGAUGAGAACUUAAUGGGGUAAACCCCUAGUCGGUGUGCUUGUGAUUGGGUAGUCAAGCUUCCGCUGUUCUCUAUUAAGUCUAUUUGGCCGGUCGGCCUAUGUAAUUAUUAAGUUGUUGUAAGUCUUAAGUUCUUUCAUCUUAGUUGUGUUUGCUAUGUAUAAUCAUGCUUAAGAUGAAAGUGUGGAUCUAGUGCACAUCCUGGGAACUAGAUUCACAUGAGUAUGAGUUAGGAAUAUUUGAGAGGUUGUAGAUCUUUAGCCAUUUUUGUCAAGUCUCCUGAAUGUGUAACACAUCUGGUCGCCGCCUUCGAGUGGUUUGACGGGCACAUCUCAGGCUGAAGUUGACUGGCAGGCUAAGGGCCCAGCAAUGUCUCCAAUAUUCCUCUCUCGAGGUGUCGGAUGUUUCAUUAUGCUUGUUUGAUGACUUGAAUUAUUCACUUCAUCUCUCAAAUAUAAUGGAAGGUCCGGAGAGCCUACGACAUAUUAUCAAUUUGUUAUUGUGUGCCUCGGUUGAUUCCUGGACGAGGGUUUAACACACAUGUAAGCGCUUGGAAUUUUGGAUAGAAAUUCCGGGCGUGACAGUAGGCAAGAGGAGUUAACUGCUCCUUGGGCCAACCAUUAUGCACGCAUGCACAUAGUCACCAGCUAUCAACCUAUCACCUGGCCCUACUGACGCAUAUGUAAAAGACGCGCAUGGGUCUAUAUACUUUCAUGAGAGAGCUGAUGGGGGUGAGAUGGUAACGGUUCGGGCACAUUAAGUUUGUCCCGUGACCGUCGCACCACCACAUGAUGCCGUUAGGUAGUUUUUGUGAUGGAUAAUAGAUAUAGAUGGGCUAAAUCGGUUUUUUUUUCCGUAGAAAAGAAAUAUACUCCAUAUUUGGGCCGGUUGAAAUUUGGGAAUGCAAAGUAACGGAUGAAGACUCCAACAUUUCAAACGGACAUACUUGAUCAUUUUUAUAUAAAACUACUUACGUAUUUUAUAUUGGGAUCAUGAGAUUUUUUUAAGGACUGUUUUCUCAAGGAAGAGUGGUUUUCUAUGAUGUUUUUUUAUGAGAGGGAGCGGUUUUUGACGAAAAAAGGAAAAUGAUUGUCUUUUAAAGUAGUUAAGAAAUACACUGGCUUCUUUAAAAAUAUAUAGUUCAAGAUAAAUAUAAUUAUUUAACCCUUUUUUAGAGAAACAUCAAUAACCUGCUGGAAACACCAACCCGAUCAAUGCACAUCAACGACCAAAGAUACAUACCUAGAAUUUGGUAGAGGAUACCGGCGUACUGGUCGAUUCCAAAGGAGCAGCCAUUGACAGACAAUGAUCUCCUCCCUGCACUAGGCAUGUCAAUCAUUUAUAGCCUUGCUGGUUGUGAUCAAAAUAACUGCGUGGAAAUAGACAGAGUAACUGACCUGAUCCCCAAAAUCAUUGGAUUCACAAGCUUCAAAAGUGCAAUGGUAAAUUCCGAAGCACAACAGAAGGUUCU
rnacentral:lncRNA from 1 species